UUUUUUUUUUUUUUUUUGCAUUUUUCAUGGCAGAAAUGUGUUUUUACGAGCACUUGGAGGGCAAAGAGGGACGGAGAACUAGAUACCUCCAGUUUUUUUUUUGGCCUACGAGCACAUUUUUUUAAGCCUCCGGUUGUUGAAACUUGAAAAUUUUGGAGGUAAUGAAUAAUAAUUCGAUUUCAAGUUUGAGGAAAUAUAUAUAUAUAUAUAUAUAUGUGAGGGGGAAAAAAGAACUUAAAAAUUCAAACUUGAUGAAUUAUGGAUUAUAGUACAUGCUAGUGCACAAUCUAUUUCAUUAAAAAUCUUGAAUUGUUUAAAUCAUCUCGGAGAGGGCCUUUUUGUGUUAUUAAAAAAACGAAAAAUUAUCCAAUCUCAGCAAAACCAAACUGACGCCUCCAAAAUUUCUUUUAUGCCUUGUUUUUUCACCCCAUGGAAACAGUAGUACAAUAUAAGAGGAUGAUCAAUAAGAUAGUAAUUAGAAAGCCAAUAAGAUUAUAAGGGUGAUUAGUUAUGCUAAUGAAAAAGUUGAAAUAUGAAAUUAGAGGGAGUCGGGCAGCUGAGGAGGCAUGUGCACCUUAAAGCCAGUCUUUGUCACGUGGGGUACAUUUGACACCACACAGAAGCCCAGCAUGUCUACCUUUGUAUAUUUAUCAUUUAUGACGGGGAUCUUUUUCUAAUUCUUUUCGUUACUUUUUCUCUCCUCUAGUUCAAUUUAUCUUUUCGUCUUCAAUCAUCGGGAAUAACAAUUUCCGUAGCUCAUUAUUUAAAUAGGAAAAUAUUUAUUUUCACUCUAUUUUUUUUUUGUUAUUUGAACUCCAUCAUUUAUUUUAACAUAUAGUCUAAUAAAUAAAAAUUACAUGAUUAAAAUGAUAGUGAAAGUAUGAUUACUAAAAAUGAGAGUGUAAAUAAUAUUUUUCUUUAAAUAUUUGAUUACAUCAUAAAUAUGUUCUUUUAAUUACUUUUUAUUUUUUAAAUUAUUCGUUUAUCUAACAUACAUCACUUCACUAAAAAGUUAUAAUAUAUUAUUCUAAAAACAAAUUCAAAUAAUCUUUAAUCCAAACACAGUCCUUAAUUUCUUCAAAUCAAUCGACAUUAUGUUCAAAUGGGAUGGUACACAAUUGAAAUAUCAUCAAGGUAUAAUAAAGCAAAUACAUUGCUGUAAUACUCUAAUGACCAGAUAUGAGAAUAGUUUCCAUGGCAAAUUUCUAUAAAAUAAUAAUUAUACCCUUCAAUAAUAAAAAGGUUGAAUCCAUUUUCAAAGGGUAAACCUGUCAUUUCAUAACUGGCUGAGGCAUUAGAAAGCCCGCCGUGGAUUGGAAGGUAAUUCUCCUUAAAUUGCUUUCGGGUUGCUCUUUCGGCAAACUUAUGUGUUUGUUCUAAUUAAGAGUGUGUUAUUUCCGUUGCUGGAAAAAAGGAAUGGAAAGUAAUUGCCAUAAUUAAUGAGCAGUGAGAAUGUAAUUAUACUAACUUAUGCAAUUACUUGGUAGUUGGUACUUGAUGUGACAUGAUUUUCAAGAUGAUGAAUAUUUAAUGCAAAUAGCAUGCUUUUAAAGUCCAACUAGUUACUCGCUUUUCUCUGCUCAUCAACAAAAUUUGUGGAAUUUAAUAUCAUCACAUAAAUUAGAACCUCGACAUUUUCUUAGUUAUUUACCAUUAUAGACAAACCUUAAAGGUUGACACGAAUGUAGAACUUCUUGUGCUUUUAAAAAAGGGAGCUUUUUAACUUAUAAAAACUAUAUAUGAUUAAGGGAUUGUAGGCCAUUGUUCCUCACUCAUUUGGAACGAUUUGUUUGAUGUCCGUUACAUUCUAACACUAAAGUCCAUAAGUUUCCCCAUUGUGCAAUGCUAGACGAUGAUUGUAAUCAAGAAAAUAUUUUUAAAGAAAAAAUUCAUGACUGAUCGAAGUCAUGCGAUAAGAGUACAAAGAGAAAAAAGGAAUCUGCUAUUAAAAAUUUAAAAUUACCAUCUACUCUAAAGAGCUAAUUUUUUAACUCUCUGCAGAAAAUUACCCCGUUUGGAUUGCACUUUUCUGAAAUUUUUUUUAAUAGAAAAAUUACUGUAGCGAUUUGAUAUAUGUGAAGGAAAAAAAAAGGUGAUAGAAAAAUGUGUUCACGGAAAACGUAGCAAUUUUUUCUGAGGAAAUUCGCAAUCAAAACGAGACAUUAACAUUUUGCCCAAAAACAAUAACACUAGUCCAAUUUUAUUUAUGCAUUGUAAGAUUGUAGGCCAUUGUUCAUCACUUAUUGGAACGACUUUUCUAAUGUCCAUUACAUUCUAACACUACAGUCCAUAAAGUUUAUAAAAGCUAUAGAUAUCAGACAUUUUAUAACGCUAAACGGAUGACUAUAAUCAAGAAAAAUAAAAAAUUCAUGACUGAUUGAAGUCAUGCGAUAAGAGUACAAAGAGAAAAAGGAAUCCACUAUUAAAAUUUUUAAAUUACCAUCCACUCCAAAAACCCUAAAUUUUUAACUCUCUCCAGAAGAAAUUUAACAUUUUGUAGAAAAAUAUAACACUAGUCCAAUUUUAUUGUGUAGCUUUACUGUACCAAAUAAAAGAACUCCCAAACUAAAAAUGGGAUUGAGGUCCAUUUUUGGGAGGACGAGGGCGAGGGUGUGGUGUUUGGAUUGUAUUUUCCGUCAUUUUUCAUGGAAAAAUUACUGUAGCGAUUUGAUAUAUGUGAGGGAAAAAGGUGAUAGGGAAAUGUGAUCACGGAAAACGAUAAUAUUUUCCGACGAAAACCUUCAAUCCAAGCAAGGCCAGUUUGUCAAACGAAGAAGAUGAUUAAUUAGCCAUGGAAGAAAAGGGAAGAAAAUUGUCACGUUCAUAGUAGAUUGAGUGAUCUUCGUUCGCGGACGCAUGGAUGGCAAGUGUCGUAAUAAAUAAGAAACCCGUGACCUGCUGUUUACCCGCAAAGUCCUCUACCCUCCUCAUUUUUCGUUUUUAUUUUAAAUUUGUUUCUUUCAUUUUAUAACGGUCAAAAAUUUAUAUCCAAACUGGCCACUAACGCCGUCAUUGUCAUCCUUCAAAUCUUCUUCGACCUCCGCGGCUCCGACUUGAAACCAUAAAAAAAUUACUCAACCAAAUUAAUAGAAAGUGGGUAAGAAAUUUCGAACGCUCCGUAACGGCCAUAUUUUGAGCUUCGUUCCAAAUUCGGUCUCUCUCUCUCUCUUCCUGUACCUCUCGCUGUCUCCCACACACACUCACACACUCAGCUCUCAGCUCGCUCUCUCUCUCACCAUAUAUUUUAUUUAUUUAUUUAUUUAACCUUAAGAUUCAGCAAAUCCAUAAAAACUUCACUCCCACUCUAUCUAUCUAUCAUCGCUCUCAGCAUAAUAUUGACUGUCCUUCUACUUUCUCUCUCUAAAACUCGCACACAAUUGCCAUCGUGCUGCUCCCGUAUACGAGAUAUAGAGAUACGUAGAUACAUAUACUAGAUUAUAGUGGUAACAUUUAUCCGGCAAUUGAAGCUGUCAGCGGCCGGCAUUUGGCUUCGUGGUAAGUUUUAGACGAUGCAGCAUUAUCCUCGUACAUACAAAUAUAUAUAUAUAUAUACACACACACACACAUCCGCGAGAAUCGCAUAAAUAUUCUCGUGUAUAAUUAGCUUGAUUCCUCUGUUUUUAUCGCUUGUUUUAAUUUUUUUUGACUGUUUUUUGGCCAUCCAUUGGAUAUCUGAUCUUUGAAUUUGCGGUUGUCAUUUCUUAUGGUCAUUUCUUCUUCUAUUUUUUUUUCCUCUUUGAGCAAUACUUCGUCGUUUUUUAUUGUUGUAUUUUUUGAGAAAUGCGAGAUUUUGUGCGCUGGAUUUGAAUUUGAGUUGACCCGGCUGGUUGAUUUGAAGCUUACUGGUGGUUUUGAUGAGUUGUUAAUACAGAGAUUGUCAAUACACAAAAGGAAAGAAGAUCUCGUUGGUGAUUUGAAGAGCGAAGUUCAGUAACAAUGGAAUCACAACAACAUAGAAGAGGAGGAGCCGGCGGAGGCAAUGGCUUCGCAUCGGUUUCACCAUCCCAAACGCCGAAGUCGAGUGAUAAGGCGGCGAGAGAUCUACGAUCGGGGGAGGGGAGUAUGAGUGGGAAGCAUGAUAAGGAUAAAGGCGUCAAUGUACAGGUCAUUGUCCGGUGCAGGUGAGUUUUGCUGAAUUGAUCACAGGCAUUCUCUUGGGGGUGUUUAAUCUAAGUCAAUUGUUAUACAAAGAUUUGAUUGUGAAUUUUUUGCAGGCCGCUGAGUGAUGAAGAGACGAGAUUGCACACGCCGGUCGUGAUAUCUUGCAAUGAGAACAGAAGAGAAGUGUGUGCUGUCCAGAACAUAGCUAAUAAGCAAAUUGAUAGAACGUUUGCUUUUGAUAAGGUUUGGCUUUUCUCAGACCUGAUGAUUGAUACUUAUUCUGUUAGCACAGAAAUGAAGAAUUAUCAGCAGCUGAAAACAAAUGAAAAAUGAAAAAAAAAGUAAAGAAAAGAUAGAGACGUGAUCAAUUGUAUCUUAGAAUAGAGAAUAGAGAGUGAGCUUACACCGAAAUUAAAUCAAUAUAGAGCUGGAAGAACUAUUCAUUUCCUUGGAAUUUCCGGUAUUAUUGCAUUUUUUAUAUGAGGCAAAAAAUAUGAUUUGGUAUAAUGUUGUUCAGGUCUUUGGCCCGACAUCCCAGCAAAAGGACUUGUAUGAUCAGGCUGUCUGGCCUAUUGUCUUCGAAGUUUUAGAGGGCUAUAACUGCACGAUUUUUGCCUAUGGGCAGACUGGAACAGGGAAAACUUAUACGAUGGAGGGAGGAGGAAGGAAAAAGGUACGUCUUUCUUUCUUUUUUGGCCUACGGAACUUGUAUGUAUGCUUUAGUAUGUUAAUGCAGCUUCCCUUUCUUAUUCUUGUAAUAAAUGGUUGAUUUUUCACCCCUUUAGAAUGGGGAAUUUCCUAGUGAUGCAGGUGUAAUUCCAAGAGCUGUCAAGCAAAUAUUUGACAUUUUAGAAACUCAGCAUGCUGAGUACAAUAUGAAGGUGACUUUUUUAGAGCUCUACAAUGAAGAGAUAACAGAUCUCUUGGCUCCUGAGGAAGCCCCAAAAUUCUUGGAUGAUAAAUCAAAGAAACCAAUAGCACUUAUGGAGGACGGUAAAGGUGGAGUUUUCGUGAGAGGCUUGGAGGAGGAAAUUGUUUGUACUGCAAAUGAGAUUUAUAAGAUAUUAGAGAAAGGUUCUGCUAAAAGGCGUACAGCUGAAACCCUUCUCAACAAACAGAGCAGCCGUUCUCACUCGAUAUUUUCUAUAACUAUUCACAUAAAGGAAUGCACACCUGAAGGGGAGGAAAUGAUUAAAUGCGGGAAACUGAAUCUUGUUGACUUGGCUGGUUCUGAGAAUAUCUCCCGUUCUGGUGCUAGAGAGGUGAGAGACAUGUCGCAAAUUGUAUCAAUGCUUAAUUUUUUCUGCAUACGUCUGUGUUCAUACAUUUACAUGUGAAGGAUAAUAUGUUUGGCUGGAACUUGAUCUAAAUGUCACCAGAUAGUGCUUUCACAAUUUUCGUAUGGGGAGAAAACUUGAAGGCGACAUUACAUGUUCUGAAUUGGCUUGAUAACCCUUAAUUCCGCAGGGAAGAGCAAGGGAAGCGGGUGAAAUCAACAAAAGUUUGCUUACUCUUGGUCGGGUGAUAAAUGCUUUGGUGGAACACUCUGGUCAUAUACCAUACAGGUACUGUUCCCAUUUAGUUAACCAGUCAAAGAGAUUUGCAUGGGUAUGGGGAGUUAAUGGUCAACCAACUAUAUCACUAUGGGUGUCAGGGAUAGCAAACUAACAAGAUUACUGAGAGAUUCUUUGGGAGGAAAAACAAAGACAUGUGUGAUUGCCACUGUAUCACCCUCCAUUCACUGCCUGGAAGAGACGCUCAACACUUUAGAUUACGCUCAUAGAGCCAAAAACAUAAAGAACAAACCAGAGGUCAGUCUUCUGUUAACCAUUCUUUCGUCAUUACAUGUAGUGAUUUCCUUCUAUGUUUCUCCUAUUGUGUUCCUUCAUAGGAUUUGCGCUGUCUUCAUUUAUAUCCUGCUAAAAAAUGUUGGUUUGCUUGCGGUUUCAGAUUAAUCAGAAGAUGAUGAAAUCUGCAAUGAUUAAAGAUCUAUACUCUGAAAUUGACAGACUGAAGCAAGGUUUGUUGAUUGCUCUAUGUCUGUUCAUGCAAGUGCGUUGUGUACACUUCCAUAAAUACAGAUAUCUUUUGGUUUACAGACUGGUUAAGCACAUUAGAUAAUUUUGCACAUGAUGUGACAAUAUUACAUUGAAUCUAUUUAACAAUCUUAUGUUCAUCAGAGGUGUAUGCUGCUAGAGAAAAGAACGGGAUUUAUAUACCAAAAGAUCGUUAUCUGCAGGAUGAAGCCGAGAAAAAGGUCCCAAUCUGGUCAUUUGGUCUAAUGAUGACAUGUAUUACCUGAAAAUUUCCCCUGAAAAUUAGUAAUUUUGUAUCUAAUUUCAGGCAAUGGCUGAGAAGAUAGAACGCAUGGAGCUUGAUGUGGAAUCCAGGGACAAGGUAUGCUUGAGAAAUGAAUCUUUAAGCUUGUCUUUUCUUGUUGCCACUUGCAACACUUGAUUGAUUACACUUUAUGCUUUUUGAGCAGCAAUUUGUGGAGCUUCAGGAACUUUACAAAUCUCAACAGCUAUUGACAGCAGAGUUAAGCGACAAACUUGACAAAACUGAGGUAAAAUUAAUUUAUUUUGUUGCACUCAUAAUAGUUCGUCGUGCUUUCCCCUCUCUUUUGCUCAUGAUGUCACAACUAUAUUUUUGUUGUGCUCCAGAAAAUGCUGCAGGAAACUGAGCAUGCUUUGGCUGAUCUGGAGGAACGGUUUAGACAAGCUAAUGCCACAAUAAAAGAAAAGGAGUAUCUGAUAGCCAAUCUUCUGAAGUCUGGUGAGGCCAAUGUUCCACCACAGUUUAAAGUUGUUCACAUAUAGUCCUAAAUGCUAAUGUUGCUGCAUAAAUAAUGCAUCUAUAAUUAUUUUCCUGUUACUUAGGCUACCAAGUCAUUCUAAUAACUUUUUUCAAUUUAUGAUUUUUUGUUGCAUCUAAUCUGCUAGCCUGCAAUGCUUUCCUGUCUCCUAAGCAAUUUUCCUUCUUAUUUGACUCUAAUAUUCAGUAAUAUCUAGGUCAGAUCUGUGAUGUUAUAUACAUGGGCCAUUUCAUAAUUUUUGCUUGUGUAACUUGCCUUGGUAAAUGGGAAACAGAAAGGAGUGAUAAAGGCCCACAACGAGCUGAAUAUUUUUUUUGAUAGACAUAAUUAAGUUUUUCCAGUUUGACUGGUGAUAUGAGGUCCCUUUACUUUCAAUAUUUUAGUCCGUUUACUUAUGCAACUUGACUUUGGUUAAAUGGGAAAUGCAAAAGAGAGACAGAGGCCCACAAUGAGCUGAAUUUUUUUUGCUAGACACAAUUAAGUUUUUGAAUUUCUCUGCUUGCUUUUUCUCACCUUAUGUCCUAAUAACAACUAUCCAUCAUGUAAAAAAAAUCUUUCUAUAAUUCAUCAAGACAUUAUUAGAACAGUUUUCUGACAUCAUGUGGUCUUCUUCUACCAGAGAAAGCACUUAUGGAGCGGGCGUUUGAUCUUCGAACAGAACUGGAGAAUGCUGCAUCAGAUGUCUCCAAUUUGUUUGCUAAGAUUGGUUUGUAUGCUAAGCUUAGUGAUCUAAACAGAAUAGGGAUGUAUUAUGCCUAAAACCAUGCAGUUUAAACCAUGUAUAAUUGCUUAUCCAGAGCACAAGGACAAAAUAGAAGAUGGAAACAGAAUUCUUGUCCAGAAGUUCCAAUCACAGCUAACGCAACAGCUUGACAUCUUGCAUAAAACUGUGGCAGCUUCAGCCACACAACAAGAGCAACAAUUAAAGGAUAUGGAAGAAGAUAUGCAGUCCUUUGUAUCCACAAAGACAGAGGUAUUGUAUACAUGAAAUAGCAUAAGCUUGUAUCUGCACAGAUUGUUUGUCAAUGCAUUCACGUCUCUCUUGUGUGCUAGGCUACUGAAGAGCUUCGAAGCCGCCUCGAGAAGUUGAAAACCAUGUAUGGUUCUGGUAUAGAAUCUCUUGACAGUUUAGCUGGGGAACUUGAUGGGAAUUCACAGUCAACUUUUGGACAUCUAAAUUCUCAGGUCUCUGAGCAUUCAUCCUCUCUGACAAAGGUGAGUAUCUCUUGACAUUGAAUGGCUACAAUCAUGAUGUGCCUCAGUAUCUUUUGCUUGAUCACUGUUCAAAAAAUGCAGCUUUUCAAUAGCAUUGCUUCAGAGGCUGAUAAACUGCUGAAUGAUCUUCAAAAUAGUCUUCACGGUCAGGAGAGCAAACUAAUUGCAUUUGCACAGCAGCAACGUGAGGUUGGCAUUUGCUUAAGAAACUAAAGAAACAUGCUUGGCUUGAUAACUUUCCAUUCUCUGAUCUAAUUUGAGAGAACCAGCUAAUGUUACUCACAUUGACAUCUUCUGCAGGCUCAUCAAAGAGCUGUCACGACAACAAGAUCAAUUGCUCAAAUAACUGUCAACUUUUUCAAAACUUUGGAUGCGCAUGUUUCACAAUUAGGCCAAAUUGUAGAAGAAUCACAGACAGUCAAUGAUAAACAAUUAUCUGAUCUAGAAAGGAAGUUUGAGGUGAUUUGACCUUUUUCCCACUUGAACCUAGUUUCUGCUCUAAGUUGUGGCCUUGCUUUAAGUUUGAUUCUGUUUUGGUUUCUUCCUUCAAUGUAGGAGUGUGCUGCCAAUGAAGAAAGGCAGCUCUUAGAAAAAGUGGCAGAGCUGCUUGCUAGUUCAAAUGUCAGGAAGAAACAACUGGUAUGAGCUCAUAGACUAACACAUCAGAAGGCAAUCUGUUCUUGUUCUGCUUCACUAAAUUAUGAUUAUGCAGAUACAUAAACAAUCUUUACCUGCCUAUGGAAGUAGAAGAAUAAAAGUUUUUUCUUUUGGACUUUUUUCUGAAACUUUGAAUCCUCUAUUGUGAAAGUAAGAGUUUCACAAACUGUUACAACUGAAUCAUCAAUACGGGAAAAGUAGUCAAAUUAGAUGAACCAAUACUAGUGAUGUUGAACAACAUCAAAAUUCUAGUGCAGUUUGGUAGGUUUAAGAACAAGUGAUGUCAUUGCUCUUCUGGUAGCACAUUCAUUUUCAUUUGUUACUUCUAUUCUCUGGCCAAAUAUUUGGACUUUUCCCUAUAUGCUUAUGGCUCUUGCCAAAUUUUUGAGUUGCUCAUCCAAAAGAGUAUGAUAAUUCCAUUCUCCAUCAAACCUCUAGCUAGGGCAUGUCGAAUUGACCACUUCUAUUCUCUGGAUCACAGGUGGUGAUGUAAAGUGUAAAUUGCGGGUGGUGGCUCUGAAAUAGUGUUUUUCAUUUCGUUGAUUCUGUGGUACAACUUUCAAAUCCUUAUAGAGUUUCAUUUCCUAUGUACUAGGUGCAAACAGCAGUUAAUGGCCUCCGCCAGAGUGCAGCCACUAGAACUAAUCGAUUACAACAGGAGAUGUCGACAAUGCAAGUUGCAACUGCAUCUGUUGAAGCAGAAUGGACAAAUUACAUGGAGCAGGCUGAAUCCCAGUAUAUUGAGGAUAAUGGUGCUGUGGAAAGUGGGAAAAAGGAAAUGGAAGUGGUUCUUCAGAACUGGUAUCGGUUGCUGCCUAUGUUUCUUUUAUGCAUUAUCAACUUGCUAUGGCUGUUGAAGUCUGAAUUCUCCCCUAAGUGUCUCUCGUGAAAUUAAUUUACUUUUGCAGCUUGCAAAAGGCAAAAUUGGGUGCACAACAGUGGAGUGAUGCCCAAGAAUCCUUGUUCAAUUUAGAGAAGAGGAACGUGGAUUCUGCCGAUAGCAUAGUGAGGUUAAUACCCAACAAGGUGCUUCUCUAGUUUUUGAAAAUGAUUAUGAAUACUCACUUCAAGUAACCUUUUGUAUUUCCCAUAGGCGAGGAAUGGAUGCCAAUCAAUCCUUACGUGCACGCUUUUCUUCAGCCGUGUCAUCCGCCCUUGAAGAUGCUGAUGUCGCAAGCAGGAAUCUCCUUUCUUCUAUUGACCGUAAGUCAUCCCAUGAAUUACAUAUGACAAUCGAAACUAUUUAAGCAUUGGUAUAUAAUCUUGUUUUCCAAAAGGGCUCAUAAUUUUACUGAACAAAUCCUUGCAGAUUCACUGCAACUUGACAACGACGCAUGUGGUAAUCUUGAUUCACUGAUUGUUCCUUGCUGCGGUGAGCUGAGGGAACUGAAGUGUGGACAUCACCACAAAAUUGCGGAAAUCACAGAAAAUGCAGGAAAAUGUCUUCUAGAAGAAUACUUGGUAAGAAAAUUGAAAUUUGUCAGAUAUAAGCUAUAGAAAUAUUGCAGAAACAGUCUUAUGAAAAUAUACCUCAUCUUCACAGCACUCAAGUGUUUCACAAUGGUUGGUUUAUUUUUAAUUAUCAUAGGUCGAUCAACCAUCCAGCGCUGCUACGCCAAGAAGGAGGGCGUACAAUCUUCCAAGUAUUGCUUCCAUUGAGGAACUCAAAACCCCUGCUUUUGAAGAAUUAUUGAAUUCCUUUUGGGAUGCAAAAACAUCAAAGCAAGCAAAUGGAGAUGUAAAGCAGCAUAUAGUUGAAGUUGCUUCUCCCUUGAAAGAUUCUAGAGUUCCCCUCACUGCUAUUAAUUAAUAGAAGAGGGACUUAGAUUCUUCUAUAGGUAGCGUAGUAGACAAUAUAGCAGCAGUAAGUAACUGUACAGGACAUAGCUUCAGUAUGUAGAGUUAGUUACCAACUUAUUUGUUGAUUGUUUUAUCAAUUCGUUUCUAUGGCGGCGGUUUAUAGUCCGCUAGCAGCAGAUUACCUCAUAUCUUGUUGGUAUUCUUCAAUUUAUAUUUUACUUUAGGGUCAGGGAUUGGCGAUGGAGUUUCAGUCCUUGAAAUUCCUUGAGCAAGGAUAAUAGAGACGAGUGAUUUUGCAUGUUUUGGAUAAUUGAAUGAGGCUCUUCUAGCCCCUCCUCUCUGUAAGAUGCAUUAUACUAUCACAGUGAGCUCUCUUGAUGAUUGAUCAUAAAUUAUCGUCAUAUCAUAUGCUUCAUGCUAUAUUAAAUAAUAUAUUAUCGUCAUAUCAUUUUCAAUUGAACAUUUUCAUAUAGUAUCUGUAUCAACGUUGAACAUUUUCAAUUUACUUUUUUUCGUUAUGAUUAUUAUUUUUGAGUUUACAGGUACACUUUUCCUUGAAAGAAAUGUCCUUAAUUUUCUUGAGGAAUAAUAUUUUGAGUUGGAAGGAAAUUGUCUGAAAAAGGGUUGUACAAAAUUCCGGUGCAAUGCUUAGGAAACUCUUCUUCUUUUUUUUUUUUUUUUUACUCAAACAAUCUUAAACUAAUGAAAGUAAAGAAUAGAAAAAGGAAAUUUCUUAUUUAUCAUGAAUGGAAGGAAAUUUCGUACCCUACAAAUUAGAAAAGAAAUUUUGUUCAUAAGCAAAAGGUGUACUUUAUUCAAGCUAAAAAUUGUUCUGUGGAUAAUGCCUAUUUAUGGUGAAGGAAAUUUACACCACUUUUGGUACUAUUUACUACUGCCUUGCAAUUUGUCUUUCCCUUUUUACUCAUCACUUGUGUUUCUUUUUGUUUUUCCCUUUUUGUGUUUCUUUUUUUUUUUAAUUGAUAAUGAGGUGAAAAAAAAAAUUCUACCUUUUUAAUGAAAAGAUUAACACCACUUUUGCUACUGCCUUGCAAUUUGUCUUUCCCAUUUUCCCUCAUCAACUGUAUUUUGUUUCCGUUUCUUUUUUUUUUAUUUUUAAAUUGAUGAUAAGGAGGGGAAAUAAAGGUAAAACGAAGUUAUUUUCUACCGUAACCUCAUGAAUUUUCUUUCUUUAUUUAUUUUUUUUGUACAGCCUUGAAUUUGUUUCCGUUUUUCCUCUUCACUUUGUUUUACUUCUUUUUUCACGUUUUUGUUGUAUCUCGCACCGCCAUUUAACUGCGGUUGCAUCUCUAGUCUUUCGUAGUUUUGUUGCAUCUUUGGAUCUAAAUUGAACACGUUCGGUGAUCAAAGGGUCGCUGCUUUGUUUGACUGCCGGGCAAAAUCUUCUCCAAAAACCCCAUGCAGCUAACUACUCUAAAGAGUUGCCAGGCAUGCAACAACAGUUGUUUGGAGUUAGACAAACUUUUUAAGGAGAUGACAUAAUAUUAUUAUCAAAGUACUAAACUUUUUAAAUCUGUAAAGCAGUAACUUCCCUACUUCUCAAAACUGAAAAACCAAAAGAAGGGGAAAAAGAAAAAAAUUCGGUGUGCUGUGCUCCCUCGAGGCCUUGCUAGACUAAAAAUCAGAUUCUACAGGUGAUAAUGGAGAAAUGCACUCUACAUCUGUAAGGGAAAAAAAAAAAUCAUGUGAUUAAGAUCAGAAGGCAUAACAAAAUAAGGAACCCAUAACAAUACGGGCACUUGGAAGAUACAGGAUCUCUCAGCUAAUUCUAUCUAUGUACAAGAAGCCAUAAUCCACAGACGCAGAGCUUCAACUGAUAGUGAUCGGAGAAAUGAAAGGCUAACUAAGUCUGACCUGAUAGUAUGGAAAAGAAAAGGGAAGAAAAAGGAAAGAACUAGGACAGAGCACAAGGUGAAUUACCUAUGGUAAUUGUUCUUCGGCUUCAUCAAGAUUACUAUUCUACGUUUUGUAACCUAAAAUGAAUUUACAUUUGAAUUAUCUCACUUCAGCAUACGGCUUGAAGGGCUUCAACUCAAUCCCAUGACAACAACCCUGUGUAGGCGAGCUUUAGCCUGCAUGUUUAUAGUAAUUCACAUUAUCAAAGGAUCCAAAUGAAUGGUUAAAGAACUAGCACCUACUUCUAAGAAUCAGGAUGUGAAUUUAGCAGCUAAUGGAAAUUAGUAAUUUGAGAGAGAACAAUCUUUAUAAACAACUUAUGGCAUAAUAAACCAAGAAAUUGCCUCUUUUGAGCAGUUACUCAUCAAAGCACCUUAUCCUAUCAGCCCAAACCUUUACUGGUUAUCACAAUUUUAAAAUGAAUUGCACGAAUGAACUUUCCAAGUUACCUUAUUGUAACUCAGAAUAAGACUGAGCUCAACAGUUAAGCUGGUGGCUCUCGGCCGAAUAUUUCUUCAUCAAAAUCUUCAUUAGUAGAAUUCUCCUGACAUAGCAAAUUGUUCUCUUGCAAAGGAUUCAGGCCAAGAGAGUCCCAAACCAGUGGAGUAGAACUGCUGUGGUCAGCACCUUGUUCAGUUCCGUGACAAGUCUCAACAUUCUCCUCCACAUUAUCCCUAGCAUCAUAGUAUGUAAUCUCUGGCUUUUUAUCAUCAUCCGUGCAUGACGGUUCAAUAUUUAGAUCAGAGCUUAAAUCAAAACCACUUUGUUCUCCCGGCCCAUGAAAAGCAACAGUCACAGACCCUUGCUCUGAUGGCUCAUUUGCUUCUUUUCUUUGCCUCUUCCAUUUCUUAGUCGAUGAUGUCCCGUCAUCCUCAAAAUCCUCUUCUUCUCUUUCUCUGUGCAAAUACACCCACAGUUUCCUCUCUCCAUCAAACUGCACACAAGGAUCACGCUCGUAAUGUAGCCGGUCCAGUGCUCCACUAACCACUUGAUUAACUUGAGCAUCAGAAACAUCUUCCACAAUAUACUGUGAAUCUCUGAUCAGCGUGCAAACAUCUGCCCUUGUCCCAAUGCUUCCUGGCAAUCUAGCAGCUGCAUCUCUUACAAGACAAAGAAUAGUAACAUGGGGAGGACGAUCACGUUUUAGCAUAAAAUGAUCCCUGGCCUUCGAUGUUGGCUUGCCACCACAUCUUCUCAAGGGGGCAACGAUUGAUUUUUUACCAUCAAUAGCUGUAUAAGCAAAGGCUCUGUCUGGAAUUGAAUACCUAAGUACCUCCUCUUUACGGAAAUAAGAUCUUACUUCUUCACAACUUGGGCUGAUAGUGGUGAGACUCUUCUGAGCUCUCAGGUCCUUGAACCGUUCUUUCUCAUCUAAAUUGAACUGCAUCAGUGUCAAUGGUGGGGCUGGUAAACUUCCUAUUUGUUGGAGUGUCUCCUGACCAUUUUUCAGCCAAUUAGCAAAAGAAUCGACUAACUUGACAAGCAUCUUGUGAGGAAGACCCCAGGCAUCUGGAGAUGUCACCUCCUCGACAGCCUCAUUAUCAGAUGGACUGUGAUUCACAGGACCAAUCCAGGACCAACUUUUGUUUGUCUUUUCAUAGACAACAAGUGAUUUCCAACCUUUAGCUCCCAAAGGUGCUGUUUUGGAUGAAAAUAUUUUCAGAACACCUCGGACCAAAUCCUGAAGUGGUUCUUGAGUUUCAAGAAUACAGGGAUCUCCAGGAUUGGAUCUAACACGGUUAACAAUUUCCUGAACAGUGAGAGAAGGAACGUUCAGUUGUGAAGAAGCUGCAAGCUUACUGACAUCCAAGUCUGCCUGUGGAUGAUUUCCGUUGGAGCUAUCCUGCCUUGUAUCUUGGUCCUCGUUGACAAUUGCUGCACCCUCAGUCUGAUCAAGAUGCUUUCCAACCUCUAAAGAGUCCUCUGGAAUCUGAGUAAUCAUUGCCAUGCGAACUGCUGAAAGAAGAUGAAUGACUGAGAAUGAGAAGCCGGUAUGAACCGUGGGUGUAAUUGGAGUGAAAUGCUUUUUCUGCGGUUUAAUAUCUGGCUCGACAUCUUCUACUUCCAUCUCUGUAUUAGGUACUUCAUUGAUUCCCUUUUCCAACAUAACAGUGUCAUCCCCCAAUUUCUUUUUCCCCCGCUUCUUUGAGGAAUCAGCAUCAUCCAUUUGCAAUUGACUAUCAUAGGGGAAAUAACUUGUAUUUUCUCUCUCAUCCAGGUAAGUCACAUCAUCCUUCACUUUCCGUUUCUUAGCAUUAGAGUUGCAUCCUAUCAAUUGAAUAUCAGAUUUUUCAUGAUGAUUACCAGCAUAUGUUUCGUUCACUUGAGCUUUUUUCCCCAACCUGGCAGAGACCUUGGCAUGCCCUGCCAAUGACUUAAUCAGAAGGGAAUCAUCAUCCUCCUCAAGAUCAUUAUCUUGCAGAAAAUUUGACUGGGGAACGCCAUAGUCCCUGUACAAUUCUCCUUUCCUCCUCCUCUCCAAAUGUGGUGACUUAAAGAUGGGAAUGUGCAAUCUUUCGCUCUGAUCUUCUUGGAUAUGGUCAUUCCUUCCCAACUUGUACAUUUGCUGCCAAUCAUCCUCACCAGUUAGUCGACCAGAUCCAGAGAAAUAAUUCCUGCCCAAAUCUCUAGUAUAAGCAUUAACUUGACCAAUAUCAUGCAUCUUGCCUUUCUGCUCAGCUCUCCAGUUGUGGUUCCCAUUUUUAAUCAUCCGUAGAUGUUCACCAGAAUCAGACAUCUGUCUUGUGGAGUGGGACGAUCCAUCAAGAGUCCAGAUCCCAUCUUUUGCAUCCUUCUUAAAAAGUUUUGACUUCUUCGAAUUUCGGCCCACUUUUAGAUCAGAAAUACCACUAGGGUAAGCCCACUUGCUCCUCAUCAGGGGAUUAUCAUCCUCAUCUUCAUCAAUCUGCUCAGAUGAAUCAGAUUCAGUUUCAUCCUUUUUAGCAAAAUCCCUGACACCUUUAAACUUUGCCAUACCUCGCCCACCAUUUUGCAUAGAACUUGAUCUGACUCUUUCCUGCAAUGGCUUUGGCUGAUACUCGGAAUCAAUAAAUCGAUUAUCAACUCCAAGCUCAGGAGAGUCCCUACCCAUUUUCCACUUCUUGCUUUUUCCAUUCCAAUCUCCAUACUUGUAUGAUUGCUCAGCAGAGAAAGGUCCUCCCUGUCCUGUACCAAGCCAAAAGGGUUCCUUCCCAUCUAACAUUUCCGUGUGACUUCCUUUCAGUAACAAAUUUGGUAUUCGACCCUUUCCAUAUAUCAUCUGAUCUUCAGAACCAUGAUGCGGAAAAUUUCCAACAUUCUUGACCUUUUUCCCAAGAUCAUAGGGAAUCCUAGCAUUAAGUGGCUUUGAAGUUAAAACCUUGAUGUCUGAUAAUUGAUUGACAGUGUUGUUCCUGCCAUACAAAUGCAAAUCAUUCUUAGGUAAUCCCAUAAAAUUGUCAGUAUACUCUUCAACUCUUAAAGGUUCAUCAUGUCUUUUCCCCAUUUUGAAAGUCCCUCCUUUGCUUGAUACCCCAGCCCGAGAGAAAUUCUGAUCUCUGUGCACAGACACUUCAUACAUUGAUUCAUUUUCAUAAUCAUCAGCUUCCAUUUGAUCCCUACUGUGGAAUGCUGCCCCAGGAUCAAACCCUGCCACUCGAUAAUGGUGAGAAAGAGGCAGAGCUGGACCAUAAGGCCCAGAUUUUAGAUCCAUCCCGUGGUGGGCCAAAGAAAAGCCACCUGGUAGUUCUUUUGCCAUUGCAGAUUUAGAUCCCCCUAACUUGAGAUUUCCUUUUUUAUUCUGCUUCCCGGCCUUUGGUGGUUCUAAAGCCAGUUGCCUGCCAUGAGAUGGGAAAUCCGAAGCCGAAGCAAUGCCAUAUCCAGACUGUCGGGCAAGUUUCUGCCCAAGCUUUCGAUCCUUGGCCAGUUUGCCCCAUGUACCAUCUCCUGACUCCUCCAUCUCAGACGAGUCACUUUUUAAUUCCUCCAUCUUGUCAUACAUCAAGCUAUUUUGGCUCUUCAUUAUGUUCAGAACUUGAAGCUUUUCCUCAAUGCUAUACCCUUUGCAAUUCAACCAAGCGUCUUUCAUUUGACAAAGAUUGCUCACCAUUGUAUUCUGAUGCUUCCGCAAGAGAUGGUAAUGCUGCCUUCUCUGAAAGAAAUUCAAACCCUGCCGAUACAAAGCCACCCUCGGCUCACACAACCCUCCCUUCAACAUGUCAAACAACUUAUCAAUAGGACUUCCAAAAUGCAAAUUACACCCAGUAAGGAGCUCCAUUAAAGUCCGCAUAAAAGUCUCUUGGUCCAUGUCAGGUAAAUACUGAGUAAGACUGUAUCUUUCUUCCUCACUCAAGACCUCAUUCCACACAUCCAUAUUCAACACAUCAUGCAGCCCGGAAAGAUCAUACAACUCAACUGGAAUGCUGCAGGUUUGAUCACCAACCUGGCAAAACUCCUCCCCAGCUUCACCAAAUUCAAGUAAAUCAAUGUCAUCCGAGCCAGCCCCAGAAUCACAGUCAUCAAAAUCAUCAUCUUCAUCAUCAUCAUCAGAAUCAACAGCACUCAAGUUUCGCCUCUGAAACUCCUCAUCCUCACUUGACAACAUAGUGUUAGUAUCUCUACUAUGUGGCGAAAACUCUGAAUCAAAUCUCGAAACCUUAAAGUUAUUCUUCUCAAUCGCCAUUCAAUACCACCAACAUACACAUAAGCCCCUACCAAAUUUAAAAAAAUACAAAACUCAAAAAAUUAGAACUUUCUCAACUAAACCAUCACCCAGCUACAAAAAAUGCAUAGAAACAUUAAUUUCCCCAAAAAAAAAAAUUUAAAACCGAAAAAAUAAAAGCAACCCACAUUCUAAUUCACAAAACCCGUGUCAAGAAACCCAAAAACAAUCCAAAUACUAAAACAUAUUCCAAACCAAUAAAAGAAAAUUCCAAUCUUUCUUCAACCAACGAGCAGGAAUGAACAUAAAAACAACGAUAGAUAAAUGAAGAAGAAGGUGAGAUUGGAUCAAACUCAUACCUGAGAUGUCGUCGAUGGACUCGAGGCCAGGCCAACUGGAAAAAAAAAAGAGAAUUAUGAUAAGAAGAAAGCAGGAGAAGCGAGGCGAGAGAGAUUUUUUUUUGGAGAGAACAAAAUAUAAUAAGAGUGGGAACCCUAGAGAAGAAGAAAGAGAAAGGGACGGAGAGGGUGGGGAAGGGAAGGGGAGUGGGUAUGUUAUGGUGUGAGCGGGUGUAGAGUGGGACGACAGGGAAGAGCAAGAAGAAGACGAGUGUGUGGACUGGGCCGAGCCGUCCGAUUGGGGAGCAAAGUGAAAAGACUGAAAAGGGCAUGAAAGAGAGUGGGGAAGGAGGGAAGGGGAAGUGGGAGACGUGUUUCUUUUACACUUUGCAGAAGGUCUUGGGGGUAAAGAGAAAGAGAAGGAAAAAAGAGGUGUUUUCGUGAGGAGGUAGUGUGUGUAGUGUGUGUAGAGAAGGUGGGAGAGAACUGAGAAGAGAAGGGAGUGGGAAAGAGAGAGCGCGGUUUGGUUUCUGCAGGGAAGAAAUUCUAAUUGGGACCGUUGCUUUGGUGGGGCCUAAGAAAUUGCAAGACUAAAUGAAUUAGCAUUUUUUAAUAAAAAUUUUGACAUCGUUUUCUUGGAAAAAUGUACUAAAGUAUGGAAGUUUUUGUUUUGAUUAAGGUUGUAAAAAUAUUUAUCUUCAUGAUGGUGGAAGAACAAAAAAAACACAUGAGAAAUAACAAAGAGUGCAAACUUUUAUGAAAAGAAGAAAUUGGUGUACCUCUUUUUAUUGUUUACCCUUUUCCUAUAUUCUAUCUCGAAAAAAUUUUCAUGUUUCUUAUUUAAACUAGGUUUUUAUUUUUACGACAAAGAUUUCUUCAUUCAUAUUUUCCUUCUAAUAUCAAUUUCAUUUUGAGUUUUAAACUUUAAAUACUAUAUUUCAACAAGUCUAGUUUUUGUUUUCUUUUUUUUCCUUUUUUUGAAACGAAUUACAAAUCUACCUAUUGCCCCAAGCUUUUGUAAAAUGAUGAGUUUCUUAAAGUUAGCUUUUCGAGUCUGUUUGGAUUGUAAAUUAUUUGUCAAAAUAAUUAUAUCUUUUAUUUUGUAGUGAUGACUAAAUCUUAGGCUUUUCAACAAUCCAAUUUUAAAAAUGAAAGUCUCUACAAAUUACCAAUAAAUGACUUCAAUAUCAAUGGUUCGAUAUAGUUAAAUUCAAUAUAUUUUUUUUCUAUUUUGUAAUGAAUAUGGUUAUGUUAACUUACAUCCGAAAUGGAAUCUCAGAUUGUGUAUUAAUUUUUUUUUUCCGAAACAUUUAAGAAGAUGUUAUCAGGGACAUGACUUGUCUAUAUUGUGAAUUGAAAUCCAAAGAAUUUGAAAGUGGAAGCACUGUACACAAUUAUUUAACGAAAAUGUACAUCAAAGGCCUGUAAAUUAAAAUUUCAUAUUUUUACCUGAAAAAAAAAAGAUAUUUGCAAGAAAUCCCUGUUGUAGCUAGUAUCCUCGUAACCUCCCCAUCUAUUACUGCAACAUAUAAUCAAAUUUUGCGAGUAAUUUUACAUUUUGGCAACCAUUGUUUGGAAAUGAAAAAGAGGCCAAGGAAUUCUAACCCCUAAACUUCUUGUAGAAUGAUUAGAAAGUUUGCCUAAAAUGUCCAAAACAGACAUUGUUAUUUUUCUGGCAAGAACUUAUUGCAUCUAAUGUUUUUCAACAAUUUCUGAUUGCAUUUUCAUGCCUGUAAAAUAAUUGGUGCAGGGGCUUGGAAAAUAUUCUUUUUUUUUUUGUAACUAAUGACAUAUGUCGAUCCAUCUCAUCGUACCAAGUCAAUUAUAUGUCGUGGGUGCAAGAUGUUAAUCACUAGUUCUGGACAAAUCAAUGGUGGAGGUGAGAGAAAUUGUUUGGCCAAAUGCUUCUACACAUUUCCCAUAACAUUUUCUGAGCUGGUGUUCUCAAGGGAAAGCUGAAUGCCUGACAGCCAAGUUUUCAACUGAAAUAACUAAUUUUAGCUUUGCCACCUUUGCAACCGGAUGCCUCUCCAUCUGAUUCCUUCUUGAUUUCCUCCAUUGUUACAUGUCUCCUGCAACCAUAUAUUCAGAUUCUACAGCUCCCUAUGAAGUUGAAAAAAAAAAAGAUAUGGGACGAAUCGACCGCACAGAAUUGGCUAAAGGGGGAUCGGCAAAAUGGAUUCUUGAGAGCAUUGAAAUUGAUAGUAUUGCUGAUGUGCCCGAUGAUGAUGGUGAUCAGCCAGGCUCCAUACCGAAAAACACAAAUCAAACAUCUUUUGAGAGGCAAAUAAGCAAUUUGAGGAAGAGAAAUGGAGUUCCUGGCAACAACUCCCCCAUUUUGACAAGGACACAAUCAGGUGCUGCUAGAGGGCUUAAUGGCUUACGAUUCCUCGACAGGAUUAACACAGGGAAGGAAAUGGAUGCAUGGAAAGCAAUCGAGAGACGUUUCUAUCAGAAUGGGGUUAAUGGGAGGAUUUUUAGAGACAAAUUUGGGGUGUGCAUUGGUAUUUAAUUUUUCUUAAACAUCUCUUCUUGUUAAGCUGAUUUUGUGCUAGUUCGAGGAUGAAAGCCAAGAUUACAUAUUUUGCAUUUUCCUUGUUAAAGGGAUGGCAGCAGAGAGUAAGGAAUUUGCGGGUGAAUUGUUUGAUACGUUGGCCAGGCGGAGGAUGAUCAACCCCGAAAAUGGUAUAGUCAAGGAGGAACUAAGAAAAUUUUGGGAAGAUAUCACAAAUCCAGACCUUGAUGCACGGCUACAUAUAUUUUUUGAAAUGUAAGACAGUUUUGAGGUUCUCGAAGCAGGAAACAUAAGGGAUGUUAAGAAAAAUAACAAUAACACUUGCCAAUGAUUAGAUGUGGCCUUUUUAUUGCAGGUGUGACAAGAAUGGCGAUGGCAGGCUAUCAGAAGAUGAGGUCAAAGAGGUAACAAGUUAACAUGUACCAAAAUGUUUUUAUCUUUAUGCAAAUUCAUCCUUUCUCAUGGAUCAAACUGCUUCAUAUCUUGUGGAAAAGAUUCUAGUAAUGAGUGCCUCAGCAAAUAAGUUGUCCAACUUUAAGACUCAUGCUGCAACAUAUGCUGCUCUAAUCAUGGAAGAGCUCGAUCCUGACCACACGGGAUACAUAGAGGUUAGGACGUAAAAAAAAAAACCAAAACCUCUUCUUCAUCUUCUUCUCCUUGUUUCUCUUGUCCACUUCAUUGCCUGUGUCUCACGGCGAAUAUAAACAGAUGUGGCAACUAGAAACUUUACUAAAAGGGAUGGUGAGCUCAGAAGAUGGUAAAGAUAUUUCGAAGAGGACGCUAAUGCUGGCGAAGACCAUGAUUCCCAAAAGAUAUAGAACUCGAGUCAGCAAAUUUGUCCUAAAAAUCUCGGGGAAAAUACAUGAGAACUGGCAGAGAAUAUGGAUGGUCACAUUGUGGUUGAGUGUGAAUUUGGCACUCUUUGCUUAUAAAUUUCAUGAAUAUAGAAAAAAACCGACAUUCCAAGUGUUGGGAUAUUGUGUCUGCAUGGCUAAGGGUGCUGCUGAGACUCUGAAGUUUAACAUGGCUCUGAUACUCCUUCCAGUAUGCAGGAGAACUCUUACAACGCUACGGGAAACAUUCCUUGGUACCGUGAUCCCCUUCGAUGACAAUAUCAAUUUCCACAAAUUGAUUGCUCUAGCAAUUGCAGUAGGAACCUUUGUUCAUGUAGUGUUUCAUUUGAGUUGCAAUUUGGUGAGAUUAUCAAGUUGUCCAAGUGAUACAUUCAACGAUAUAUAUGGAAGUGUCUUUAACUACCACCAACCUACUUAUUUUGAGCUUACGCUUAGUACCCCUGGCGCAACCGGAAUUAUGAUGGUGUUUAUGAUGACUUUCUCCUUCACGCUAGCGUUGCAUUCAUUCAGGCGCAAUGUUGUAAAACUGCCACAUCCAUUCGACAAAUUGGCAGGGUUCAAUUCCUUCUGGUAUGCGCAUCAUCUACUGGCCAUUGUCUACAUCCUCUUGAUCUUACACGGCUACUUCUUGAUCUUCUCUAACGAAUGGUAUCGAAAGACGGUAUGCUGAUUUUCCCUUAUUUACUAAUUCCUGAACACUUUUUCUGACGGAGGUAGACGAAUGAGAGUCAGAAGAACAUAUAUAGCUUCCAGUAGUGGUACGGUACAUUCGCAUGGUUUCUGGAAUUCAAUGUUUAAUGAUUAAAGAAUGGUUUUCAAAGAUAUAAGUUUUGAUAAUGCGAGAGAUAAAAAAGUUUCCAAUUCAUUCUCAACUCAGCAAGGUCGUAAUUACAUUUUGAUGAAUUUCACUUGUAAGGAUGACCGUUCCACUUUGCACCGAAAACAGAUUUAGUUCCCCCAUCAAAUAUCUCAUUUUAACCGUAUUGAUCUGCUGAAAAUGCAAUCUCCAGUAGUAAAUUUCUGCAUGAGGCUAAAUACAAACCAAUAUUCUCAUCAAACAAUGUUCUAGUUAAAACCUCUCAUAGGUGUGGAAUUAUGUAUGAUGUCCUUAUGGUGCAGACAUGGAUGUAUCUUGCUGUCCCAAUGUUCAUAUAUGCCAGCGAAAGAAUUCUCACAAUGUAUGACCACAAGUACCAGGUGGACAUAGAGAAGGUUGGUCUUCCUUGUUCCAUUAGUUUCCUUCAAAUUCACAAGAAUAAGUUUAAUUCACUAAUGCAUCUCGUAUGCAGGCUGUUAUAUAUACAGGAAAUGUUCUAGCACUAUACAUGAGCAAACCUGUAGGAUUCAAGUACAAAAGUGGGAUGUACCUUUUUGUCAAAUGUCCUGAUAUAUCACCUUUUGAGUGGUAAAGCAAGCAGGAAUUUUUCAAUGAUCUUCCAUCUAGCCCUAGCAAUAUAUAACAUGAUUUAUCAUUUAUCUCUUUCAGGCAUCCAUUCUCCAUCACAUCUGCACCUGAUGAUCCCUAUCUCAGUGUCCACAUACGUGCACUGGGAGACUGGACUACGGAGCUCAAAAACACAUUUGAGAAGGUAAUACUUAUUCCUUUUUCCUCACCGUUUAUUUAUUCUGAAUCGAGUUCAGGUGAUCUGAUCCCAUCAAACCAUCUACGAGAUCUCCUGUUUAGAAAAAUUGGUUAAGUUUUGUGCAACUCAGAGUACAGUCGGCAAAUUUUUACCGGCAACACAAACAUUGAACCUCUUUUUCAGCCACAGGGUCACAGGAUCAGUUGAUCGGUCCUUGUGCUCUUCUUUCUCAUUUAAAGAAUGGCAGAAGCAUACAUAGACCCUUCUUGCUCAAUCGUCUGUUUUUACAUCUCAUUUUCCUUCUCUCUUUAUUCUGAGGCACUCGUGCGCAGGCCUGUGAACCUCAAGAUGCACAAGCUAAAACGGGAAGCCUUGUAAGAUUGGAAACACGGGCGCGUUCUGGUACUCCUCAGCAAUCACAAGCAGGGUGAGCAUGUAAAUCCCAUUCAGUAAUCUUAAGAUUGCUCAAAUAUGUCACCUCUAAUAUUAUGUUUACAUUAAGUAUAGGUUCCCAACGAUCUUGAUCAAAGGACCUUAUGGAGCACCUGCACAAAAUUACAAGAAAUAUGACACCCUUCUUCUCAUUGGACUGGGGAUUGGAGCGACACCAUUCAUCAGCAUUAUAAAAGACAUUCUAAAUAAUAGAGUUGAAUUAGUAAGUAUCAAGCUCCUGAAUCUUUGAUUAAAUUUUCUCAAGAAUGAGAGGACAAUCAUACCGGAUGAACAUAUGAAACAAAAAUAAACUAUUGCAGGACCUUGCAGAUGACUUACUAGCAAGAAAGAAAGGUCCUAAAAGAGCCUACUUUUACUGGUUAACACGCGAGCAAGGAUCUUUUGAAUGGUUCAAGGGAGUCAUGGAUGACUUAGCAGAGUAUGAUGAUCAUGUAAGUCACAUAGAAACUAAAAAAGAUCAUAAUUAUUCAGUUCCCUUUUCUUAAGAUUGCUCGAACUGAACUCUUUUUUCAGCAUGUCAUAGAAAUGCAUAACUACUUGACUAGUGUAUAUGAAGAAGGAGAUGCUCGAUCAGCAUUAAUCUCAAUGGUUCAGUCACUGCUGCAUGCCAAGAAUGGAGUUGAUGUUGUCUCAGAAAGUCGGGUAUUCACGUCCAAACAUACAAUUUCCACAAAGCUUUUCCCGCAAUAAACUUAAUGUUGGUUUCUGACACAAUAUAUUGACAGAUUAAGACGCAUUUUGCAAGACCAAACUGGAGGAAAGUGUUCACUGAUUUGGCAACUCAAAAUCCAUCCGCACGGAUUGGUAAGUUGAUGUCAUCCAUUUCCUUCCAACUGAUGAUUCCAGCUUUGUCAGGGCUUAAAGAUUGUUCUCAUUGCCAAAUGAUGGAUUGUUGCAGGAGUCUUCUACUGUGGAAGUUCAGCACUUACAAAGACACUCAAACAACUAUGCCAUAAACUAAGCUUAGAAACGACAACACGCUUCCAUUUUCACAAGGAAAACUUCUAGAGAAAUUUUGUAGUCUUAUUAUUAUAUAUAUAUAUUCUGAAUAGGCAUGUCCAAUGGCAUACCAUACUGUGUCAUAUUGUAUGCAUCUUUCUUUUUUUUUUUUCACGAUACAGAAGACGUAUAUAGAUGCAGAACUUAGUUAGGCAGUCAAAUUGAUUUUGGUUGAGUUUUUUUUUUUUUAGUUUUUAUUAAGCCUUUGCUAUGUUGCAGAUUUGAUGGUAGUAGCUCUCGUACGGGCAUCCGCCCUCAGGCAAUGGAUUGCAAAGGCUUUCAAGUUUUAAAUUUUAAUCGUAAUCACUCCAUUGAACUUUCGGUCUCUGUUUCCACUCCAAGUAGAAUUAGGCAUACCCAGCUACCCCAAUGAAAGUAUGAAAACCAUCCAUAAUCCUCAAGAAAAUGUUCAAAAAUACACUAUUUUCCAUAUAAUACUACUUCCUCAAGAAAAUAAUCCUCAUAUAAUAUUUCUUGGUCAAUUCUCAAAUCAUACAACAUAUAACAAGCUCCUUGUAGCAAUUGAUACAAUCGUUUUGGUCAAUCCUCACUUUAUACAUCGUACUGUAUCUCAGAAUUUUAUAGCAUAAAACCUAUUUUCAAGGGGAGGGGGCCGGGAAGAUACCAUCGUGCAUAGUUAUUCCUUCGUCUUUUUCUGACUGGAAACAGGCCUCGUCUCGCCUGGGUGAUGCUUUCCAUGUUUUGAAAUAUUGGCCACAGGCUUGUACAAUCUAAUCAGCAUUCGUAUAUAGUUUUCUUGAUUGCUAUUGGAUAAAGGGCUGAUAAUUGGUCCACAAUUGGUCAAUAAAAUCAAAGUUCAAAUUGUGCGGAUCAAAAAAAUUCCACUUUUAUCUUUGACAUAACAAAUAUGUACAAAGUCUAUAUUAGCAGUAGCUAAUAUACAAUACAAGAUCUAUGGUAACGAUAACGAAUAAAACAUCUGAUUAUAGAAGUGCACAAGUCAUAUAUAAUAAUAAAUUGCAAAGUAUUAAAAAUUUAUUAUAUCGUUCAGAAAUAGUUAUACUAUCAUUCAUAUUUCUUGAAAUUACUAUGAUUCUACGUUAAAAAUAAUACACGUAUUAGGGCAAAUGGACCUUUAAUUCAUCCACGAGAGGAGUCGGAUGUGCUCCUACAGGAUAGAACCCUUCCGUUUUUCUUAUUUCUUAACCCAUUCGUUCCUUUUUGCCUCGGCUGCAGAAUUUUUGCCACUGGUCCGUUUGGUUCGAAUGAAAACUUUAAAGCAGCUAAAUCAGAUUUAUAUGGAAAAGCAGCUAAACUUGGCCACGUACCGAUCGGAGUCAAGAAUCCAGUCAACCAAGACUGCCCACUUGAGUCCCUUUUCAAGCUUUUUCACUUUCCGAUUAGUUUCGUCAUGCUAAUUAGUAAAUGUCUACUGGUAACUUCUACUCUUUUUAUGAUUAUUUUAUUUUUACACAACCUCUGUCAAGAAACUUUGGAAACGAUAUGAUAGUGCGGGAAAAUGUGGAAAUUGACCUUUCAAAGCUGGAGACACACGACAAUGUCUCAGAUGGAUACUGAUCAGAAGAAAGAGUCAGAUCAUUUUGCUUUUUGCUACUACAAAACAUGAAAAUAACAGUGUGAAAAUUAAAUGCAACACAAUAAUAAUUUGGAAGGAAUAUCCUAUUGCCAUCUGCUAUCUCUUAUGUUUUUCUCUUGUUAGAUAUUCUUCACCCAGCAGUAGUAGGGAUUCUCAAAAAUGAUCCCCGCUGGGACAUGCCCCAAGAGAAAACUAUAGUGCAACGUAUUGUUCCCACCAAGCCUCGAAGUGUCACACGAAAUCCAGGCUGAUCCAUUUCCACCCUUCAUAUCAUCGUUUCAGGAGAUGUACUUCACGCCAAACAGUCACCACACACAAGCAUCUAUCUUUUCACCAUUAAUGGGAAGAAUUCCUUCUUCUAUUGAAUUUCCAUCUUCUACUCCUAGAUCCCUUUUCAAAUCUCACCAAUUUGCUAGACUCAGACCCUAAGUUUUGAUUCCAAAGUAGGGAGCCUCUAUAUGGUUAUCGACAUUCUAAAUGCAGAGUGGUGUGACAGUGUGACCAUUUUUCCGUGAAAAUUUUUUCGUUGCGUCAUAUAUAUAUGUUUUUCUACUAUUUUUUUUGUCUCACAUAAAACCUGUUAUAAUAUUAAUUUUAAAAUUUUUUUCCAUGUAAGCUUCAUUCCAAUUGCAGCUUAAAAAUGAAUUAAUUUUACUUUACACUUUUCAACUAUACUCGAAUUAUUAUUUUGGUUCAUAAAUUUUAAAAUGGGACACUUUAAAUCCUAAAGUAUAAAAUCUAUCACACUUUAGUUCCUAAAGUAUGCAAUUUUUUCUACUUUAGUUCUCAAAAUAUAAUCUGUCUCAAUUUAGUCCCUAACAUAUAAAAUCUAUCCUAUUUAAGUAUAAAAUUUAUCUCACUUCUAUCAACCAUUUUACUUAAGUAGGACUAAUUCUUAGAUUAAUAUUAAGGGGCUAAAGUAUCCCGUUUUGAAGUUUAGAAACUAAGGUAGAAAUUUCAAUAUAAUUGAAGGGUGCAAAGUGGAAUUAACCCGUAAAAAACAUAUUUCAAUUGCAACUAAAAAAAAACUUUCUUUUUUUUUAGGGAUAAUUUCAAAAAAAUAACUUUUUUUUUUGUAAUGAUCGCAAUCACCUUCUUUGAGAUUUGAAAAAUUGUAGAAACUUCCCCUAGAAAGUAUGUUUUGUUAACAAAUGGUAAUGUAAGCACAAAAAGUCUAAUGAAUAUCCUAUAUUGCCUCUAUUUAAUUUAAAAAUAAAUUAAAUGAAAAAGAAAUCAAAUAUUAGCGUUACUUGCAAAGUAAAAAAAACUUUAAGGUAGUUCUUUGCAAAAAAAUUUAGCCCAUGUUUCAAGGCAUCAAUUUUUCCCCCUUUGCUAAGUAAAUCGUGAAGAAACUAUUUUUAACAAAUACAUCCUUGCUAGUCGGCUGUUUAUAAAUUAAGUAAGAAGUUCAUUUAAAUAACUUAAGAAUUGAAUUAAAUAUAAUAGAUUGAGGUUGGAGCUUUUGAUUAAAGAAACAUUUGCAAGAUGCGAUUUUUUAUUCUUUACACCCACUUUUUACUUAGAAUUUGUAGAUUUGUCAAGGCUAUCGUAAUCUUUUCAUAACAUCAAGGGAGGUAAGUGUAAUUUUUCAAACCUGAAGAGAGAUGGUUGAAAUUAUCAGAAACCUUAGGGGAGGUUUAUGAAAUUAUCCCUUUCUUUUAUCAUGCCCCUAUCUGCAAUCUGUGGAUUAUGCAUGUGCAUGCAUUGACUUGUCCAGCAGUCUAUUUUCCCAUGGAUAUAUUAGUUAACAAAGCCUGAUAUAUAUGGUCACAUCUUCUACACUUCUAUGGCAGGACAGAAAUUGAGCCAUAGCAGCUAUACAUAAGAAUAGUAGUAUAAGACAAGCUGGAUCCAGUUUGUGCAGAAUCUAGUUUAGUACGAGUAAACAAGUCCCGCGCAUACAAUCAAAUAGUGGUAGUUGCAGGGCAGGGUGAACAUUUUCAAAGGUCAGUAAGCACUGCAUGAAUACCAUUUACCGCAAAUUAGACAAUUCAGACAAUUCCAAGUCCACAGGAAAACGUAACAGAAACCACGCAACACGAUAAACAAAGUAAUAGUACUCACUGGAAGAUGAAAAAUUCAAGCCUAUAGCCUAUACUAUUCUCAUCUCUAUCUCCAUUCUUAUCCAACAUAGGAAUAAAAUAAAAGAGAUAAGAUAUUAUCGUACAUAAGUCAUAAGUCAUGAAAAUGGUAUCCCAUAAAUGUCAUCCAUCACACGCCGUACCUAAAGCUAACUCUCAAUGAAAUACACAGAAUUAAGCAACCUGCCCGUUUUAUUAUUCUGUUACAUGUGAUCCAUUGAAGUUAGGCAAGACGUGCCAUGAUUACAUAUAUGGGAUACCUUUUCCAACUUUCACGAGUAUGAGUUACGGCUAGGGUUGGAAGUGGUGGCCUGAUGAUCUUUGACAUUUUGGGUUGUGAUGGGAAAGAGUUCUAGGGUUUUCAGGGGUCUAUUACUGCUGCAGCAAGAGGGAUAAUGAGUAGGACCCGCGUCUCUCAUCUUCAACAUCAUCAUCGUCCAAUCAUCACCAUAACUUCUCAUCAUGCUAGUAUUUUGCAAUUCGUACAUGUUUGGAGGAUCCCUCUUCCAUGUGCAGCUGGUCAUAUGUGCUGCUGCACUGCCAACUCCACCCUGUUAGUGUUAAAGAUAACCAAUUAGUUACUUCCUUUAUCUGUUGAUGGCUGGAUAGCAAAUCCAAUUCAUUCGACACAGAUCCAGAAGGCCUAAGAACAUUUUUAGCGUGCAUGCAUGAUCCAGGCACACAUAGUUGCAGGCUGAAAAUUUGCCUAACUUUACAAUCUUCAGAACCUCGUUUGUUCUUUUUGGUACUUCCAUGAAUUUGUAUUAGGACUUGGACCGAGGAUCCAAGUUUUCCCAAACGGAAUAGCCAGAAAAAACAAAAAAAAAAACUAAAAGACUUGCGUUACAGGUCACCUUGCUUUAAUGGAGUCAAGAAAUAUGUCUUCUAGUCCUACUCUAAGUAAACGAGAAUGUCGGAAAUACCAUAAGAUAUGACUAUUACACCACUUAAAAAAAUAAGAAAGGAAAAAAAUUAUUUGGAAUUUGUGCUGCUGUUAAUGUACUUAAAACCUGCCCACUAGCUUAGCUCUUACAUGCAUUUUAAUUUUCAGCCGUCUAAAUAAAAAUAAAAUGAUGAAAUUAGUUUAGAUUUAAGAUUACCGGAUGAAGAUAAUCAGCUGACUUGUCGAGGGAUAGCUGAUGCAGAGCAGGAGGAGGAGAUUCAUUUGAGCUAAGAAACUUGUUUUCUUGAUUAUGGCAUCGAUGGAGGCACAGCUGCUCCUGUAAUAGUUGUUGUUGGUAUAGUUGCUUGCUCAGUUUCCUUCUUAGCUUCUGUCUCUCCCUGGCUUUGUGGUUCUGAAACCAGUAAAAUACAUUCUUCCCCUCGAUUUUGCCAUAGAAAGAAAGGUGGGCCGUGAUCCUUUGUAUUUGAGAAGCAUUUGGUGUUCUUAUGCCUCCUCUAUACAUUUCCUCCAAAAUCAUGAGCUGCUCUGGGGUUGGACACCAUCUGGUUGAAUUUGAUGGAGACAUUUUUUUUUCACCUUUUUGGUACAAUUGCAAUGCCGCACUGAUUUGUGUGAAACUUGGGGGCUCCAACUUAGGAUAUAAAUAGAUGGAGAGAAAAGUACAGAUGAUAUAAGCGAUAGAGCGUCAGAUCAUGGCGAGGAAGUAACAGUGUCCAAAUCCAAAGUUGUCAUGCUGAUGUCUAAUGUCUGAGAGAAUAGGGCCGCAGGGCUCAGGACGGUUGCUAUAGCAAUAGUCCCGAACAACUUGUAGCUAUGAUUUGGCUACAAUACUAAGUACUCAUAGUAAUCUCUGGCAAUGGUUAGGCUUUAGGGGAAAUCCCAGAGCACACAACUACAGCUAUUAUUAGGUUUAUUUUAAUGUCUCUACCUAUACUCAAUUUGAGAGGCGUUCCAAUAUUUUCUUCAUUACAAUUAUUUUACAAUGAUGUAUGGUGGUAUUUUUCGAUUGUCAUUAAAUUAAGGUGGAUGUAACUUAAUAGCGACAAAAAUAACAUAUUUAACACUUUACAAGAAAUCAUAAUAUGUAAGGGACUUUGAAUGGAAAUGUAUCAAGUUCCUUUCUAUCCAUUUCACAAAGAUAACACGGUGUGCUAUAUUAUGGUAUCUACACUCUACAGUUAGUUUCUCUUGCUCUCCCUCAUAAAGGAAAAGGUCUUCAGUAAGAGAAUGCACACCCGCCCACACGGGAGGGAAAGUGACACGAUCGGGCUGGUUGAAUGAGAAAAGACAUUACGGGGUUGGUUGGGGAGCUCGCAUGAAUGGUUUCGUCAUCAUCACCGCAUUAUUUACUUCUUUAACAGAAUUUGGAGUAGACAUCUGCAGGUUGGAUGCAACAGAUCGGGCAGACAAAUUCAAUACACCAGCUAACUUUUUCUUCUCUUUAACUUAAUGCAAAAGGGUUUGAAGUUUGAAGAACUUCAGUACUGCUACUGCCUUUUUGUUUUUCUUCGAAAUGCUACAGUUAUAUUCGAAGACAGCAAUUAACUAGAGAAGAAAGUGCGAUCCACACUUUUUCGUACAUGUCCUUGUCUUCCUUUUGCUAAGAACAGAAAACAAGUGAUAAUUCUCUUUGUUUUCCCUAUGCAAUAUGCUUCCUCUUUGAUUUUUCAACGAUAAUCAUUAGCAUAAUCGAUUGCAUCGAGCUAACGUACUUAUCAUGUGCACUUGACAUUUUUAACUCACUUUCAUGUUAAUGUCUAUAUCUCUAAACCUAAGCAACCUAUUUAAAGCUGAUUGCUUGCUAGCGCUGCCAGGUCGAGAGUUGUAAAACAAGAUCUCAUGAUCAACCAACUGAAAUUUUUCAUGGAGUGAAUCGCUGUUAAUUAUGAUGUCAUUUAUAUGCGGUCUAACACCGUUGAAUUCUUAUUAUGACUACAAUCAAAUGGAGCUUUAACAUGAUCAAAGCCAUAGUAGACAUGAUCGGAGAAGAGAACGUCAAGGAAUCCAGAGUUGCAAUCUUACUAGAGGACAUUCAAAAAAUGAAAGGGUUGUUUGAUAAAUGUAUAUAUAUUUUUUUUAUUAAUAGACUAGGCAAUAAUUGUGCACACAAUCUAGCAAAAUUUGCUGUUAAGCUUGUUAGAGAUGUAGAUUGGGAAGGAAAUUUUUUCAUAUGGCUCAAAGAGAGCGCACAAAAUGAUCUGUUGGGUAGUAACCCUUUUGUAGCUGAUCUUGUAAUAUCAAGUUAGCAAUGAAGUAUAAACUACUUUUGACAAAAAAAUGGAGUUUUAACAAAAGGGAAGGACUAAAUUCAAAGCCUUCCAUACUCAAUUUUCAUCUUAUAAAACUUUACACACUCAUAAUGUAUAAUACGGAUUUAGUUCCUUGCUUAACAGAUUUGUAAGAUCUUCAGUAAUUAGAGAAGAAUAUAAGCGGGUCUAAUGAUAAAUUUACUUUAAAUCAUCAUUCUUAUUUCAUUGGUGCUAUUAUACCUAAUAAUGGAUGUCACUGAACAACUAAAAGGGCUCAUAGGAGUAACUCAUAACAGGUAAAAAGAGACAUAUGAGAUGCCCAAACAAAAUGCAUUUUAAGAAUGACAACGGAAGUAGGUGUCCGGGAAAGGAGAAAUGAGGUAUGGGAGAUGCGAGUCGGGAGGAGGAGGUGGGAUUGGGAGUUUUCCUCCCUGCCUUUAAUAGGACGGGGGAAGGCACCCUCCAUUCCCCACCUACAAUCAAUACAUGUAAAUGUAUACAUAUAAUAUAUAUCUAGCUAUAUAUACAUUUACAUUAUAAAAUGAGUAAUAUAAGAAUUCAUUCGGGUAAAAUACAUAAUAUGUUAUUUCUUGUUCAUCCUCUUUCUUGUUUAUUUAUCAUUUUAAAAGGAUGUAUUUUUUUUGUUAAGUUAGACUGCUUAAUUUUCUUUUCCAUGCAUUGCCUGUUGUUCAUGAACAAGCAACAUCUAUUGAUUUAGACACUAAAUAGUAUCCAUCAUAGAAGAAAUUAAAAUGUUAAAAUGAUAUUUAACCUUAAUUUCAUACUAAAAUUUUUACAAAAAAUUCAAAAGAAUAUUUAGAAAAAUGGUUUUUAGUUUUAUAAAUGUAAAGAAUAUAAAGUUAACCAAAAAAAAUACUAGUGGCCGCUGGCAAGGUGCAGGGGUGGAGAUAAACGAAGCAGGAGAUGCUGCCGAAGCAAGUAAACAAGCUUUUGUAGCAUAGGGCGGGGAACGGGGGAUAAGGGAGCUCCCCUGUCCCAAACCCGUCCAGUUGUCUAUCUCUGGUGCAUUUUACUUGGAACAUCAUUCUAUACAUUGUCCAAGCUUCUCACUGCACAAACUACAAGGACUACUACAAGUUUUGGAAGCAAAAUUAAGUGCUGUUAGAAGAUGGACCAUGUGAUGAAGUGUAGAGCUUUUAUAAGUUCCAACUGUCGGUUUAAUUUCUGAUGACUUUGGUUUCAACUGGGUUUUUGUCUGCUAAGGCUGCUCAUGAGGGUCAUGCAAGAAGCUAGUGUCGGGAAAUGGCAAUACUUUUGGUCCAAAAUCUAAGUGUCAGUGUAUGCGUGUUCAGCUUGUGAUUCACGGCGAAAAGAGGAGCAAUAGGACUAGUGCUGCAGUUGGGUUUGGACUACGGAUCGACGAACAGUCUAAAAACACACUAUUAUUAAUUCCAUUCAGCUUCAGUAAUCUCAGAAUCCCAUCAUUUUGUCUAUGGUGGUUCGCUUCACAUCCUCUGCUAAACUGACUGUAUAAUAAUAACUUAGCACAUCCAUAUUGAUCAUUGAGCCGUCCAAUUAUAAUUUCUACUUCAUUUUGUGGUAGUUGCUUUUAUUGUCCAAGCUGACAGGCCAUAUCCAUUCCUCAAGGGACAACUAAGUGAACCUUUUCCUCCUACCAAAAAAAAAAAAAAAAAGUGAACCUUUUCCACCUUUCUUUUUUUUUUUUCUGUUUUUCUUUCAAGGGAAUAAAAUGAACUUUGAGAAUACAAUAAUAGCUAGAAGUUUUUGGAUAGUAAUAAUCAAUAGAAGGUCGAAAGCUCUGAUGUUCAAAACUCUGGGGAGCAGGGGAUUAUUUCCUUGCGAAUACAACUUUCUCACAGCAUCCAAAUGGUGAGACUAAAUCUACCUCUUUACAUAAGAAAUCAUUAUCAAUCCAUUCUGAUUUUGAUAAAUGUUUCCUUUAAUCGUCCUUUCUUGCAUGUUAAAACAUAUCUUAAAUUGAAAUUCAUAUUGCUUUAGUGUCUAGUUUCAAAUGAUCAUCUCGAGUUAUGUUUCACGCGUACAAACCAAAAAAGUUGAGGAAUGAUUCACUAGUUUUAAUGCUUAAACUGUGUGUCACUUCUCCAUGCUCGCAAAGAUGCCACUUCUCGGCCACAUUGCUUUAUGGUAAUUGCAACGUACAUCUUCCUGUUCUCAUGUGAAGGAGUACAUCUCUCUCUCCUUUUUUGAUGAAUAUGUCAAAUGCUAAACUACUUACUAGCAUUCCCUAAAGAGUGAUAAUGAGUUACCAAAAAGCUGUAUGCAUUGAUCCUAUCUUGUAAACAAAGAAAUGCAUUUUUUGAAGAUAAAAAUUUGGAUGAUUUCCACUCCGAUCACUGUCAAUGUCCAAACAUGCUUUUGAGAUCAUAAAUUAAUUGCAGAAGUUCUUACACAAAAUGCACUUGCUACUUAUGACCGCUAGCUCUGAAUUAGAGCAAUUGAGAUGGAACCCGGCUACGAGGGUUAAGCAAUCAUGACUUAACAUCUAUAAAACAUUCUGCAAUAUUUUCCUGUCGAUCAUCAGUUUCUUUCAAAACAUAACACGAUAAAGUAGCUGAAAAUUACUGGUAUCAAACUCAAACUGUCUGUUUGACUGCACUGUUAGAUGAACAGGAAACGCUGCUCUACCAAUUAAUUAUGUGAACAAAACGGUCUCCUCUUUUGAAUGCAUGUAAUCUAAUUCCGUGAAUGAUUAGGGCCAACAUUGACAUCAUCAGCUUACCAGUUUUGCCUGCUUGUUCAUCCCAGAUCAAGAAAUUUGUAAACAUCAGUCACUCCUUAGGAAACACUUCCCUGUACUAUGCUACUGUAUUAAGGCUAAGGGCCUCUUGGAGUUGGGGUCCACCUGAAUGGUUCAAGAUAGCCAGUUGUCAACUUCAAGUAUUCAAGAAUAUAACAAAUCAGACAAAAGCUGGGGGAUAACCAGCUUUAUAUUAUCUCUCAAGAAAUGAUUGGAAAUUUCCAUCGUCUCGAUUUCCUUCCCAUUCCCAUUGUGCAUGAUUUGUUGAUGUUUACACUUACCGUGAUAGGGCUAUAGCUAAAAAUUGAAAAAAUAUCUUUUUUAAUCUUCAGUGCUGUAUUAUUUUUUCCCUAUACCACUCGAUGUAUAUUAAACUACAACUCUCGCAUUUGUAAUUAAUGAAGAGCAACUUUUGCUUUUCAGGUAUCUACCAUGCUUAUUGUUUGUUAUUAGACCAAGUUUAUGUGACAAACAUAAAUGCAUAUAGAGUUCUUUUUUGCAACCAUUGAUAGUGGUUAAUUUGCUAUUUUGAUAACAAGAUGUGUGCAUUUAAUAUUUCGAUGAGGAAGCGGCAUUUGCACUCCUAAAUUAGUCUCUCGCAUUCCUGGAAAGUAUAGUAUUUACUAAGUAACUUAGAGUAUAAGAGAUUAAAAUGAGAGUGCGAAUAUCGAUUCCUUUUUCAUGAAAUUCUGCGCGAAAUGGUAAAGAUGCUCCUUUACAAAAGUUGGGUAAUCAAUUUCCUAAUCAAACCAGUACAAGGUUGUGGUGGGUGUCAAACCUCCAAAAAUAAAGUUAAAAAUAACAGCCUAAUUGCCAACCAACACAAUCUCAAAUUUAAUUCGUAAACAGGGCAAGUAGGGUCGUCUCCUCAGGGAACUGGUAGGCAAAUCACACAGGAAAAUGGGGGGGAAUUUUUAGCAAUAGUAUCAACUAAUUAAAAAGGAAUAAAAACUGAAAUUCAAAGUUGAGUAAGAUAGCGGGAACCAAAUUACACAAAUAACAAUUAAUUAAAACAACCUAAUCAAGGAAUUAAUCUUGGGAUCCAAACACACAACUGAUCACAGAUACAAGGGACAAUUCAUAUACUCACGAAUAAACUGGUUAUAGUGGUCAAGCGACGCGCCCAACCACUAAUCUUUCCUUAAUUUUAUGGUAGUUAAGAGACGCUCAUAAACUACCCUCUUGUGAGUAGACAACCCCAGAAAUGCUCACAGGAUUUAAUGUAGCCACAGUAUUAGGAAUUAGAAAGACCCAAUUCUAGAUGACAAACACAUAUACGGAUUUGUUUAGGCUAGAUUAAUUAUCCCCACGAUCCAAAUUAGACCGCUUGCGAGGCGGUGCAAUUGUCUCGUUUGCCACUAAUCAAGAUGCUUAAAGGCGACGCGCCAACAUCCUAAUUGGCUAUCAAUUAUUUAGACAAUCGAAUAACAGGCCUAAUUAUCCAAUAAAUCUAAACAAUAAUAACUCAGGGAAAAAAUAGAAAAUAAUCAAAUACCCAUGAACAUAUAAAUUAAAAAUAAGCAAUUAAAACGAUCUCACAGUUAUGGUGUCCCGAUCCUCGAUUUAUUCCUCAACUAGAUAAACGAUCUAGCCUUGCCGUAUAGUCAUGACAACAAAGCCAAUCAAAGUUUUCAUGGAGUUUUGUAAAUUGAAGAAGGAGUAAAAGAUUUUUCGCCGCUAGUCUCCUAACAACGAAGAAAACAAAAGCAGAGAAAAAGUCCAAGUCCAAGAUCCCUCCCUAGUCUAUUGCUGUCUUCUUUUUAUUGUUUGCGCCGCCGUUUCCUUUUUGCUAGCCGAAAUAAUAGGUGGGUUUCUUCAAACAAUUUGCUUCCUUUUCCCCCAUUGGAUUGUUACCAAAAGUCAUCUUCCAAUUCUAUUUCCUAAUCCCACGUAAGUUUAAAGUAUGGCUCCAAGGAAAGGCGGUGGCCCCAGGAAUAGGACCUGCAAUCCGGCUUUUUCACGCAACUCUGCGUUGUCUGGCGUGGGCACGCCAGAGAAGGCUUAGUCUUCUGGAAUUUGCUCUUUUUUUUAUCACUUUUAUCACCAAUUGCCUGUAAUUAACACAAAUACCAAUUAUGAGCAGAAAUCCAAUACUUUGCAUAAUAAACUGCCAAAAUUAAGACCAAAUAACCACAAAUAAAAUGCAUAAUUAUAUCCCUAUCAAAUUCCCCCACACCAAGACAAUGCUUGUCCUCAAGCAUUUCAAACUUUAAAUACACAACUAAGCGAGCAAACAUUUUCGCAGCAGUUGAAUUCAAAGCAAUGGCUAUUAAUCAAAGCAACUAUUACCAAUGUAUCAUUUAGAUAACUGUCAAGUACUGAUGACAAAUUUUACGAGAUAACUCUCCAACUAGCUUUUAAAACCAACGACUCUUUCAAAUCCAGACUAACUAAUCUAAGAAUAGAAAAUAUCCAUCCAACAUUUUUUCAAUAACUGGUCCAACUAUUAAGCAAAAUCUCAACAUAAAGACUUAUGGAUCCGCAGGCAAUACAAUUAUUCACAUACUUUCAUGCUCGUAUACUUUUUUUUUUUCAUCAUUUUCAUUUUUUUUCUGUUUCUUUUUCCUUUUUUUUUUCUUGAAGGAAGUGCUUAGUCUUGAGCCAUUCAAGUCUUUUGACACGAACUCCGACAUCUCUCCAAUGAAGGAGCCCGGUUACUCAACUUUAACCGCUUAAAGACCACAUACUCAUAGUUAUCGCUAUUUUUUGACGCGAAAAUCGACACUUUAGGUGAAAACCCCCGGUUACUAGUCAAUGAUAACCAGCGGAGUAUAGCCGAAUAUUAUUCACAAAAAAACACCCAAGUAAAAUUAAAAUCAUGCAAGCCUGCUUCAUUUCCUUAACAUGGAGAACUAAGAUUAAUAGUUGAACCAAUUCACAUAAAAAUAUCAGAAAAAUAUUUACAAUGCCUAGAAAAAUUAACCAAAAGAAAUUGCCAGAGUCACAAAAUCUCAAAUGUUUACCAGAGAGACAUCCUAAAAUUUUACCAUAUCAUAUUUACAUAUUAUCAUCUAAAACCGUAACAAUAGUUAAAUUUGAAAAUCUAGCCAUUGCUUAUCAACGCUAACCAUAAAAAUCCAAAAGGCAUGGUAAUUUUUUUUUUUUAAGGAGGAAAAGCAGUAAGAAGGAAAAGCUAGACUACUCCCCCCACACCUAAAGUCUACAUUGUCCUCAAUGUAAGCACGAAAAGUUGAAGUCAAGUGAAAUGAGCAAAAAAAAACUUCCCUGAAUGAAUAAAAAUUGCAGCAAAAUACCAUGGUAGAGGAGGUGUCAGGGACUGGCAGCGUGGAGCCUCUGACGGUGGUGUGGUGUAGCGUUGCUUCAGAUGGAAGCGGAAGUCUUCAAUCCAAGCCUGUGUCCCCAGAGUGGACUAGAGUUGCUGUAAGGCGUGACCACGCCUUAUAAGGCAGAAUCUUCUGCCCAACACUUGCAAUGAAACAAAACAACCCAAAAUCAACGAAAAACGAAAGAGAACUAUAACAAAAAAAAUGGAGGCCCUGGGUUGCCUCCCAAGAAGCGCAUUUCUUUAACGUCUUUGGCUAGACGAUUUCACAGUGAGCAAUUAGGCAUAGCUAGGAACUAUCAAGUGUACCUUUUCCAAAGUGCCAAUGUCUGAAACAUCAACAAACGAUUUUAAACGAUGACCAUUAACCGUAAAACUCUUAUUAGUCUCUAAACUCUAGAUUUCAACCACACCAUUGGGAAAAAUAUUGACUACCACAUAUGGUCCAAUCUAACGAGAUUUUAACUUACCUGGCAUGAAUUUCAAUCGUGAAUUGAACAAGAGUACCUUUUGUCCUGGGGAAAAGUGUUUCGCACGCAAUAGGCGGUCAUGAAACUGCAUGGUACGCUCUUUGUACAAACGUGCAUUGUCAUAUGCUUCAAGACGAAUUUCCUCCAACUCCUGGAGUUGGAGCUUUCUCUCUUCGCCAUCUCUAUCCGCAUGCAAAUUGCAUUGCUUGACUGCCCAGAAUGCACGAUGCUCAAUAGCCGCAGGUAAAUGACACAUCUUACCAAACACCAACCUAUAUGGGGACAUUCCAAUGGACGUUUUAUAAGCCGUUCGAUAUGCCCACAAAGCAUCAUCCAAUCGCAAGCUCCAAUCCUUACGGUUGGGGUUAACCGUUUUCUCCAAUAUGCGCUUGAUCUCUCGAUUGGAGACUUCAGCUUGCCCAUUGGUCUGAGGAUGAUAUGUUGUACUCACACGAUGGUGCACUCCAUAUUUUCUCAUGAGAGCUGCAAUGGUGCAAUUGCAGAAAUGGGUACCUUGAUCACUGAUGAUGGCUCUCGGCACCCCGAACCUACUAAAAAUGUGAGAUUUGAGAAAUCUUACAACAACUUGAGAAUCAUUAGUUCGGGUAGCCUUUGCUUCUAUCCAUUUUGAUACAUAGUCAACUGCUAACAGAAUAUACAAAAAUCCAAAAGAAAUAGGAAAAGGUCCCAUAAAGUCCAUACCCCAAACAUCAAACACUUCACAAAAUAACAUAGGCACUUGAGGCAUUUCAUCCCUAUGAGACAAACUUUCAAAUUUUUGAUAUUUUUCACAGCUUUUACAAAUUGCAUAAGCAUCACGAAACAAUGUUUCCCAAUAAAAGCCACAAUCAAGGAUUUUUCUAGCAGUUCUCUUAGGUCCAAAAUGGCCACCACAUGCAUAAUUAUGACAAUGAGUAAGGAUAGAAGGAAUUUCACUUUCAGGUACACAUCUACGAAUAAUUUGAUCAGAGCCUAUUUUCCACAGAUAUGGCUCGUCCCAAAUAUAGUAUCGAGUAUCAUGGACUAUCUUAUCUCUCUUACUCUUACUCAUGCCAAUAGGAAAUUUAUGACUGACCAAAAAGUUCACAAUAUCUGCAUACCAAGGUUCCUUACCUUUGAGAUAGAAAAGAUGUUCAUCAGGAAAUACCUCAGAUAUGGGAACUGCUUCCUCUUCCCUUAUCAAUCUACUCAAAUGGUCAGCUACUGAAUUAUCCACCCCUUUCCGAUCCUUGAUCUCCCAGUCAAAUUCUUGCAGUUAGAGCACCCAACGAAUGAGUCUUGGCUUGGACUCCUUUUUUGACAGGAGAUACUUCAAAACUGCAUGAUCAGAGUAAACCGUUACUUUUAACCCCAAUAGAUAUGAUCUAAAUUUCUCAAAAGCGAAAAUAAUAGCUAGAAGCUCUUUCUCCGAGGUGGUGUAGUUGCAUUGAGCUGGUGUCAAUGUUUUUGACGCAUAGUAUAUCACGUGACUACACUUCCCACUCCGUUGUCCAAGCACAGCUCCUACGGCAUACUGACUGGCGUCACACAUGAGUUCAAAGGAUAGCUUCCAGUCUGGGGGUUGGAUGAUUGGUGCCGUGGUCAACAUACCCUUGAGUGUGUCAAAAGACAAUUUGCAAUCAUCUCCAAAAUUGAAUGGCACCUCCUUUUGAAGCAGGCGAGACAACGGUUGAGCAAUUUUUGAAAAAUCUUUUAUGAAACGCCUGUAAAAACCUGCAUGGCCUAGAAAACUACGAAUAUCCUUGACAUUAGUAGGGUAAGGUAGACAAGUGAUCAAAUCAAUUUUAGCCUUAUCUACCUCAAUACCCCUUGAUGAAACAACAUGGCCCAAAACUAUGCCUUCCUUAACCAUGAAAUGGCAUUUUUCAUAGUUAAGAACCAAGUUUGUUUCAAUGCAUCUUUUCAAAACCUUUGUUAAAUGGUCUAGGCACUGAUCAAAAGAAUCACCGUAUACUGUAAAAUCAUCCAUGAAAAUUUCAAUGCAAUUAUCAACCAUAUCAGAGAAAAUACUCAUCAUGCAUCUUUGAAAUGUUCCAGGAGCAUUACACAAACCAAAAGACAUACGGCGAUAUGCAAAAGUUCCAAAAGGGCAGGUAAAAGUGGUUUUAUGUUGGUCCUCUUGAGCAACAAUAAUUCGAUAAUAUCCAGAGUAACCAUCUAAAAAGCAAAAGAAACACUUACCUACCAACCUCUCAAACAUUUCAUCAAUAAAUGGGAGUGGAAAGUGGUCUUUCCUAGUUGCGGCAUUUAACUUCCUAAAGUCAAUGCACAUUCUCCACCCAUUUUGCAAUCUCAUUGGCACUAACUCAUUUUUUUCAUUUUUCACCAAUGUGAUUCCAAUCUUCUUGGGAACAACAUGGACUGGACUUACCCACUAGCUGUCAGAAAUAGAAAAAAUAAUUUCUAAUUCUAAGAGUUUGAGAAUCUCUUUCAUCACCACCUCCUUCAUUGCGGGAUUGAGCUUGCGUUGAUGCUCUCUCACGGGUUUUGCGUCCGACUCCAUAAGGAUGUGAUGCAUGCAAAUAGAUGGAUUGAUGCCUUUGAUGUCUGCUAACGUCCAUCCAAUUGUUGGUUUAAAUUCCCGUAAGAGCCUCUCUUCUUGCAACGCAGUUAAAUCAUUGGCAAUGAUUACAGGCAAAGUCUUGUUAUCUCCCAAGUAAGCAUAUUUCAAAUGCUCGGGCAGUUCCUUCAAUUCCACAUUAGAUGCCUGUUGAACAGAAGGUAGAAUUCUUUCAUUAGAAGUGGGUAAUGGUAGAAAAGAAUUUUCAAAUCUGCUUGGAAGCGGAUGUAGUGAAUGUAAGGACAUGAUAGCUUCUUUGACUUCCUCCUCCUCCAUGUCGUCCACUUCCAAAUUGGUCUUGCCUUGUUGUAAGACAAAGUCCAACUUGUCCCCCAUGAAAUUCUGUUCAAAAUUCUCUUGCACAAUGGUGUUAGUCAUGCCAACAAAAUUUACAGACUCAGUAUCCACAGGAUGCUUCAUUGCAUCAAAAAUAUUGAACAUGACCUUCUCUCCAUCAAAUUCCACAGAUAAAGUUCCUUUAUGUACAUCUAUUUUAGUCCUUGCUGUACUCAUGAAGGGUCUACCCAAAAGAAUCACUGCUGAAUUAGUAGAGUAUUCAUCAUUCAUAUCAACAAUGUAAAAAUUCACAGGAAAAAUGAAUUCAUUGACCUUUACUAGAACAUCUUCAACUAGGCCUCAGGGUAGACAUUAGACCUAUCUGCUAGUUGAAUGAUUACCCUAGUUUCUUUGAGGGGUCCUAAAUUCAAAACUUUAAAAAUUGAAAGAGGCAUGACAUUUAUUGAAGCACCUAAGUCAAACAUGUUUUUUUCAAUUCUUUGAUUGCCAAUUAUGCAUGGUAUAGUAAACAUACCUGGAUCCUUGCAUUUCUGGGGCAACUUCCUUUGAAACAUCGCUGAGACAUUCUCCCCCACCUUCACCUUAUCAUCCAGACUCAAUUUAUUGCGAUUAGUGCAUAAGCCCUUCAAAAAUUUAGCAUAUUUAGGCAAUUGCCUAAUAGCUUCCAACAAAGAAAUAUUGAUCUUCACUUUCUUGAAGGUGUCCAAAAUUUCUUUCUCAGAUUCUUCCUUUUUAGCUUUUGUAAACCUGUUAGGAAAAGGAAGAGAAAUGUCAACUUUCUUUGAGAUUUCAGAGAAUUGUUUCUCUUCCUCCUCUUCUACCUUCCUGGGCACUUAUUCUUCUCUGGCAUGGGCACGCAUAGGAGACUGUACCUCUUUGCCACUCCGUAAUUGCAUUGCACUGGCAUUCUCCUUGGGAUUAGGAAUUACUUGAGAUGGUAACUUCCCUCUAUUGCUAUUUCCCAGGUUGCUCAUGGAAGUAGCCAAUUGGGACAUUUGUGCUUCCAAAUUCCUAAUGCUAGCACGAGUCUCUUGUUGAAAUCUGUGAGACUCCUGUUGAGAUCUUUGAACCUCUUGCUGUAAUUGACUCAUGCUUUGGGCCAGUGAUUUCACCAUAUCUUCAAGAGACAUAUUUGAACUGGAAGUGGAUGGUUGUUGCACUGGUGGUCGUGGUUGGAAAUGUUGUUGAAGACCAGGGGGUUUUGGAGCAUAGCUAAAGUUAGGAUGAUUUCACCACCCUGAGUUGUAAUUGGGUGCAAAAGGAUCAUUCCUUCGUGGAGGUGGUCCAGAAAAAUCUCCCAAUAUGUUGGCUUGUUCAGGUGAAUCCUCUUGGAGAGUUGGGCACAUGUCAGUCAUGUGUCCGGGAGCAGCACAGGUACCACAAGUCUUCACAGAUUGUAAUUGCCCCCUUGCCAUUUGACGCACCAGAGAGGUAAGCUCAGAUAGUUUACCCUCUAAGUCAGAGUGAUUCACUUCAUUGACCCUUCUUAUUGCUCCAUCAGCUCUCACUCCAAAUUGUUGGAAAUUUUCAGCCAUGGUGAAGAUCAAUAACGUGGCUUCGUCUGUGGUCUUGUUCACCAGAGCACCGCCACUGGCUGCAUCUAACAUGCUCCUAUCCAUGGGUGAUAAUCCCUCAUAGAAAUAUUGUAUUAAGAGUUGGUCCGGGAUUUGAUGAUGUGGGCAACUGGCACACAGUUGUUUAAAGCGCUCCCAGUACUCAUAUAGAGUUUCCCCAUUCGCCUGCCUAACUCCACAUAUUUCUUUCCUUAUAUUGGCGGCUCUAGAGGCAGGAACAAAUUUCUCGAGGAAUCUUCUCUUCAAUUCUUCCCACGUAGUGAUGGAUCCUGAUGGCAGGUAAAAUAACCAAUCUUUAGCCUUAUCUGCCAAAGAGAAAGGGAAGGCUCUUAACUUGAUGUGGUCCUCAGUGACUCCUUGAGGUCUCAUUGUGAAGCACACCACAUGAAAUUCUUUCAAGUGUUUAUGUGGGUCUUCACCUGCAAUACCACGAAAAGUAGGAAGUAAGUGAAUAAAACCAGACUUAAGCUCAAAUGCCUCUUCCGUGUUAGGAAAUGUAAUGCAUAAUGGCUGUUGGUUCACGUUAGGAGUUGCCAACUCCCUCAAAGUUUUGGGGCUGCCAUUGCUACUCGGGGAAUAUGCACUUUGUUUUCUUCAGAUUCACUUGAUGAAUCACUGGAAAUAAACUCUUGCUCAGAUUCUGAAGGUGACGUUGAAUCUUGUUGCUUACGCAACUUUGCCUCCUUAGUCAACCUUCUUGCAGUCUUCUCGAUCUCUGGAUCAAAUUCUAAUUCUUCUGUACGAGAAGAUCGAGACAUAAAAUAAAAAAAAAAUAAAUAAAAAUAAAAACUAAAACCUGUGCAAUAAGUCACUUAAAACACCAGUUCCCCGGCAACGGCGCCAAAAUUUGGUGGGUGUCAAACCUCCAAAAAUAAAAUUAAAAAUAACAGCCUAAUUGUCAACCAACAUAAUCUCAAAUUUAAUUCGUAAACAGGGCAAGUAGGGUCGUCUCCUCAGGGAACUGGUAGGCAAAUCACACAGGAAAAUGGGGGGAAAUUUUUAGCAAUAGUAUCAACUAAUUAAAAAGGAAUAAAAACUGAAAUUCAAAGUUGAGUAAGAUAGCGGGAACCAAAUUACACAAAUAAUAAUUAAUUAAAACAACCUAGUCAAGGAAUUAAUCUUGGGAUCCAAGCACACAACUGAUCACAGAUACAAGGGACAAUUCAUAUACUCACGAAUAAAUUGGUUAUAGUGGUCAAGCGACGCGCCCAACCACCAAUCUUUCCUUAAUUUUAUGGUAGUCAAGAGACGCUCAUAAACUACCCUCUUGUGACUAGACAACCCCAGAAACGCUCACAGGAUUUAAUGUAGCCACAACAUCAGGAAUUAGAAAGACCCAAUUCUAGAUGACAAACACACAUGCGGAUUUGUUUAGGCUAGAUUAAUUAUUCCCACGAUCCAAAUUAGAUCGCUUGCGAGGCGGUGCAAUUGUCUCGUUUGCCACUAAUCAAGAUGCUUAAAGGCGACGCGCCAACAUCCUAAUUGGCUAUUAAUUAUUUAGACAAUCGAAUAACAGGCCUAAUUAUCCAAUAAAUCUAAACAAUAAUAACUCAGGGAAAAAAUAGAGAAUAAUCAAAUACCCAUGAACAUAUAAAUUAAAAAUAAGCAAUUAAAACGAUCUCACAGUUAUGGUGCACCGAUCCUCGAUUUAUUCCUCAACUAGAUAAACGAUCUAGCCUUGCCGCAUAGUCAUGACAACAAAGCCAAUCAAAGUUUUCAUGGAGUUUUGUUAAUUGAAGAAGGAGUAAAAGAUUUUUCGCCGCUAGUCUCCUAACAACGAAGAAAACAAAAGCAGAGAAAAAGUCCAAGUCCAAGAUCCCUCCCUAGUCUAUUGCUGUCUUCUUUUUAUUGUUUGCGCCGCUGUUUCCUUUUUGCUAGCCGAAAUAAUAGGUGGGUUUCUUCAAACAAUUUGCUUCCUUUUCCCCCAUUGGAUUGUUACCAAAAGUCAUCUUCCAAUUCUAUUUCCUAAUCCCACGUAAGUUUAAAGUAUGGCUCCAAGGAAAGGCGGUGGCCCCAGGAAUAGGACCCGCAAUCCGGCUUUUUCACGCAACUCUGCGUUGUCUGGCGUGGGCACGCCAGAGAAGGCCUAGUCUUCUGGAAUUUGCCCUUUUUUUUAUCACUUUUAUCACCAAUUGCCUGUAAUUAACACAAAUACCAAUUAUGAGUAGAAAUCCAAUAUUUUGCAUAAUAAACUGCCAAAAUUAAGACCAAAUAAUCACAAAUAAAAUGCAUAAUUAUAUCCCUAUCAGGUUGCUUCGGCUAUUAGGCAAACCAGUACAUUCACUAAUCAAUUUCCUUUCAAAUUUGAGAAGGUUGGAUGGAAAAUCUCAUGCUCCAGAAUCCCAUAAAGACUUGUGCUAGUAAUUUUCAGAGUAACAUAAACUAGUAAUAUAUGAACUUCAGACAUUAAAACAAAUGAUAAUAAACUUAGAAGCUACUUUCUGGUUUCCUAUGCUAAAGUAUAGUACCAAUUACAAAAGAAAAAGUUAAGCAAGACAAGGAACCAGUCAAAUUCACAAACACGAGAAUUCACGCCGAGAAACUUCAUUGAUGUUACAGAUCAAGGUUACACAAUUAAUUUGCCGGUCAUUGGAUAAGCCUUUGUCUAUCAGAUGAAAAAAAAAGUGUCUGUUUCUGUACGCAAAUACAUCGAGGUUCUGUUGAGUUGCAUUCGAAAAUUUUGACACUUGGUUCAUACAUCACAUUUAUUAAAGUUUUCAUGUCUUUGAAAGUUGCAUACAUUUCUGGAAAGGGACAUCAAUGCCAGUAGUCAUUAAGUCUUUUCCGUAAGCAAAGAUAGAAGAAAUUCAGACCAUUAAUUUGAGACUCAGCUGUCUAAUACUUUUAUAAUACUGGUACAAGGAAGGACAGUUUUUAGAUUCCGCAUAUUUUCUUCGAUUCAAUGCGUGCUUUUGCAAUUUGCUUGCAGGCUCAUUUAAUUGUUGAUAUGACAGGCACCAAAUUUUCCAAGAACUCUAAUGAUGGAAGUGUUACUUUUGUGCCUUCCGACUUACAAAGAUUACAAGGAACUUCAUUCAAGAGUUGGCUCUCCUCUCGAGUUGAUAAAUCAUUUUUUUUUGAUAUUUGCCAAGUUACUCUGUGAUUUUUUGCCCUUUUCAACAAAUAAUUAAUUUACAAGGUAAGUCGUGAAGCAUUUUAUUUCUUGAAAAAAAAAAUCAAUUCACAGGGAAAGAAAUGUGAUGAUUUGGGUCCCUCCUAUGUUAUUUGAGCAGACUUUUCUUUAUUUGCAAAGACCUUUCUCCUGUACUUGAUCCCAAAAGGAGUGACCUCGGUGUCACACACGUCCAAGCCGUACCAAGCAUCGCGCGGCAGAUACCGACGAAAAUAGAAAUAAUCGGAGCUCAGAUGAGAUGAUGCUUCUAAAACCUGCACUUGGGCAAAACCAGGCCUCCAAUCAUCCUUGCCAGCCAAUUUCAGAUAAAGAUAGCAAAUGGGUGAUUCUACGCAUGGCCCUCUAACUUGAAAUUCAUCCACCAUGCAAGCUUGGAAUGGCUUUCUGGGCACAUCAUCAAGCACUUGGGGCUCCAAUGGAUCGACCCAUCUUACGUGUUUGGAAUUCAAGUGACGCACUAAAAUGUCAUUGGAUUUGACAUCUCCAAAUCGUAGGCUGACAUGAUCUGAAGUUUCUGCUCCCUUGGUACAACAUGUUUCUAUGGUCACUGCAUACGUACAAUUACUCUGCAAAUUUUUCAAGACAAAUUAAUGUUGAUCUCAAGAUUUCUAGGCUCGAUCAAUAUUCGUUUGAAUUGUUAUUUUUAGAAGUUUUUUUUAUAAAAAAAUAUAAUAUAUGCAUAUGAGAUAAAAAAUAAUUAAAAAUAUAUUUACAAAAAAAUAACAUGAAUAAAAUUCAAGACGGGUAUAGUCAAAUUUGAGUGACUAAAAUUAGGUGCAACGAACAUGGAAUUCAUGGUUAAUUGUUUUGCAGAUUCCAGUAUCACCCUUAUAGUGCAUGCUUAUAUAUAUAUAUAUAUAUAUAUAUAUAUAUAUAUAUAUAUAUAUAUAUAUAUUUUGCUAUUGCCAGCUUGCUUUUAUAUAAUUAAAUGCAGUGGAUGAGAAUUUCAUAAGAGGAGAUUAACGGAAUGUUAAGAAUCAACGGAUUCAUUUGAUUAUGGCAGAACUCAUGCAUAGAUUAUCUUUAAUUGCCAGAAUUAGAAGACCUAAUAAGUUUAUAAAACUGUUGUACAUCCCAUCAUCUCCCGGAAAUUUUACUCCCGGGUAUGAUACAGCUAUAAUCUCUGAUACAUGGUACAUGCCACUAUGCAAAUCACUGAGUUCAUCAUAAAUUCAUGGUGCAGGUCUGGGACAAAAGUUUCUAAGUAAUAGUAUGGUAAUUAAUCAAAAGGAGUACCUUCUCUUUAGAGGUCUCGGCAGCAAUUUCGCCGGUUAAUAUCAUCAAAGUCUGUAGAACAAAAGCAAGCCAUUGACAUGCAAAGAACGAUCCUCUCCAGACUCGAUUCAUUUUCAAUCGCCUGAGCUGAUUCUAGAGACAACUAGCCUCUUUACUCGGAAGCAUUUUGUCGCAGUACUUGUGUAUUAGAGGUAUAUAUCUUUUGUCCCGAGAGUCGAGACUACUUCUCAUUCUUUUCUUGCUAAAUGGAAAAGAAAGGAUCCCUCGAGCCUUUUCAUAUUCAAUUAGUUUGCGAUUUCUGUUUUUUCUUUCCAAACACCAUCAUGUUCUUUCUUGUACUUCACUCAAACCGACCUGCUUUAUUAGGAUUCAUCCUGUCUUAGCCUAGGUAAAGCAUCUUUGUACUUGAAGUUGAAGUAUAAUCUUUUGUCAUUGUAUUUUUUUAAGCUGCAUAGCUGAACAAUUCGUAAAUAAAUUUGGGGGCUGGAAGCACUGCAUCCUUCUGUUUCUCUGUUGGACUUGGAAACUUCGUAUUUCUCGAACAGAAAAAUGUUACUUCAGCCCAUUAUAAGCCCAUAUCAGUCCAAAGACUCUUAUGUAUGACGCGAAAGAAAUCAUACUGUAAAACAACCAAGGGCCCAUCGGAAGUCUGUGUAUCAGUCCAAAGACUCUCCAUGCAUGACGCGUAAGAAAUCAUACUGUAACAUAACCAGGCUUAUUCUCGGUUAUUGUUUUCGAUUGCUUUUGUAUUCUCGUCAUAAAUUUUUUAUUGAUAAAAAAGUUAGAAUUUAUAACCAUUUGACGAGUAGUUUUUGCUGGUUUUGAUUAAUCUUUCUCAAUAAUCAGUUUUCAAAAUCAGAUUCCGUAAAAUUUAAAGCAACCGAGAACAAGGCGUAAGUGCAUAUUGGCCUGCAGAGGCAUCUCGAAUGAUUCCUUGAUACAAUUCCGACAAGAAGGCCUAAGUGCAUGUUGGCCUGCACAGGCAUCUCGAAUGACGACUCCUCCCUGAUACGAUUCGGAGCAAUGCAACAAUUGUAACCAAUCUGCAGUCCUUUUACUAUUCAAAGCUUGUAGUUUUACACACUACUUUAAUCAGGUCCGGCCCUUAAACACAUCUCACGGUGAUCUCAGGGAUCACCACUUGUGAUCCUGAACCAUGUCCCAGAAAGAAUUGAUUAAGCUAAUCGACAACAUGGCGUUUUCACCUGCAGGGGAACGAGUCAUGCCUUGUACAACAUUCCAAUUUCCAAUCAACAGAUAUCCUCGAAACGAUACAGAUGCAUAAUACCAGUUGUUCGGCAGCAAGGAAAUGUCCCAGGAUAUAUGCUCCAAAAAUGAAACAUAGGCCUGCAUAAGACAGACAAAUUGCGCGUUCACAAGAAAAAAUCCACUCAAGAUUGCUUUCUUCAUAAGUAGCAGGAAAAGCUGAUCUUGUUGCAAGCAUGGAUUUUUCAAAGCUCCUCAUCUCCUUUCUCCUUCUACAAUUUCUCUUCGCCAAUUACUCGACAGCCCAUGCAGCUCCAAAUUGUCCCUCGAAACUCUUCAGGGAAUACAUAGGAGCUGAGGGCCAGGACUUGACGUUUUCUGAUGUACCCAUUAAUGCCAAUGUCGAAUUCCAUUUCAUUUUAUCAUUUGCCAUUGACUACACAAAUUCAUCAAUUCCACUUCCCACCAAUGGUUACUUCAAUGUCUAUUGGGACAAGGAGAACCUCAGUCCUUAUCAAGUAUCUUGCAUCAAGGCCGAACAUCCUAAUGUCAAGGUGGCAAUGAGUCUGGCUGGAGAUACUGUUGGCGGUGGUUUCAACGCCUCCUUCGAUCCUGUAUCCGUCGAGUCCUGGGUGAGAAAUGCUAUCUAUUCAGUCACUAAUAUAGUCAAAGAGUACAACCUAGAUGGCAUAGACAUUGAUUACGAGCACUUCAAAGCAGAUCCUGAUACGUUUGCGGAGUGCAUUGGAAGACUUUUAUACUACCUUAAGCGAAACAGGAUCGUAACGUUUACAUCAAUAGCACCGUUUGAAGAUGAGGAUGUCCAACCACAUUACUUGGCACUCUGGAGAAAGUAUGGACAUCUCAUAGACUAUGUUAACUUUCAAUUUUAUGCCUAUCAGAAAGGGACAAAUGUAUCUCAGUUUUUGCAGUAUUUUGAAACUCAGAGAGGUAAGUACGAAGGGGGCAAAAUACUAGCAAGUUUCGGCACCGAUGAGAGUGGGGGCCUGAAACCUCAAAAUGGGUUCUUCAAUGCCACCAGCAUCCUCAAAAGCCAGGGCAAACUUGAAGGUAUCUUUAUCUGGUCUGCAGAUGAUUCAAAGAAGGAUAACUUUUACUAUGAGAAGCAGGCACAGGAUCUUUUGGCCCUCUAAAAAGUCAUCUCGCUGAUAUGUUUUCAUUGAAAAAUUUAUGUAUCCUUUAUUCGAAAAUUGUUGUUGUCCACUGUGACUGGAGAAUAAACUCAUGACGUCUAUCUUUAGCAUGCCUUUUCUUUUUUGGGGUUCAAAAACUAGAUAGUAUCAUGGAAAAGCAUAAUUUGCUAACAGCCGCUAAAUUGUUGAAGCGCAGAUUAAUGAUUGAAUUCAAAACUUAAGCAAUUAUAUUGGUCACAGAAGUAGGGAGACCACCUUCGUACUGUAUGAACCUUGGACUGUUAAAGUUUCAGAGUUUGCACAAGCCAGCAUGGAAGAUGCAUCAGAGGCAUUAUGUCUAUCAUCAGCAAAAGCUAUAUUUCCAUAGUCAGUAUGCUGUCGGCAAGUUGGGCACAUUACCCACUUAUUUCCAUGGUGAACAAAUCUCUGUUCAGUGAUUGCAAAUAAACCUGCAAGCAGAAGUGGAAGAUGCAUCACUAAGAUAUUUUAUUCGUUAACAUGAGGCUAUCCAUGCAUUUUCAGAAAAGAAAGCUAUAUGUGCAACCCAUAAAGGGGUUUUUUUCGGUUUUUUUUUGGGGGGGGGGGGGGGGGGGGGGGGGUGGGGUGGGGUGUGGGGACGGACGGAUGGGGAGAACUACCAAAGCCAAUAAUACUUCGGCUAUUUUCAUCCAUGGAAACAUGAAGAUGGUUUUGACACAGAAUUCUACCACACCAGAAAUUUCAGGAAACAAAACUUACAUUUACAACAAAUAACAUGCCCACAUUGGAAUACCAUCUUUUGGCCUCUGAGCUUCUCUUGACAAACUGGGCAAAAUUCCACAUCAGCUUUAGUUUGGCAUCGUUCAUCUUCCGUUGCAGAAGCGACAGACGCCUUGGCAGAUUCAGUUAAAGUUGAUUCAUUUGAACAUUCUGACUGCAAGUUUUGUUUAGAUUGCACCAAACCCUGGAAAAGAAUCAAGGAGGCAGCAAAAAUAAUUGAGUAUAACAGAACUGCUAUAAAUAAAAUUGCAGUGAAGAAAACCUAUCUACAACUGAGCAUUUUGCCUCACUAGCCCCACAGCAAAGUCCAGUGAGUUCAAGUUGAGCCUCGCCACCAAAUUCUCUAACAAAAUUGCCCAAGUGACUAAGGAUGAGAAGGAUUAAAAUCAUCUGCCGUGCAUGAGAUAGUGGCUGACGUGAACUAAGAAAGUUAACCAAUGAAAAAUCAUCAGCAUGAGGUAAUGCCUAAUGUGAACUUCAAAGGUUGAUCAAUGAGAUCAUCUUUUAGGCACAUGGUGCAACAAAUUGGACUUACGUGCUUGUCAACAGAAUAUUUAGAUAGGACAACAAAACAGCAGCUAUAACACUGAGUAGCCAUAAAAUGAGCUAGAAGAAAAAACAUAUCAGAUCAAUUUAAAUGACCAUAGGAAUCAGAUCAAGCUGAAAGUGGUAGUUGUAUAUUAAAACCUUGGUAAAUAACUGCUAGUUGUACAUUAAGACCAAUAAGGUAACCACAGAGCCUCUAUAAGAAAGCAAUGGUACUUUGGAGAUCUUAAAUGCUUUCAGAAAACUACAUAUGUAAACUGUAUCUCCAAAUUAAAAUACACGAGCAUGGUCAUUACUUUGUAAAGGGAAAUCCUAAAUAGUCACUACCAAUACAGCUGAUGCUAUUCUGUGGAUAAAUGCAAUAUACUCUUGUCCUCUAAUAGUAUCUAAAUUCAGAAUAAUAUUAAAUCACAGAACAAGCAGAAAGCUUAAAGACAAAACAUGAAUUUACUGAUUACCUUCAAAUAACGAAGUUGUCCUCUGAUACGUGCCAAUGAAGACACUGCCAGAAAUUUAUCACUAGAAUUUUGAGUACUUGCAGCAUCUAACUCCUCAGGACCCAAGGCAUCAACUGAAUUAUCUUUUUCAUCUUCUUUUAGUCGCAAUCGUGAGCUUGCCAUCUUUAUUUCAUCAUGAGCCCUAAGCACAUGAGCUUGGGCACGAGCCAAGGACCUUGCAUAGGCAUAUUCCUUGCGCAUUCCCUUUGGUAAUUUAAAUGCCAAAAUUCAGAUCAUGCAAUCCAGCAAGCUAGAGUUUUUAGUACCCAAACCCCCUCCGAGCGAGUGUAAGCGACAAAAUAUCAUUCUUACGUUUCUUCUAACAUAACUACAUUGCAUUCAUGUUUAGAAACAAAAAAACACAGCAAGACAAUAUCACACAUAAUGAGCUAACAGCUUGAGAUAAUCACACUAAUGCUACAGCUCUGAUCAGGACUUUGGCCAGAUAGACAAAACUCUGAAAGAGAAACCAGAAUGUGCCCACAAAAAUAACUCAUACCUCAAGAAGAAAUAGGUGCUUCGCAGCUGCUGAUGUGCCUUCUCUUUCUAACAAACCCUUGGCGUUGUUCUUGAUAUUCCCAAGCACCACCUCCAAAUCAGAGGGAGAUUUUGAAACCUAGUAAUCCAAUGUCAUUACAAAUUGUAAAGAACUGAAAAUCUUAGAAAUUGAUCGAGUUUUUCUCUAGCCUAAAGAAGCUAAUUCAACUUACAUUCUGCAAGCUAGGAAUAGCUAGAAACUCAUAUAACUUUAACAACCCACUUCUAUAUGUGGUGGUCUGACUAAUAGCUAGACGACUGAUAACAAUUUCAAGAAACAGCACAAUGAAGUUUGACAUGCAGGCAUGCAUGCAUCUCUGUCACUUUAAUUGCUGCUGUUUACACUAAAAAGAAUCUAUCAUAUGUUAAACUUGUCAAUUCCUAAUCUAACCCUUAUUAGAAUUUGAAAAGGCAUACCUUUGAAUUGAUUAAAACCGAAGUUUAGGCAUCAAAGUACCUAGACUCUACUAACCACCUCGACAUUUAUGAUCAUGAACUUUAAUGAUUUUCUUGUUUUGUGACCAACUCUGCAUACUGCAAAUGUAGCCUCUGUGAAUUAAUAGUCAAAAUGAUAGAGAGAAUACUUCUCCUACAUUAAGACAUCAAGUCUGCUUUGGGCAAUUGACAGAAGCUCACACUCUAUUCUAGCUCUUGCAGAGUGGUAUCCCACUAAUGGCUCAGGCCCCCCAGAAGGAGGCCUUCUUCACCUUCCACCUAAGCUGCACAGGAAAGGCCCAAAGCCAAUCCCAGGGACCGGUGAAGCUUCAUCGGAUCUGUCCAUAGAUUUUCCUUCCUUUCCUUUUGCUGCGUUUUGCUCAGAGGGUUGAAGGGAGAUAAUGCAGCAAGCUGUUGGCAAGGGCCAACUUGAUCUGUUUCCCCAGGGAUCUCAGAUGAGGAAACCCUGGGAGAGCUGCCAGUCCUAUCUUUUUUCACAUUCUGAACCUUUGGUUCAAAAUGGAAUGGCUUUUCUUUUUAUUGUGUGAACGGUGGAAUCAUAUGCAUGGUAUGCCCGGCCCCAUCAACCUAGAUGAUUUACAAGUGCAACAUCAUGAUUUCAUUCAGCUAUCCUGAAACUUGGAAGGCUGAUUACCCUAAUGAAAUGUUAAAUACUUCGCCCGGGCUCUUUUGAUCAUACAACAAAUUUUCCAACGCCAGUAAGCAUAUAACAACAAUGAUGAAGAUAUUCUUUCUAGUUUCAUCAGAACCAUUUGUUGAAACUAGCCAUUUGAGCCCAUCUAUUUUUCUGCAUAAUAUGCCAACAUUAAAUUGACAUCCUGAUAGAAAGACAAGACCAAAAAAGAAUGGAACAAAACGAUGAUUGUGAGUGCUAAAUUUUUCUCCACAUGCAUGAUAUUCUGCAACUGUUGCUCAAUCUAUGGCUCAUAUUAUAAGCAUAUAAUUUGGUAUCAAAGAAAAGACCACCUGCCUCAAUAUUACAGAAUAAAUAAACAGAACAAACAUAUCCGAGUAUUGGUACCUAGAAAUAUGAAACAAUUAUGUUCUGACUCACCAUCACUUUCUCCUUGACAUCCCUCUUCUUUCCAUCAUCUUCAUACUUGUUAGUAGUCAAAGCUGACUUAGGGUCAGGUUGUGACAAAGUGCGAUAAAAGUGAUUGAGUGCAGAUCUUUUCUUUUGCAAAUCUACUACUUCUUCAGCAGAAGUUAUCACCUCACCAUUCCUUCCUUUAUUUGUACGGAAAAGCCUGGCCUCAUAAACCUAUAGAAAAUGCAUAAUGUAAUAAAAUAUCAAAUGCAAUCCCCAACCUUUAGCUAAGUUGAUAAAGAAUCAAGCUAAAUAGAACUUAACUACAACACCUGAAACAAAUCGUCCAGCUCACAGUGGACACAGAGAGGACCAUGAUCAUUAUCUUGACAGUUUGAACAGUGCCUUACACGAUCAAUAUCUGCCUCGCUUGGAUUUUCCAUUGUGCAGUCGAUCUCCAAAAGUCUAUCAAGUACGUUUUUCCUACCCUCUUCCAAUGAAUCCAGGCCAGUCUGAAUGUAAUAUUUUAGGCUUGUUAUGCUACCAAAGCUGCAUUAAAGAAGCAAAAGUGACUAGCAGUCCAAAAAUAAUCUGAGCAAAAUAUUAAAAAACAUAAAAACAGGAAUUUAUUCCUGAGUAAACGAACCAGGAUGCAAUUCUUGAUGUACGUGAAGUACUCAGAGUAACAGAGAGAGCUUCCCCUAUUUUCCUGAUCAACUCACUUGAUGUGUCCUUGUUUUGCUCGAGAUGAUGCAGGGCAUCUAACCACCAAGUCAUGUGCUGGCUUUUCCUGUUGCUAAACUCACUAGAAACCUUCAAUAAGAACAAAAAGAUAGCAACUGAUGGUCAGCCAUUGACAAAUUUCUCUUUAGACCAAUCCAUGAAGAACUGGUCCACACACAAAACCACCAUUUCAUCUCCUUGCACUCGCAAAGAAAUAAUUCGCAAAAUGAUUUCUCACUGGAACAAACAUACCUGUUCAUAUGACUUCCAGAACUCUUGUUGAGCCAGGGACAAUUUUGAAUAGAAGAGAGAUAAGUAUUUCUGCUUUAAAUUCUCACAUACUGUUCUGAAAAAUUGAUCACUUGUUGAUUGAGAUGAAGCAUGUGGAUCAACAAUGAAUGCUGUCUGACUGGAACCAUUUGCCUCAGCAUAACAUGGUUGCUCGGGUAAUUUCUCAGAGUCAAUGACCAUAUUAGAGUUUCCAGCAUCAAUUUUUGCCCUUUUUACAGCACGUUGUUCACUCUCUUCAAGAUCACAUACCAUGGAUACAUCUUCUUUAAAGCUUCAAUGGACAUUCUGUGAUUGUUUUUUAUUGUCUGAUGACAACAGGAGUAUCUCAGCGAGAUUAUGAUGAAUAUGUAUGUUCAACAAAGGGUCCAAGCGAAAAUCUUCCAAGUUUUCUUCAGCUAAAGCAAGUGCUUCCUUAUACAAUGAAACUGCUUGUGCAAAAUCUUGCUUAAGUACAGCUAUACCUGCAAGUCCAUUUAUUGCAGAGACUAAUUUUCUCAAAGCUUCCUCUCCUUCUAUCUUUGGUUUACCUACAAGAGCCUACAUAGAACCCAAACAUACAAAUCUGCUUUAACAUUUGAAAUUUUCUGGCUAAAACUUAUGAAAGAUACAAUAGUAUGUUGAACCAUAGGCUAAACCUACCAACAGUAUCUCCUCCAUGGUCAUGGGAGAUUGUUGCAAAGAACGUAGACCAGAACUUCCCACUUGAGGAUGGCAGCAAGCUUGUCGAAGCUUCAAGAGUGAGUUAAACAUCUUUGCAGCCUCCACAUGCGUAAUGAACUCAUCAGAUAAACUAUCAGAAGUUUUGGAACCUAUGCAAGGGCAUCAAAAUAUGUAAUACAGUUUUUUUUUAAUGAAUUACAAUUGAAAGAGUGGAAGAGACCAUAAGUACCUGGUGCUUUUCUCUUGACAACGUCAUUCUUCAAAUUUCUAAUCACCUCAUGGGCAUCUUUUAAACAAGUCUCAUGCUGCCUCUGGUAAAAAUGCUCCUCAAUUGGUCAUACUGAUUCUUCCUGGGGAGGAAUAUGUAGCUCUUCUGCAACAUGCACUUUUGAAGAGCGCCACAUUAUCUUUCUCAAAAAACUGUGUUCAAACAUCAUAGCUCCUGCAUCCCCUGCCUGCAAAUUGAGAUCCUCUCACAUAAGAGGAAAGGGAAGGAGAACAUGACUACUAAUUCUGCAUGAAUGAGUACGGACAUUUGCAGUCAACAAUUAGAACUGAUAAUGUAAGGGUUAACUGAGAAACUUAAAGGUAUAUGGGAGAUUAAAUCACAGUUUCAAUGAACCAAAACAUCACUACGUCUCCCUUAUAAAAAAAUAGAUAUAUAAAAAAGACUCAAUAUGUUAUAUCCUCAUUAGAUUUACUAGAAGAUCCUAAGAAUUGUUAUAAGAAAACACCAUUUUUCCCUUUUUAUGUCUCUUUUGUCUCUAAGAAGACAAAAGAAGAAAAAAAAUGGUAUUCAGCACAUCAGCAACUUUCCAAGAUUGUAAAGCCAGAAUCUUUGCCAGAAUCUAAAGAUUGCAAGUUUCUUAAAAGUCAUAGGUGAAAGAUUUGAAUUCACUACAGCAGAGGCGCUGAUAUACCUCAUAGGGAUCACGUAUGACUUCAGCCCACCACCUAAAAACAUCAAAAGGGCAUGCUCUGAGGAAUUUCAAAAGCCCGUAUAAGUCAUCAAGCUUUCUCUGUAUGGGAGUCCCUGUAAUACACCACCGGUGCUUGGCAUGUAGCCUUAGUGCCAUUUCUGUUGCUGCAGCAGCAUUACUCUCGACCAUCUGAGCUUCAUCCAAACAUACUCUCCACCAUAGUAUUCUAGUCAGGAGAGUUGGGACAACUGGGUAUCUGCAGUUUUGAAAACCAAGGAAAUGAAAAAUAUUUCAAUCUUUGUCUGUAAUAUAAAUGCAAGAAUAUGCAGUAAAAUAAGGUUUCCAAUAAUUUUGCAAAAAAAAAUUGAUAUAAAAUGAUAUCCUUGAGAUAAAAUUGUAGAUCCAUGAAGCACGACUUAAAUAACCCAAAGAUAACAAGAUCAAUAGAUACUUGAAACUUGUAGAAUGACUAAGACAUAGUUGAGUCUGACAAAAAUUUUGGACUUGCAAUCUGAGCAAAGGGGUUUCCGUUUGUCCACAUGAAUAAUUCAAUGGUUAGACCUUCAAAGACUUCUGGAAAAUAUAGUAAUUAGUAAAUAUUGCAAGCCAUAUUUGAUAGUUGCAAUCCCGAGUUAUUACUGUAAUCUCUUUCAGAUGUUACCCAUGCAUUUUGGGGUUUAUCCCGGCAAUAAAUCACAAUUGCAAUUAUCCAGAUACUUCUCCGCUCCAGUCUCAAUGCAAAUGCUAAUGAUACAUCAUUGAAUCGUAGAGAUGUUCAAAACAUCUCUUCCUGGGAGAUUAUUUUCUGAACCUCCAAACAUAUGAUAGAGCCCUCAGCAAUUAACAUGUAAACGAAUACUCAUGCAGAGAACAACAUGAAAAAUCAGCAAUCAUCUGCAUUAACAUGCAUAUGACUGCCAGAUGUAAUCUUGAGAAUUUGAGAAAGGAAAUAACUUCUCCUACUAUCUAAAUAGGUGCAUAUAUUGCCAAGUGCUUAAUUACUUAAAUGCAAAAGAGAAAACAUACAGAUAGAGUUCUAAUAGAGGGGUGUCUUAUGAACCAUGUAAACACUAGAUAGUAUCAUGGAAAAGUAGAAUAUUUUCUACCCAAAUCCUAUAAAAGCAAGUAUAAUGGAGGUAUCCUGUCGCAGUUAGGGAUGUAACCGAAAGGAGCCGAGUUCAGAGCUCAAACUAUUGAUUGAGUCAAAAUCACUGAUUGGAACUCGAAAUUGAGUUUGGUUGAGUUUGAUUCCUGAAACUCAAACUCAAUUAAAUACAAAUGAGUAUUCUAGCUGGACUUCCCUUAUACAGGAAUGGUGGAGUCUCGCUAGCUCUGCAUUCAAGCACUAUUGGAUAAAUUUGUUUAAUACUAAUUGGGAAAAAAUCUCAACUAUUCCACAAACACAACACUCAAACAUCAAAAUCAAGCACAAUCACCAAACACUACCCUAUAUCUAUCUAAAUUUUCUUCCAACAAGACUUUCCAAUAUAUGUAUUUUAUUAUUGUCAUUGUUGUUGUUAUAAAUUUUCUUCCGUUAAAUCUUUCAAUUUGGUAAAUGUAAUGAAAGAACCAUUAGAACACAAAAGGACUUCAUAAGAGUUUAGUGGACUCUAGCUUUCUCAAAAUGGGAGUCCAUGUUUAACCAUUCAAACACAGUAUGAUCCUUAGUAUAUGAUUUGAACGACCUCAUAAUUGUCUAAUAGUUCCAAAUAAUAUAGACAAUCUGCAGAAUCAAACAAUGUUGUCUUGAUUCUUCCAAUAUCUCAAUCACAAUAUAAGCGAAAAAUAUGGAAAGAAACGGGUAAGAAACAUCUAAGAUCCACGUAGAAGUUGAAGCAACUUUCUCAAGUUGAGAACUUCGACAAGAUAUCUAACUCCACCAAUAGCAAUGCCAGACUCUGUUAUGCUAUUGCUUUUGUGUUAUUGUCUGAUUAUUAUUUAUUACGUUAUCCAGCACCAGACAAAAGCACAAAAUGAGAUCUUAUUAAAUAAAUUUUCAGUUGGACAAUCAACACAAUAUAGCCAGGACUUAAGUCCUUUGUGUUGUUACUCAAAAGAUCAUCAUAUAACCUGAAAUGCAAAUUACUCUUCUAUUGCAAUUAGCUUAAAAUUUUCUACUAUUACAUGAAUAACAGGAAUUACAAUCAAAGUCAGGCUGCAAAAUCUCGACCCAUGAAUUGUAACACAGGCAAAAUUUCCCUCAGUAACCUAUGAAUUACAAAAAGAAGAAAAUAGAAGUAAAACCAAUACCAUCGCUCAUAAUUCAUCAAACCCUUCAGUUUUCCUCUUUUUCCUCUUCUUCUUUUCAUUCUGCUCUGCAGAAUCACUUCUCUCUCCACCAUCAACCUCCCUGCUCUUCCUCUUCUUCCCUUUUUCACUGCCAACAUUUGCUCCAUCAUCUCCACCCUCAUUCUUUUUUCUCUUCUUCUUCUUAUCCUUACUCUUCACACCUUCAACUCCAUCCAUGUCUCUUUCAAUUUCCACAAUCUCUUGCUUAAUAUUAUUCUUAACCUUAUCUAUUUCCUCUCUAUCUUCACCUCUCCCAAUCUUCUCCUGUUUUUUCUUUUUCCUUUCCUCCCCAACCCCACUGUCAGGGCUUCGUUCAAUCUGUUCUCUCUGCUCACUCCUCACCUCCGAUUGGCUAUUUUUCUUUCCUUUUUUGCCAACAUUUUCUCCAUCCUCCUCACCCUCAUCCUUCUUUUUCUUCUUCUUAUCCUUUCUCUUCACACUUUCACCUUCAACUCCAUCAAUAAUGUUCCUUUCAACUUCCACAAUCUCUUGCUUAGCCUUAUUCCUACCCUCAUCUCUUUCCUCUAUAUCUUCACCUCUCACAAUCUUUUCAUGUUUCUUCUUUUUCCUUUCCUCUCCAAGCCCAUCAGGGCUUUGCUCAAUCUGUUCUCUCUCCUCAUUCCUUAACUCCGAUUGGCCAGUUCUCUUAUCUUUUCUGUUCUUGUCCGAACUUCUCUGUACCUUAACUUUGUCAAGCCUAUCUGCUUCUUGGUCAAUCUUCAACAAGCCUUCAGUGCUCGGCUCAAAUUCGCGAUUUUUCUUAUGUUUUCCCUUCUUUUCCGACCUUUUCACGGCGUUAACUUCAUCAAUCCCUCCUUUAUCCUUCUCAAUCUUUAACGGUUCUUCAUCAUUUACCUCUAAUUCGCGAUUUUUCUUCCGCUUGCUCUUGCUUUCCACAUUCUUGAUCUUUUCUUCAUCUAGAUUUUUGUCAACGGUGGCUAAAGUUUCAAUCUUUGUAUCAACAACAAGAGGUUGAGAUACCUUACGUUUGCGAUUCGAAUGGGGCGCUUUUAGCUCCUUGUGGAAUUGAACCAAACUGUUGAAGGCAUCAGAAGCGCGUUUCAGAUACACGCGGACGGCAUCGGAAGCUCCAUUCUCCUCUUCCAGGGAGGCGAAGGCGGAGAGGUUUUUGGCUGCUGAAGAUAGAGAGACUGGCUUUGUUGAUACCACUUGGCCUGUGACAGUCUUCAUUGGAAUUUGACUAUUUUGAUACUUUUUGGGGUUAAUUCAGCUGCGAUUUAGGGUUUAAGGGGUAUUCGUCGGGGUGGCGAUCGAUCAAAAUCGGGUUGGUGGGUCGGGUUGAGACCCGGAUAUAACAGAAAAUCCCGCUGACUCGAACCUGACUCGAACUCGAAAAUUUUGAGUUAGCGGGUCAAUCUGAAAUGAUUCGAAAUUUAAUUUUAAUUUAUUAAUUUAUCACUGUAAUUUUUUAUAAAACCAAUUUCGCACAAGACUAAUUACAUAAUCAAGUAAUAAAAUUUUAAAUAAAUAAUUCCAAAUCAAAUAUAAAAUAAAUUAAAAUAAUAUAAAAGUAAAAAAAAUAUAAUACAUUAUUUAUCCAAAUAUCAUAAUUUUAACUUCACACAGGUUAAAUAAAUUCAUUUAAAAUUAAGUGAUUAAUGCCUUUGGAAAAAAAGAAUAACUUAGUUUAGUUAGAUAAAAUAAUUUUUAUGUUUAUCAAAUUAUUUUUAAUUCGUAAACGGAUUAUCAGGUCAUUCAUAGGUUGAUCCGAAUUCGACCCGUUUUCUUUUCAGGGUUCAUCGGGUUUGACCCGAUUCUAAUCCGAACCCCCGAGACCUCAAUCAAAAUUCAUUAAUUUCGUGUUAGAUUCUUGUCGUGUCAAAAAUUGCCACUGCUAGAUUUUCGGAGGUGAAGUCAAACCGGGUCGAAGACCCUCAGCCAAGCCCGGGAUCUUAAACGGAUCAGACCCAAUAAAACAAGAACCGCUAAAGUAGGGCAAAAAUUUUUCUGAAUGAAAAUGUAACACGUUAAAAUAAAUUUCCCACUGCAAAAAUAGGAAAUAGGAAACUUAGGAGUCAAUAGCAUGUACAAGUUUGAUAAGACCAUUGAAAUGUACAUGAGAUCUUCAGUCUUCCUCAAAAAAAAAAAAAAAAGAAGUAUACGAGGUCAUACGUACAAACAUGAAUGUGAUACAUGUUUACAUAUAACAAUUGAUUUAGGAUUCUCUUGAUGGAAUACACUUGAGUAAUUACAAGUAAUACUGAUAUCUUACUUAAUUUCAUGUUAGCAUCACAUAUUAUAAGAUACAGAAUAAAAUAUAAAUUUGUGUUGAAUUUAUCUUCUAAACUUCACCCUUACAAAAUGGAGAAAAAUUAAAACACAAACCAAAGGUGGAGAAAGGGAAAAUUUUCAAUUAUAUCAUGUCAAUUGGUCAUUCUUGUCAAUAAUAAAUAUAAAACUGUUUUCAACUUUCUUACAAAAUAAUAGAUAACAUUUAUCUUAAAAAAUGUUAUUACUUUUCUCCUAUUCUUAGUGUAACAACGUUAAUUUUGUAGUUAUGAAUGGACUGAAUAUACAGCGUAUGAAGGGAAUGUUUGGUUGAAUGAUAAGAUAGGAGAGAUUAUGAAUGAGAAGUUUUGAAAAUAAAGUUGUAUAUCUUACUUACAAAAAGUUUUAAAAAAAUACAAAAGUGUAUGCUUGUGUUUAUUUAUUUUAAAUUACACAUUUAUCUUGUUUCAUGUUUUCCAUUUACUCAAAAUCUUACAUUGAUACCUUCCUUAUCUCUUUUCAUCUUGAAAUUCUUAUUAUUUUAUCUAAAGAAAGCUACUAUUAGAAAACUUCCUCCUCAAUUUUCAUAUUGAAUUCUUAUUUUUUCUCCUCUUAAUAUUCCUGCUAUUUUCUCUAAAGAAAGCCAGCAUUAGAUUUACUAUUUGGAGGGUUAGAAGGCAUCUAAACUCCUUACAUAUUAAACUUCCAUAAAAUUUCAAUAUCAAAGAUUAAAAUGAACACAAAAAUUUAGAAAAUUCAUUAGUUAUUUUUGGUACAAACUCCUUUUAUCUUUCUAUUUGCUUAAAAAGGGGGGUGAGGAAAAUAAGAAAAACAUAUUUAAGGCAAUUCCGUUUGUGAGACUCGAUCCCGCAACCGCCUUCGACGGAGGAAAAAUGAGCCAAUCGAACCCUGCAAGGCUGCAACGUUCUCACUCCACCAGCAUACCGUCUUGAAAACUAGGUCAACCGUUCGCACAAAUUUUUAGUUCAGCUAUUGACUUUAUAUGCUGCCUCUGCCAGCUUUAUUUAUCAGUUCUGCAACCGCUGACAAACUCUAAAACCCUCCCGCCUAAUUCUUAAACCUCAGUUUUUCUGCGUAAAUUAGCAAACAUUAGAAAAAAUGACGAGGAUAGCGUAAGCUCCGAUUCAAUUCACAAAACAGCCCUACAUUGAAGAUGUCGGCCCUCGCAAAAUGUAACUGAUCUCUACUGCUAUUGCUCUGUUUUUUUUUUUUUGGUUAAUCUUAAAUAGGUGAAAUUCCAAUGUGUUUGAUAAUUUCUUUACUUUUUUUUUUGUGGAAAUUUGUGAACAGAGAAAGUAUUCAGUUUUCUACAUUCGGAGAAUCCGAGAUUCUGAAAGCAGCUGAAAUACAAGUAUACCGCGGUGUAUAUUAUGAUUCUGCGAAAAGGCCUUGGGAGAAUGGCUUAUUAGACCCUCAUAUGGUAUCUUAUUUAAUGUUCAUUGUUUCUUUUAACAGUGGUGAACUAUUUUUGCGUACGAUGAACUGAUAGCCGUGAUUCAUUUUCCAUAUUUUCUAUCUGAUGGAGAAGAAAAUGUAUCUGCUAUUGUUAUUUCACAUUUAAAAGAAGAAGAGAAGGGGAGUUCGAAUAAAUAGCAUUUUCUGGGGAACUGAUGAUGCAUCAGUUAUCUUUUAGGUCUCUUUUGUGCAGCUAGAGUUUGUUUAAUCUGUCAAAUUAUGCGAUAGGAAUUGCUUUGUUCAGUAAAUUACUUGUAAUAGUCUAUUGAUAAGGGGAUCACUUCCAGUGACUUUCUAAUUUUCUAACAAGCUAAAUCAAUGUUGUUUUUGAAUGUAGGUACUGCUGUUGUUUCCAAUUUAUUUAUAGUUCAGAAGUGUAUUAAUUUAUUGGUUACAUUUUUGAGUUACUGGAAUUGAUAUUAGAAAUCUUCUGAAAGGUGCUGUUUGGUCCAGGGCCCCGCAAACAAGAAUGGAAUUUGUGAAGCAUGCCAUGGGAACUUUAGGGAAUGUCCAGGGCACUACGGAUAUUUGACUCUUGCUCUACCAGUUUACAAUGUUGGAUACUUGAUUACUGUCCUCGACAUCUUGAAGUGCAUUUGCAAGGUAGAUGCUUAUAGUUCUACUUAUAUGUUUGUGCAUAGUGUUUACUUUGACAUGCAAAUCUCUCUCUCUCUCUCUUUUGGAUUCAAGUUGAUGCAAAGUAUACUUCUUAUUUGCUGUUGGUUCAUCAUUUUGUAAGUAGGACUGACUUGAAUAAUUAUGGGAGUGCUAGGAUGACAUUCUUUUGUCUGAAAAAAAAAUUCUUUUACCAAUCUGCCUUCUAUUUGCCACUUGUGUCCUCAUGUGCCCAAAAAAAAAAAAAUUCGCCUUCUCCUUGCACUCAGAACAUGCAAAGAGGUGCUGUUUCUAGAAGCAACUACUUCUGCACGUGGGAAAUGCUAAAUUUGCUAAUGGGAGUCAUCUGUAGAAGCAGCUCUGAAUAGUUUAAGACUAUCAUCUUGGAAUGUUAAGAGGUUAAAAUGACCUUCUCUCAUUUUUCUGUUGGGAUUGUAGCUAGUGAUAUGAUAUUUGGUAAGUUCUGCUAAUGAAAAUUUCAUCUGAAUUUUUGAGAUAAAGUUUCUUUCGGAAGUUUCCUUCCAUUACUGGGAGUCAAAGCACAUGAGAUGAAUAAUUUUUCCCACGUUGUCAUUUUUUAGUUGCCUCCUCUCUCUCUCUCUCACACAUAUUUUGGUGAAUGGUGCUCGGCGUGUUGAAUGCUUUAUCAGAGUUAAAUUUUUAGCUUAUUCAUUUAUUUUUCUCCUAGUGUGUUUUCUAGUUUUGGAUGAUUUUUUCUUCUUCAAACAGCAAUGUUCGCGUGUGCUUCUCGGGGAGAAAGAACGCCUUAGCUUUCUAAAGAAGAUGAGAAAUCCCAAAAUCGAGCCCUUGAGGAAGAGCGAGCUACAAAAAAUGGUAGUGAAGAGGUGUAAUGCCCUAGCAAGUAGCAGAAAAGCAGCUACUUGUUCUAGAUGCGGCUAUGUAAAUGGUUUGUGCCUGUACUUUCUUUCAAUAUUAUAGUCAAUUAAGUCCAAUAUGGUGUUUGGUUAACGAUUCAAUCGAGUUUAGAUAUGGUGUUUGUUUAGCAAUGUAUAGUCCUAAAACUACCACUAAUUUCCCUUUAGUACUCCAAAAGCAAGGUGGGAAUAGGGAAAGGGAAGAAAAUGAUAUAUAUUAAGUGCAUAGAAAAGAGAGAAAAUAGGAAAAAAAAAAGAUAAAGUAGUGGGCAUGCAAAGUUAAAAUAAAUAAAUGCUUUUUUGCUGUGUACUUUCACAUCAAAUUUUGUAUUACUUUGGGUUGUGAAGAUAAUGUCAGGUUACUCUUAAAAAUAAAAAACCUGUUUUCUCAUUCACCUUAAUACAUUUUCUGGAUAAAGGUUUGUAAAACUUCAGGAUGUACUUACUGCAUGAAUGAGAGGUUUAGGCAUGUUAUUGGGGGCUAUUUGUUUAAGAAGCAGUAUGAGUCCCUUUCCUGCAGUGUAUGUUUUCAUAUGUAUGUGUAUAUAUAUGAGGAAAUUUCAUGUGUAUGUGCAUAUAUAAGUGGAGAUACAUGUUUGCAGUGUAUAUUUCUCUGUUUUAGUGAUAUGAAUGUGAGCCAAGUGUUUUGCUUUUAUCUUCUUAAAGUCAUCCCUUUUGGUUAAAGCUUUGAAAAUGUAAGACAUAAAUAAUAAGUCAAGCAUGAGAAUAUAGUGUGUGGAUAUUUGUAUUCACAAGGUCAAUGAGACAAGAAGUAAUAUCCACAAUCCCUGAACAUGAUUCUGCUUUAAGCUUCGAUUCUUAGGAACUUCAUUUGGGUGUGGAUGCAGAAUGAGACCUCUGAAGAGAGAUGAUUGGGGAUGCUAAACGUCCUGGUGAGAACUUAUUUUUGGUGGGUGAGUUGCUGUUACGGUCACUGAUAAGAAUGAAAAACCAAAAAGGCAAAAGUUGUAGUUCAUAUUCUUUUUGGUACUCUGGUUGAAUUUCCUCAAGUCACAGAGCAGCUUAUUUUUGCAAAAGUAGGGCUGAAAUUUGUUUUGAUAGUGGAGCAGUUGUAAAGCUUUGGUAGGUUAUUUUUGCGGGCAUAGUGUGAUAAUGAGACAAAAAGGGGACAUCUUUGUACACAACUAUACAUUAUAAAAUUGUUUUCAGUUUGUCCCUGCUGGUCCCCUCCUCCUGCCACACUCGUCAUAGGACCUCCACAAAGUGUUUCGAAGUUAGCCAACAUCCAAUUAGUGGUAGUUGGUCAUUACACUUUUAAAGACAAUCAAGAGGGAAGUUUAUCAUGUCCCAAUCGAAUGGAUAAUUUAUACAAAUUACUUGAGGGCAAGGUCUGUUCAACUUAUCAAAAACUAGGGAGGGGGAGGUCUGUACCGUGAAUUUUGUUCAACUUUUCCAUGUUGCUGUUAAAUUAAGAAGCUUAUUCCUGAGCUUUUCUUGAUCAUGUUUCAGUGUUUGGAGAGAGAUUUCAUUUUUAUUUGAUUUAGAUAAACUUACUAAUUACAGGCAUAAUUUUUCCCUGAAUAACCAAAUUUAGUUUAUUAUCUUUAAAUUAAGAAUAUUCUUUGUUUCCAUUUAUGAAGAGCAUUUGCAUCCUGAGCUGAAACCUUUGUCCUUCAAUAAUCUAUAUAUUAUUCUUUUUAUUAAGUGCAGCUAUGUUUCUAAUUUCGUACUGCCAACAUGCUGGAAAAGUGUGUCCCUUGGAAAAAGCUUAGAGAAAUUAGGUUACAAGUUUGUGGGCAGUUGGAGUUUUACCUGUUUCAGUGCUGUAAAUUUACUGACAUCUUCUUAACGUGGUUUCAUUGCAGCUAUGGUGAAAAGAAUACUAAGAUGUUAGGCAUCGUGCAUGAAAGGACAAAAGUCAAUGACAGUUUCUUAAAUGAAUAUGGUUCUGCAAUUUCACACACGAAAGACUCUAACACAUCCAAUUUUAGUGUUCCUGAUGAAAUUGACCCUAAAGUGGUUUAUUCCCUUCUCAAGAGAAUGCUGGAUGAGGUAUUAUCUCUUCUGUGAUACAAAAUUUAUCUGCUCUGUAGCUUAGAUCAUCUACAGAUUAUUUAUCUGAGUUUGGCUCACAUUUAUGCAAUUGUGUUUCCUUUGAUUUCCAUCUUGAAUCUUCUCUACAGGACUGCGAGUUGCUGUAUUUAAAUGAUAGACCUGAGAAACUCAUGAUUUCAACCAUUCCUGUGCCUCCAAUAGCUAUUCGUCCAUCAGUUUUUGUGGAUGGUGGUAUGCAGAGGUAAUGUCAAAAACAUAUGUGCUAUUUUUUGUCAUUGCACCUAUUGUCCAAUCAACUGGGAGGGAAUGAAUAGAUUUCUUUUCAGGAGCAAAACGUACUGGUUUCAGUUUUGCUUUUUUUUUUUUUGGUGGCAUUUCUUCCUUGAAUAGAUAGGAAGAAUGUAAUCUGGUACUUGAGUGAUAGGUUUAUGUGGUCAACUGAACUGUUGAUAUGCUUGUUUAUGUACUAAAUAUUAGUGAAACCCUCUUGGGUGGAUCACAUUGCAAGAUGUUUAACGGAUAUUUAUAAUAACCAAAUUGAAUCAUACUCAAUAGGUUUCGAAUUAUUGCUAAUCCUCUUGAAAUUUUAGUUUCACAGCUGAAUUAGGGUAACUUGUGAUUUUAUAGUUUUAUAACUUAAAUUUGGAAUGAAAAGGUAUUAGAACAAUCCUCAUGGACUCAAAUCCUUUAUGGAUCUGUGUCUAAGACAGGAGUGGAGGGCAAGGCAUGCAAGGAGAAGCAAUGCAAUGGAAAGAAAUUGUUAUACUGGAAUUUCUCUAUUGCCUUGUACUGAUGUAUGUUUUUUUUUAAGACCUGAGGCCUGCUCACUCGGGGAUUUUAAGUUCACUUAAGUCACUGAUUAACAUAGGCGUCGUCAAUCAUAAUUAUUAAAUUAACUAAGUGUAUAUAAUGUAGCUUUAUAUUCUGGGCUUAUGUUCUAGGUUUAUUAUAUCAGCUUAGUUGCAUUAUGAAAAAAUUGGUACUAUAUGGAUGCUAACAUGGAGUAUCAAUCUUGAAAAGCUUCAAGGAAUCUUGGCUUGGUAUACAAACCAAAUGUUGAAAAAUUGAACUUUGAUAGUUGAGCUGGCAUAAAAACCUAGCUAGAGUGAUGCAUUGAAUUUUUCUUUUUCCUGCUUGAGCCACAUAGUUUGGAGUGUUGUGGAAGAAUUUAUGCAAUUAAAUUUUAUGGCUGGCAUGUUUGAGGAAAAUUCUAUAUAAUAUUCUGGGAGAUGUAUUUAUGGUUCUUCGGAAAAAGAGGAUUAAAAAUCUUUUGGAUCCUGCUAAAUGCCUGCACAUUGACAUUGUACAACACUAAUAUGUGCAGUAACGAGAAUGACACUACAGAGAGACUAAAACGCAUUAUCCAAGCUAACGCUAGUCUUCGUCAAGAAAUAUCAGACACAAGCCUUCCAUCCAAAAGCUUGGUAUGAUUUUUGUUUCCCAAGUUCUAUAUUCUCUGACUUUGGUUUGUUAUUUACUUCCAUAUCCAUUUUGUAAUUAUUUGUCUGCUAGAUUUGUGUCACACAUCUUUGAUAACUAUUCUCUAUGCUUACUUUUCUUUUUGAGUUUUUAUUGUGUCUUUCUUAAUUCUGAAUCUGCAUGCUAAUGAUUGUUAGAAAUGUAAACACAAAUAACUUUUUUUUCCUUACAUAAAAUAGGAUGAAAAGAAAGAGGACUGGCUGCAGUAUCAUCUUUGACUCUGAUUGAUUCUCUUAUUGUUGUGUAAUUUGAAAAGAAAAGUGCUUCAAAUUAAGAAAAAUUGCACAAUGAGAUGACAGGCACUGCUCCAACCCUAUCAACGAAAGGAAAUAUAAGAAAACAAAGACUAUACAUGCUUUUCUUUGCUCCCAACUGGAAAAUCUGAUUGCUCAUGUGUCCUCGUGUUUGGCAAAGCAUGUUUCGUGGGGAUGUUGUCAUGUUUCAGUGAUCACAUUGACCCAAUCCAUCAUAUGCUAAUUUAUAUUCUUGUAUUGUGGAUACUAUUGUUCGAGAUGUCAACAUUUUGCUGCAUGCCCUUGACUGUAGUUGAAUGCAUGGGGUGUAUCUCACUGAAAUCUCCAAUGCCUAUUGGUUAUGUGGGGGUGCUAUGCUAUCUGUGGAUUUCAUCAUUUUGUAUUACCAUGCAUUUUGAGAGAUUUAUGGGCCUUUUAUCCUGUUUUGUGUGGUUUGCAUUCAUUCCCAUGGUUAUACCGACACCACAGCUUCUUGCUUUCCCUGUCCGAUGGUGUAACAAGUUCCUUCCCAGCAAAGCCCAUCAUACCUUCUGAAAAAACUGAAAAUGCCAAAAAGUUAAAAUUUGCAGCUAGUAUCAUUGAUUUAAUUGGCAUUGACAUAAUAGUAAUAUUUCAUCUAUUAAGAAGGUCACCCUGAAUACCUGAAAUAGAGAAUUAUAGCAAGAUUUCACUCCUACAUCUUCUAAAGCCCCUUUGAUAUCUCUUCAUCUGCAACUAAUUCUUGGUUUGUUGGGUAAAUAUUUAACUGCAUGUUAUGGAACUGUUUAUAUAGACUUGAAUUUACAAAAUUUCCUGGGAAUCGUGUACUACAUUCCUGUGAUAGUGGUAUUUUUGGAUAAAUCUAAAUGAAAUUGUUUCUUGGUCUUCCAUUGCUUCUCUUUUUCAAUGUCCAGGAAUACGUCACAAAAUUAAUUGUAUUGUGCCAUUGCAAAUGUAACAUCACUUCUGUCUUUGAGUAUAUCUUCUAAUGCACUUCUAGUGAUUUGUUCUUCACCUGGUUUAGAAUGGUUGGAUUGAUCUGCAAGUGGAGGUUGCACAAUAUAUAAAAAGUGAUGUACGUGGAGUUCCCUUAUCUGCACCAGCUACCAAACCUUUAAGUGGUUUUGUCCAGCGUCUGAAAGGGAAGCAAGGAAGAUUUCGUGGAAAUCUAUCAGGAAAAUGUGUUGAGUAUACAGGAAGAACCGUUAUAUCUCCUGACCCAAAUUUGAAAAUCACGGAGGUAUGUUGUUUGAGUUAACUCAUUUCUGACUUAAGAUGAUGGUUUACACCAUGAGAAUAUCCUGUCUAGGUGAUUAAGGUAAAAGUAAUUUAGCCCUUCUUACAGCGUGAGAGCCACACCAGUUUGUGUCCCUUUUGAUUGAUUUCUUCUAACAGGCUUUCUUUUCCAGGUUGCGGUUCCUAUAUUGAUGGCUCAGAUUUUAACGUAUCCUGAGCGAGUGUCCUAUCAUAAUAUAGAGAAGUUGAGGCAAUGCGUGCGAAAUGGGCCUAAAAAGUAUCCUGGAGCAAAAUACAUCAGGCAGCCAGAUGGUACCGAGAUGUAAGGAGUGUGUAUGUUGGGGCCUUUUUGUUUGUUGGCUAGAUCUUAUGUUUCCUUAUUUCACAAAUGUUGUUGUCCAUUAUGCUGCAGAUCAUUGAAGUUUAGUUCUAGAAAGCGUCAUGCUGAUGAAUUGAAAUUUGGUUACAUAGUUGAUCGUCAUCUAGAAGAUGGAGAUGUUAUUCUCUUUAACAGACAACCGAGUCUGCAUAGAAUGUCCAUCAUGUGUCACAGGGUAAUUACUGCAGUAUAAAUACUGAAGCAUUAGAGUGUCCUUAUUUAGUUUUUAAUUUAUUUGUCCUUUUUUAUUGGCAGGCAAGAAUAAUGCCAUGGCGAACAUUGAGAUUUAAUGAGUCCAUCUGUAACCCAUAUAAUGCUGAUUUUGAUGGUGAUGAGAUGAAUAUGCAUGUGCCUCAAACAGAGGAGGCUCGCACAGAGGCGCUAAUGUUGAUGGGAGUAAGUAGUUAUUCAUGCCUUAUUUAUAGAUUUAAUUUAGCACCAAGUUUUAGAACAUCUUUUCUCGCGAUUGCUAGUAGAAUUUCAUCGCUGCAUUUUCAGCGUUUUGUUUUGUAUGUGAUUUUCUUUUCUCUUUGAAAUGUUAUUGACAAUUCUGCAGGUGCAAAACAAUUUAUGCACUCCAAAAAAUGGAGAGAUUUUGGUUGCUUCCACACAGGACUUUUUGACAUCUUCAUUUCUCAUUACAAGGAAGGACACAUUUUAUGAUCGUGCUUCUUUUUCACUUAUGUGUUCAUACAUGGGGGAUGGGAUGGAUCAGAUUGAUUUGCCAACUCCUGCACUACUUAAGGUUAGUUAAACUGAUGUAAUUAUAUUCUCUAAUUGCUACUUGAUUGAUAAUGUCUUUUUUAUUAUUAUUUUGACCUAUAUAUUCACCUCUUAUUCUUUUGGAUGGAAUAGCAGAUCCUUUUACCUUUAAGUUUCUUAAUACACCAUUUUUUCUUUUUCUAAGUCAUAUUUCAUGAAUUGCCUAUAACGUGCAUGAAGUUAAUAUUCUUAACUACUUUAGACCUUUUAGGUUGAAAAAUGAUCAUGGCCUAAUAGUAACCCUAAAGUGGUAGAGAAUGUAGUUGAUCUUCUUAUAUUCAGUUCCAAGUUGGAGGCCUAGUUUUUUCCUGUCAAGUGGGCACCAUGCUAGUUCUUGUAGUUUCUUGUUCAAAUUAUAAGGUGCCCUGUUUGGAAAGUAGGAGGAUUUGGGAAAUUAUAGUGUUGGUUCUUUAUGCCUUUUUUUUUGUUGUUUUUGGUGGGGGGGGGGGACGGUGUUGUAUUGUUACUUGCACUUGGUGCUGUUACUGUAUAUAUGAUUUUUGCCUGUGCAGCCAGUUGAACUUUGGACCGGUAAACAAUUGUUCACUGUACUACUGCGUCCAUUUGCAAAAAUGAAAGUCUAUGUGAAUCUAACUGUUGCUGAAAAGAAUUACCAAAAGCCCAAAGAAACCAUGUGCCCGAAUGAUGGAUUUGUUUGCUUCCGUAAUAGUGAGCUGAUUAGUGGACAAUUGGGAAAAGCUACAUUAGGUGAGAUUCUUUCCUUUACUCCAAAAAUAUAAUGCGUGCCUACUUUAUGAAUUUUGGGUUGCUUCUGCUGUUAAUGUUUUCUCUCUCCUGCACUUGUUUUAUGAGGAGCAACCUGUAAGUUAAUUGCCAAGUUUUCUUAUUUAGCCUAAUUAGAGUAUGUUGCAGAGUCAAAGUAUACCACUUUUUGCCUCAGAUUCAGGCUUUUAUGUUGAGAUGCAUUUUCAGUUUUGCAUACUAAAUGACCCACAAACUUUGACCUCUGCAUGAAUUUGUGAUCAUGAGACUUGCCUUUAGAUUUUACAAAAGUCCCUCUAAUUUAAUCUGUGGUCUUUUAUUGGAUUUUUUUGAGCUGAUAUCAUGUUGUGGAAGAGUUGAAGGCUAAGAUUGGGUUUAUUGUUUUAAGGUUGAUGCCUUCUUUUUGAAGGGAUGAUUCUGAAAGUCAUCUUUUCGUCUUGAAAUGUAUUAAGUUGUCAUGAAGCUUUUUUUGGAGAACUAUUACUUUAUCAUGUUUUUAAAAAAAGUUCCACAAAAAAUAUGAAUGUAGAAGAUUGAAACACAAAAUGGAAUCCUUAUCAAGUUUAUGCAUGUUCUUCUGUUUGUUAUAACUUUUCAUACUGUGAGCGAGAAAACCCAUACUUUCACCAAAAAAGUAUGAAAUGUGAUUUUUAGAGCUGGCUUUAAUGGGCAUCAUGUUCAUUUUAGCUCAGUUUUCAUUUGAUAUUCCAUCCUAAAGCAAGUAGUUUCUGAAUAGAUUCUAAUCCUCAAAUAGAUAGUCUAAUAUGUUAAUGAAAAAAAUAGGGAUGAUUUCACAACCUCUCCCGAGAUUUAUGACAUUUCAGUUAGCUCCUAUCAGAUUGCAAUAAUUAAACUUGCAUUCUAUUUUCAUACUGAUAGAGGUCAAAAUAAAGUUACUUUACUGUGUAAAGUGUCUGUUAACCUUCUCAUGUUCCUUAACGUAAUAAUCUAAAAACAAAGAUAGAAAGAAAGAAAGAAAUUCUACUUAGAGUGUGGCAUCACAUUAUUUGUUUGUCCCGUAUAUGCAAUUUGUGCUAGUAUAUCCAUCUUUUGGCCUCAUGUUUUUGGCUUUAGAAAGAGCACACUAGAAUAAUUUAAUUCAUUAGGAUAAGAAACUUGAGUGUAUUUAAGCACAAUGUAGCUCAGCAUUUGUGUGCUGGAAAAGAUUUAAGUUCUAAUUUCUGCAAUAUGCUGUUUUUUGUGUUUAUUGGUAGCUUUGGAUGCCUUAAAAUGUAAAGCUCAGAACAAGAAGUACUUAUGUUUGAGAUUGGAACAGGGAAUGGGAACAAGGAUGGUCUUUAUUCGGUCCUCCUAAGGGACUAUAAAUCACAUGCUGCUUCAGUAUGUAUGAAUCGCUUAGCAAAGUUGAGGUAUGUUAGUAGUGGCUUUUGACUGGCAACCAACCUUUUCCUCGUGUCUCAACAUUGUCUGUUAAUAAGGUUUCUCAUUGAACAGACACAUUAGUGUGUCAUAUACUUUCCAACCACUCAUUUUGGCAUUUGUUUUAAAUUAUUGAUGUAUGUAAUUUGAACUUUGUUUUGAUAAUGUAAUUGUUAAGAAGCAAACCUCCUGUAAUCUUUCAUAUAUUCCUCUGCAUACUCUCUGCCAUAUCUUACAAGUAAUAUAAUAGGUAGUUGCAGUUUUUGUUGAAAAAAAAAAUUCAGAGAGUUUAAUAUUUAUAAGCUCAUUUAUUAAGAAGAUUGUAUAAUCCAAUGCUUUUCAACUAUUGAUUGUUGUAUAUGGUUUACUAUUAAAUUUCCAGGUGUUGAGCAAUGGAUUCCUAGUAAACUUGUCAGUUGUCCGGAAUCUUAUCCAUAUAGUUUUUCUAUGGUCAGGCUUACCUGACCUCUGCAAAAUUUUGUAGUAACUAUAAAUCGUGUCUUGUUAUUUUCAAAUUCUAUUGGAUACAAGUGAUCAGGAUACCUUCCUGCACAGUACCUGAUCAAGAUAACUUCCAUCUUUAGCCUCAUGAUCUAAUGAAAAUCUACCACUUAAAAAGUACUUUGAACCAAGCUCCUUGUGCUUCUCCAGAACAAAAUGAGAUCUGUAACUAAAUAUCGCAUCGACGAUGGGCAUCCUGGAGUUCCAUAACUGCUGAAUGUAUCUCUAUCUUAAAUUUACUUAACCCCCUACUCUAGACGGGCUUCAUAUUUUUCUAUGUAUCUGUUCACUUUUGACCCUCUUUAUGAUCUCUUGGUGGCAGUUUUUUUUUUUUUUUUUUAACUUGGAAGUUAAACAUCCUUAAUAUUCUUGUCUUUUUUUUGGGGGGAUGUUCAGAGAUCUUUUCAUACAUCUUGUGCGACUGGCUCUUGGAAUUCAAAAUCAUGUUGUCCAAUGAAGGCCAAUCUUUUCGUUACUUCCCUAGUCAACCACCAUCAGCAAUAUUUUAGCCACUCUUUUACACCCCCAAGCCCCAAAACCAACCCCAACCCCAAAAAUAAAAAAAGAAGGCAAUAUCUAAUUUGAUUGAAUUACUUGAACCUGAAACUGAAGUUAUUUAUCAUACCGAGUUUGGACAUUAAUUUUAGGUUCUUUGUGGAAUACGAAUUUGAGCACGCUGGAUUUCAAGUUCUUUUCUUUUAAAUCCUCGCAUAAAUUUCGAUCUGCCUAUUCUAACAGAACUUUAGAGUCUUUUCAUCUUGUCUACUGCUUAAGGAUAGCUAUUGCCCACUUACUGAUCUUUUAGGUUAUUUGGAAAAUUAUUUUGCAAUUCCUGUACUUUGUUUUGCUCAUAUAUGUUGAGUGCUUUAUGGUUCGAUAUGCUGGAUUGUAAUUUACCUUUUGUACUUCUAUUCAUGUUGUCUACUGCUUAUGGAUAGCUAUUGCCCACUUACUGAUCUUUUAGGUUCUUUGGAAAAUUAUUUUGCAAUUCCUUUACUUUGUUUUGCUCAUAUAUGUUGAGUGCUUUAUGGUUCGAUAUGCUGGAUUUUAAUUUACCUUUUGUACUUGUAUUCAUUGCUAUGCUAAUUGAUGAACAAUGCUAUUUUGGGUUGUUAAGAUGGAUUUUAGUGUCUUUCAUGUGAGGCUGACAGCUUAUUGUGUGAUACAAUUGCUCUUGAAGUCUAUUAUAUUUGCUUCUUUAUCUGGACACUUUCUCAGGACUGAAAUUUCUGUCACAGAUUCAAAGUAGCUCUACUCAAUGAGUAUUAUAUUCAUUUUUCAUUUAAAAUGUCAUUUGCAGUGCAAGAUGGAUAGGGAAUCAUGGAUUUUCUAUCGGCAUUGAUGAUGUGCAACCACCUGAUCGUCUAAUUACUGCAAGGGAUGAAAAAAUUUCCACAGGAUAUGCAAUGUGUGAUGAAUUAAUAGAGAAGUAUAACAAGGGUGCGCUUGAGCUGCAGCCAGGUCAUGAUGCUGCACUGACACUUGAAGCUAAAAUAACAAAAGUUCUAAAUGACAUUCGAGAUAUUGCUGCCAAGGUACUUCCUGUUUUUACCCUGUUGUAGCACUGCUUGCAUAUCUCUGAUCUGAAAGUACCAGUGAACAACUAAGAAUGGGUCAGGGAAGAUAUACCAAGUGAUUCCUCAUUCUUUUGCCAGCCUGUGACCUUGUCCCUGACCUUAUCCUGCUUUAUGGGUGGCAUAGAUUGUCCAGCUUUUGCCAUUGGCAGCAAACCUCUCUUACUGGUCUUCUUUACUUUCGUCUAACUUAACCCUCCAGAGACAUCUUAUAACUUACAGACUGACUAGCUAAGACGAACAAGGCACAAAUAGAAGUGAAGUGAAGGCAUCCGUUUUCUUCCCCCAAUGUUGAGGAGGAUAUAAUUGCCAGUUGUCCAUGAUUACCUUGUGCAUUUCAACACAAACUUCUUUAUGCCAUUAUCAGCUCCUUAUUUUUAAUUACUAUUCUAGAAUUUAUCAUUGGCUGGGUCAUCUGAGUAGUAACUUAAAUUGGCAGAGUUGGACAAACUGAUAGAAAAUAUCAAACUUUAAGUCCUCACCAAAUAUCUUUCUUUCUGCAUUGAAUAUGUGCACAUGCAUAUGUACUGUUUCUGUCUUGUUUGCCUUUGGGGAAAGAGCCAUUAUCUGCAAUAGCUGUCUGUGUAAAAGGUUAAAUGAAGGAAAUGACUGGACAAGUCAGAACAUUACAUAAGUUAGACUACAUGAUGGAAUAACAUUAGGGGGUCAGAAAGGAAUCUGGCUAGAGAUCAAUGAUAAAAUGUGGUUCUGUGUCUUGUCAAAGGAUAUUAGUCUCUCUUCUGUUGCAGCUCUUUCUUAUUUUUGUACUGUUCUACUGACUUGGUUAUGGAUCUCACACAGGUUGAAGUCACUAUGAUUAUCUGUAAUAGAUUUAUAUUUUUCUAAUGUAUUGCCUUUUGUGACUUCUUAUUUCCCCUUUAGAUUUUAUGUAUUGUUUCUCCAUAUAAUGAUCAAGCCUUUUUAAUGAUUUGAAACUUUUUGUAGGAAUGUUUGACGUGUCUGCAGCGGAGGAAUAGUCCUCUAAUUAUGUCACAAUGUGGUUCAAAGGGAUCUCCUAUAAAUAUCAGUCAGAUGGUUGCAUGUGUUGGACAACAAUCUGUCGGGGGUCGUCGGGCUCCAAAUGGUUUCAUUGAUCGCAGCCUUCCUCAUUUUCCCAGAAAGUCAAAGAUCCCGAAGGUUUGUUCAUUUAUUUCAUCUGGAUAAAUUUUUCUGGUCUGCACCAAAGUUCAUCUGUCAGCAGAAGUCUUGGACUAGGAAGAGGGGAAAAAGAAGAAGGGAUUGAAGGUGGAGUCAUGGAUGGAUGACUCUGUGUGGAUUUAACGGGGAAUAUCAUGUAGUGGGAAGAGAAAGGGGUAUGCAUUUGAGGGGGGAAAAAUUGAUUUAGUGUUUAGAGAUCUGAAAUACGUUCUGCAACAUAACUUAAUUUCUCUUACCUUGUGAUUAAGAAUCUUUCAUGUAUCAUUUAUUAUGUGUAUCAGCAUAUGGUUUAAUACUUUAGAAUCUGCGGGAGGAGUGGUGAUAUCAUUGUUAGUUUACAGAUGAUAUCAUAUCAUUUUGCAGUUAGUUUAUGAAGUCUUGAGAGUUCUUUCAUAUAUUGUAGAAUUUUGAAUAGGAUUAGGGCCAUAGAUUUCAUUGGGGUAAAGAUUGGGAUCACGUCUUUUUUGUUGAAAUCAUUGGUUGGUUCCUGUGGUAGGUUUCUGGCUUUUUUAUCCUGGGCAUUUUCUUUUGGCGAUAUGUAACUUUUGAGCCGAUUGAAAUUUGUGUCUGUCUUAAGAUAAAUUAAAUGUCUUUUCUGGUGAUUGCCACAAGUAUUUAAAGCUUUAAAUUUUAUUGAUAGCCAAUAUAAAAUUGUCCACAAGUCAAUUGCACUUAGUUUAACCAGUUAUGUUGGAUUGUGCAUGUUACAAUGUGGAGUGAGACUUGGAUAAAUAAUACUAUGUAAUUCUUUUCGUGCCUUUUUUAAUUAUUGCAUAGUCUCCAUUACCUGUCCUAUUGUUCUUUGAGCUGCUGAUCUGCAGACUAUGUUUCAGUCUUGUUCAUUCUGGGUUUAUCUUGUGUCCUUUCCUAACACGAUCAACAGUCAUAAGAAUUGUCAUAAUGUGGAAUAAUUAUAAGUGUCGGAUAAAGUUCAUCAUAGUUGUCUAUUUAUCUCUUGAGAUUUUAUGCUUCUCAUUAAUGUUUUGUUAAUUGAUCAUCAAAAUCUAAAAUUUGCAUGUUGGGUGUUAUCCUAAAGAUGUCUUGAUGAGUUACUACCAUUGAUUACUUGAAAAGAAGCAUUUUUAUUCUAUUCUUACAUUUUCUCAUUUGGUGUUCCACUUUGAAUCUAAUACUUAAGCUCAUCUAAUAUUUCUUUCAGGCGAGAGGGUUUGUGGCAAAUUCAUUUUAUAGUGGUUUAAGUGCUACAGAAUUCUUUUUUCACACAAUGGGAGGAAGGGAAGGCCUUGUGGAUACAGCGGUAUGUAUGAUCUUUUUUUUUUUCCCCUUUACACAGUUGCCUAGUUAAAUUACAAAUGUUUACACGUUUUCUUUAUUUAUGUGUUUGUUUAUUUUUUGGGUCCUUGAUUGCGAUUUCCUUGUUUCAUUUUUUCUUUUCCAUUUAAUUAUGUAUUGAACUUGCAAAAGUAUUGACUUAGCAAUGUUGUAGAGGUUAGUAUUGAUCUGCUAGUACUAUAUAUAUAUGUAUAUAUAUAUUUUGUCUUUUUCCUGAAGACCUUCUGGUUGUCUUUCUUUCCUGCCAAGGUUUUGUUCCAGAGGUUUUUGUGCUGUACACAGAAGCUUUAUUUGUAAUGCGUUUGUAUUCCUGUUAGUGCAGCCUGAGAUUUUCCCUUCAUCUUAUUGUCUAAUACUGCAUCCUCAAUUCUGGUUGUUCUGAGUUUUUCAGCCACAUAACUUUUUGAAAUUUAUUCUUUCCAUGAUCUCAGUUGGAUUGUUAAUUCCUUUCUUUUUCUUCCAUAAGCAAAAGUACUAUUUUCUAUCUUUUCUGCUUAUUUACAUCCUUUUCACUUACUCAAGUAAAUGAUAAAGUUUUUCAGAACUAUUUGUGGCACUCAAAAGCAUGGUACUCUUUGUUCUGUGUUCUAAAACAGUUUGAUAACUCUUUAUCGUGCUUAGAAAAAAAGAUAAUUUCUGAGUGUUUAUACUUUGAUUUAGUGUCUUUUGGUUAGUUUGUUUUGGGGAAUUAGUGUAUAAAUGUCUACUGCUACAUCUUCUAUUUUCGGUGUGAAAUGGACUGCAGAUUCACAAUCAGAUUUCUAGAAAAUCUGUCGAAGUUAAAUUUUAUGUACGUUGUUUCAGGAUAAUUGUUGAAAAUCUAGAAAAGGUUGUAGGCUUCCUCUGGACAAUCUAUAGGGUUUUGAACGUUUGACUUGCUUACAUGUUUCCUUACUCUUCUCACUUUAGAACUCUUAUCCGUUUUUGCAGUUCUGAGAUGUUCUACGAUCUCAUAUCUUGUCACUGAUUAAACUGUUGACUUUGGGAUUUUCUUUGAAUACAAUAUGAUAAUUUGGCAAAAUUCUUCAACUAAUGUGAUCCUUCAAAAUCUGUAGUCUGCAAAAUUAUGAUGCUUGGGCUUCAAUUUUAUAUUAUUAUAGGUUAAAACUGCUGAUACUGGAUACAUGUCUCGUAGACUCAUGAAAGCUUUGGAGGACCUUUCAAUUCAAUAUGACAACACUGUCCGAAAUGCUAGUUCUUGUAUAGUUCAAUUUGUUUAUGGUGAUGAUGGCAUGGAUCCCUCACAAAUGGAAGAGAAGAGUGGACAUCCUCUGAACUUUGACAGAUUACUUAUGAAAGUGAAGGUUGUGUAUUCACAUCUUGAGAUCUCUUAUACCUGGUGCCAUGAAAGUAAAACCAGAUCCUCUCAUACUCGUUUAUUUCCAUUGACAGGCCACCUGUCCUGCCGGUGAUCAGAAGAGCUUGUCCCCAUCGGAUAUCUGCAAAAAGACUGAUGAAAGGCUCUCAGAACGUGAUAUGACUCCCGAAGGCGGGUGCUCAGAGGCUUUCAGAGACUCUUUGUCCAAGUUCCUUAAAAGUCAAAUGGGUUCAAAACUUGGAAAAAACAAUUGAAAGUUUGAAAGCCCAGGAAGAUCAACAGGAAGAAGACCAUAACAGCUCUUUCGAAAAUAUCUCUUCAAAUAUAUCCGGCUUUACUUCUAGGCAGCUGGAGGUGAAACCUGAUAGUAAAUGUUCUUUUCUGAUAUACAUCUUACAAUUCAACUACCUGAAUACAUUUCUGUGCAUUCUUGCUGGCCAUCCUGCUUGCAUUAUUAACCUUUCAAUGUGUUCAUUAUUUUUCUAAAUUUUUUAUUGUUGCAAUAAUCAUUAAUUGAUAUCAUCAUGAUGCUGUCAUUAUUAGGUCACUUGCUACAGCCAGGACAUGUGUUUUGGCUUCAAAACUGGAAGUUUCUCUUAGUGAAUUACCAUCAAGUGCACGAAAGGACUGUCUCUGUUUGGGUGAUCUUGGGAUGUUGACGAUCAUUUCAAUUGCUUGAUUUAUUUUUGGUCCCAUCAUACACAGAAUUUUGUAUGAACUGUCACUAAUUGUUCUAAAAAUUUGACAUUAUGUGGACAAAUUCUUGUUUCUUCUGAUUGGGUAAAUUAUGAUUCAUGUUCUCUUGCAUUUGCUUGUUCUAGUGAACAAAGCAUGUAAAUAUAUUAACGCCACAAAAAUCUUCUUAGCUUGUAAGAGUACUGUUUUCUAGUUUCGGGUAUAUACCUGGUAGAUGUCUAAUGUUUGUUUCUGCCUUUUUUUUUGUGUGUGUAAUAAAGCAUUCUGAAGUUUAGAUUUUUAUUCACGUUUUCUUUUCUUGAGCAAAAAAUUUUCAGAUCUCAUUGUUCACAAACUAUUGAGCAUGUUAUGAAAGGUUGUGAGCUUGUGUCUAAGUUGUUCUCAUUAGGCAUGUAGUUUCCAGAAGUUAAACAAGUUUUCAUAAUGUAACAGGACUUGUAUUUUGUUAAUGUGUUAGGUGUUUUUAAGAGUCUGCAUCUCACGUUAUCAUACCAAAAGGGUAGAAGCUGGAACUGCAAUUGGUGCAAUUGAAGCUCAGAGUAUUGGAGAACCAGGCACACAGAUGACGCUAAAAACUUUUCACUUUGCUGGAGUUGCAAGCAUGAGUAUCCUCACUAGUUGCUUAGUAUAAUUUUUGGUGUGAUAUUCGUCUUACAGGUGUUUCAUAUGUUACCUUAACUCUGCCUUAGAUGUUACACUUGGAGUCCCACGUAUAAAAGAAAUUAUAAAUGCAGCUAAAAGGAUUAGUACUCCAAUCAUUUCUGCAAAACUGGAGCAUGAGGACAAUGCAAAGGAGGCUAGCCUUGCAAAAGCUCGUAUAGAGAAAACACUUUUAGGGCAGGUCAGCUGUUUCCGACUACCUUCAACUUAGUGAUCUACCAAGCGUGUAAUAAGGGAUGCAUUGGUGUUUUAUUUGUAAUAGUGACAGCAUUCUAAUGUAGACAUGGGGUGACACAGUCUUGACGAAAUGGCCAUAUUUAAGGCUUUUAAAUCAUCUCUCCUAAAGAACCUAUUCCAAUCUUCUCUCUCUGUGUUUUUUUUUUUUGAAAAAAAUGGCAUAUGGCUUUAAUCUGCAGCUAAGAUAUCAUGCUGUUCGUAUCCAAAAGAUUGUUUAUUCUGCUUGUAUCCAAAAGAUUGUCUAAGAUAUGGCUUUAUUCUGUUUGUAUCAUUCUGACUUUCUCUUUAACGUGUAGGUAGCCAAAAGUAUAAAGAUUGUCAUGUCGGCGAGGUUAGCAUCCAUAGUAAUUACACUUGAUAUGGAAAUAAUACAAGCAUCUCGGCUUUGUACAGAUGCUUAUAGAGUGAAAGAAUCGAUUCUGCAGACACCAAGAAUCAAACUGAAGGAUCAGGUGUACUAUCAUUUUCUCAUUUAGAUCAUCUACUUUCUCAUAUAUUUGCUCAAAAAAAAAAUGUACGGUUUCUGCAGCAUGUUAAGGUCUUGAAUUCCAGAAAGCUGGAAGUAGUUCCCCAGACUGACAGAAGUAAACUUCACUUUGAGCUCCACGCACUCAAGAACAAGCUUCCUUCAGUGGUUGUCACAGUAAGACAAGACAUCUAGUUUUGAAAGUCAUCAUAUAAUGUAAGAAAGUGCAAGGGUAUUUUUCUUGCACUAUGGAAUGUUGAAACUUGUGUCACUCUAAGUUUGUCCAUUAUCUUUGGAAAUGACAGGGAAUCACCACUAUUGAACGUGUCGUAAUUAAUAGUGAAGAGAAGAAGGAUUCUGGAGGAGGUCCCAAGUACCUCUUGUUUGCAGAAGGGUAAGUUCUGUUAUGGUGAUCUUUUGCAGAAAGUUUUGGUAUUGAAGUAAAUGAUGGUCCUCUUGUUUAUCAAAUAUGUCAUCCUUCUGUGCCUUUCUGGUUGAAAUAAAUAUUUUCUUCUAGUUAUAAUAUUGUUGUGUAGUAAUAUGCGUAGCUUUUCAAUUGUAUUACUAUAAGCAGAGAAUUUGUACGGGUACUUUCAAAUGACAAAGCAGAAGAAGCAACUUCAUUUAUCCUAUCAGAUAUCAAUGACAAUGGUGUAAUUAAUUACUUCAAUUGAUGGUCUUUGUGGUGAUUGGUUUCUACUUGACAUGGAAAAUUGUCAAACUACUAUUGAUGGAUAUGAUAUUCAAAAUUUUCAAGCUGUAUUCACAAGUUAUGCAUAUCUGCUUCUUGCAGGACAGGUCUCCUAGGUGUAAUGGGCACUGAAGGAGUAAAUGGCUAUGAAACCAAAAGCAAUCACAUCAUGGAAGUGCAGCAGACGCUUGGAAUUGAAGCUGCAAGAAGUUCGAUAAUUGAUGAAAUUAAGCAUACCAUGUCUAGUCAUGGAAUGACUAUAGACAUACGUCAUAUGAUGCUUCUGGCAGAUCUGAUGACAUUUAAGGUAGUUCCUUCUUCAUAAGUCUAUAGUGAUCGUUUCAGACUUGCAUCAUGGACAUAUUCAUGUUCCAACACUAAGUGUGGCAUUUACCAUCAGAUGCUAAUUUUAUGUACUAUCGCAUUGAUGCCAGGGCGAAGUUCUUGGUAUUACAAGACAUGGUGUUCAGAAAAUGAAAGAUAGUGUGCUAAUGCUGGCUUCUUUUGAGAAGACAGCAGAUCACCUUUUCAAUGCUUCUGUAAAUGGACGGGAUGAUAAGAUUGAAGGAGUAAGUGAAUGCAUCAUUAUGGGAAUACCAAUGCAGUUAGGCACUGGGAUGCUUAAAGUGAGGCAAAGGUACAUGCUUGGCAAUUGGCUGUCAUUUGAAUUGAUUUUUUUUUUUUUUGGGUUUAAUAAGUUUGUCUUUAACCCUUAAUGCAUGUGGCUUAUCUUCUGGGUGGUAGAAAAUCAUAAAGAUGAAUGCCACAGAUAUUCAGCUAUGGUCUGCUGAGUUUUUAUGAUAUUUGACUGAGCUUGUUAAACUUAGAGAACUUAGCAGUUACUGUUAUGAUGGUAAUGAAUUUGAGGGGGAGAAUAGUAUCUGCCAGGGAAGUGUUUAGGUGGUAUAAUGAUGAAAAAUGUUGACUUUUGAGUAAGAAUCUAGGUUGACUUUAUACUAAAUACUUUAAUUGUAGUCAAUGGCGGUACUAAGCUACAACAUGACAACAAUGAGGAGUGCAAAAGGAAAGAGCAAAACAAGUUUGUAACUUGGAAAUAGAGUGCAUGUUGUUCGCUUAUUGAUUCAAAUACAAGCUUGAUUCGUACAUCCUUGAUUUUUGCUAUUACUAUCGAAUUUGAGUUCAAUGCAAAUUAUUACAUGAGCACCUCAAGCCUGAGCUAAGAAAAUUUUAUCCAAUUAAGGUUUCUUUUAAAGCUCUAUGCAAGCAGCUUGGUUCGUUUGGAACCCUGACUCUUACUAUCUGGUGUUGUUAAGUAUGUGUUUCUCUUUUGACUUGAUGGUACUUCUUUCUCACCUUCUAACUUAUUUAUGUAGUUUCAUUGUUGCUGAUAGUUUCCGAACCUCUAUGAAAGGAAACUUUGUGCCACGUGAUAUUCUGAAUUGAGCCUUGUGUAUUCUCUACCAGCCUCAGACAUGUGUCUCUUUUUGUUCCCCUUUUCUUAAAUUUCUUUAAUUUUACAUUGCUUGCAGAGUGCAGCAGGUGGAGCUGAAUUAUGGGUUGGACCCAAUCCUGUCCUAAACUUGUUUUCGUGGUGAGACCAGUAUGUUGUGCUACAAAUGUGCAAAAAUGAUCGUAAUUUCUCAAGACGACGACAAUGUUGAAGGAACUGGACAGAAAAUUUUCUGAGCGAGCAUUAACCUUGCGGAUUGCUGUGCAUGUUCUUUGGCCCAUUUUUCUCCUCUUAAACAGAAAAGAUUGAGGAUUAUAGAAUAGUAGACUAUUCGGUAGACCUGUCCAUUCCCAUAGCAUAGUGAGGUUUGCCCCGAAAGGGCAGAAAUGACAAUUGUGCCAACAAUGUACAAACUGUUGUAUAUAUUGUAAAUACCAAAUCACCCGUUGUAAACCAUAGGCAAAACUUGAGUAGACCUGGUCUUACAAAGUUCAAUGUCUUAUGUUGUGUUGCACCAUUUGGUAAGAUGAUGUGAAACAAUUUAGGUCAUUGGAUUUUUUAAAAUCAUAAAUCGUAAGGAUACAAGCGUGCAUUCUGAUCAUAAAGUACAGUAGCUAUAACCAGAAGGAAAAUGGCCAACAUGGUCCCUCGCGGUUCAACAAGAUCCCUUGUUGGGUCCGUUACAAAAAAAGGAACAUAAGAUAGUCCACGCAUAACAAUUGUAUCAAUUUAGUCCUUGAACUUACUUCUGGCAAAAUUUUAGCCAAAUAAGACGUAGAGUAUUAUUUUCUUCAAAAUAGCCCUUUUACCUCCCUCCUUCCCAUAGGAGUGGUUUUUUUUUUUUGUUUUAAAGUGUGUUAUUCAUUUUCCUAUUUUGUCUAUGAAAGUAUGAGCACAUGAUGUGAGCGUGCAUUUUUGGCCAGAAGUUUGAUAAGAAAUAGGUUUUAGAACCAAAUUGACAUAUUCAUUAUAUGUGGGGGACUAUUUUGCUUUGUUUUAGGUGUGAUGAACAAAAAAGUUUUUUUUUUUUUGGAAAUGUGAGGGACCAAUUUGAUCAUUCUCCAUGACUAGAAGGAUUAAACGUUUGGUGCACUGGUCUCUGUCGAAAAUCCUUAGUUGCAAGUACUGUGUCUUAAACGGGUAAAAGGUUCUUCUUUUGUUUCGAAGGAUUCCAACCUCUUCUAAUGUGUCAAAAAUGACAAGUCGAAUGAAGUUCAAAGUUUGUUUUCGGCAAGAAAAGAUGAAACAAAAUAAAGACUCGUCUUUUGUCUGGUAGAGGAGAGUGGUGCCAAAAAAUGUGCUUUGAGGAAGAAUGAAGUUGUUUCCGAAGAACAAUUAGUAGUAGAUAUACAGAGGAAUUGGAAACCGCCGUCUGAUCGGAGCGCUGAAAUGGUUUAUCCUGGAUUCUGUACAAUGCUUUGCACACUGUACUUCUGCUUCUAGUUGGAGCACCAGUAAAAUUCUUAUUGCCACACCAGGAUGUUCGGGAAGUAUAUUACUCAUCCUUCGAUCCCAAUCGACCAGUUCUCAAUUUCCAUAUGGUUUGUGAGAGACUGAAAACAGAUAAAAGGACCUAAUCUCACUGUAAACGCAUAUUUUCUCGAAUAGAAAGUGACAAACCCCAACCGUUUAGGAAAACGCAAAUUUCUGUCCAUUGUGCUAAGAAUCUUGGGGCUUCUGAUAGAGACGUCUCUGUGGUUUCUAAGGACAAUUAUUAGACUGAAUGUAGAACAGUACCCCUCUCAUCUACACCCAGAGGAAAAAGAUAACCGUACAAAUAACAAAAAUGAAAAGGAUAACAAUUUUACUAGGAAGAAAAAUGAAAAGAAACUGUGAGAGAGCUCAAAUGAAAAGAUUGAGCAUCAAUUCAAUUAUUUCAUCUUCCAUUUAAAAAUUCUAGUUGCUUGCAUGAGUUUCGAGUUCAUAGCAUUUCCUAUUACGCUCUCAAGGGAUGGUACAAAAGGAUCUUUUUACAAGAGGAAAGUUCCUGAAGAAGUAAGGAUUCACAGUGAGGAAGGGUAUAGCAAGUAGUAUGCAGAAAAGCUAAUUAAUUACAUCAUGUACUACAACGAGAACAUACGGUUACCAUCAGUUGGAAUUAUCAUAAACGGUUAAUUGUAACUGGGAUUCGACAACAUAUUGCUUUAUGAAAGACCUCCUCCACCAGACUUCAAAUGCCCUUUGAAGAUUGGGACAAUCAUCCCCUUUGUUAAGAAAUCUGUCAAACCAAUUGAGCAAGAUGGCUUCUUGUUGUGGCAACGGUAGAGUUAAAAUCGUCUGGCUCAGUCCAUCCUCAACCAGUUUCUUGUCCACUGAUCUAGAAGCUCUCCUCAUCCACCCAAAGUCUUCAUAAAGAGCUUCCAGCCAUGUAGACAGUAGAGAAUAUCGAGUAUCUUUAGGCACCAGAAUAUGCCCUCUCCCAAUUGCAACACAAAGCUGUGCAGUUAUACGGCUGAUCUCAUGCCGGUACAUCGUAGGAAUUUUAGAGUGGAGCACAGCAAGUUCCUUCUGUUCAGCCCAUAAUUUCACAAAUUCAUCUCCCAAUUUUCUGUCAACCAAUAUAUCAACAACCCACUGCAUGUUGUCAGCUUCUCGGGCUAUCUCGCUCAUCAAAAAUCCUCGAUCCUGCCUGCCUUCCUCCACACAAGUAGCUUCUGAUAAGCAAAGUAUGAGAGAACUAAGACAUCUGUGGCAAAGAUGAUACAAUGUAUCUCUGGAGAUAUCAAGGCUAUUGUUGAAACUGCGAUGAUCAGAAGAUUCUUCUUUAAGCAAACGAGAUAUCAAUGUUUUCAUUUCUCGACGAGCUUUGUCAUCCUUGGCCUGCAAAACUCCACUCAAUAGCUUGAGGAAAAUGUCAUCAGCUCGAGAAGAUGUUGAUGGUUCUGCCACCACUCUCUGAAGCACGUUAGGUAGUGAUCUGUGAAGCUGAAGGUCACCAAGAAGCAAGACCACUUUUUCCUCUUCAUCCUCUGACCAAGGCACCGCUUCCAAGUAAUCCAAACAUGCCAGUAUCCCAUCAUCAAAUGAUAUAGCUGAACAUACCUGCAAUAAGACACUGCGUUAAGAAACAACUUGCGAAUUGACAAAAGAACUGAGAAACUUGGGAGUAAGUUUGUGUCCGAAGAUUUAUAGUCAUGAUGUUGGAUGUGGUCGCAUUACUGCACACCCCAGAAUGGAAAACCUGCAUGUGAAAAAUUAACUUUUCAUAUUGAGAUAACUAGCAUGCAGAUUUUUGAGGAAUAUGGUUGUUAAACAUCAUAAUGAGCAAUGUGAUGCAGUGAUUUUCCACUAAUUUGGAAUCCCGUUGCCCAAAUUAAACUUGCCAAGAACAAAAGAUUCAGCAAGAAGCUAUACAUCAUCAAGUGCGCUAAAAUGAUUCACAAAAAGCUAUGCUUUCAGGAUUCAAGCGUUUAGCCCAACUGGCCCUAACUCACAAUCUUAUAAGGUUACAGAAAAAAUUUUACUUCUCAGCUCUGCAAACAAUCAUUCAAACUUUGUAAUUCUCUUACUUUCCUUUGACUUCUUUCACAUUCCCGCAUCCUUUACGAGAAAGUUCCCUUAAAAUCCACCAAGAAAUACAUACUAGAGACCAAGAUUACAGGAACCCAAAUAAAAGUUCCAUACUCGGAAAAAAAUAAAAGGUUAAUAAUAAUAAGAAACUAAGAAAUAAUAGAAAAGAACAAACCUUUAAUAAUUCCAAGACCUUGGAAACCUCCUCACCCAUCAAUUUCUUCUUCAAGUCCUCACAAUACAUAAGCACCACCGCCUCCACGUACACCUCCACGUCAUCACAUUCAAGAAUCUCCACCGUGACCAUGUGGGCCCCAUUCCUCCUCAGCUUCUCAGCAAAGAACCUACUCCGGUCGGCAAGUACCCGCCGGUGGACCUCCAUUGAGACCCGGAAUCCAUCACGUGCACUCACUGUCAGUCUGACGUCACCACACCCCAAAUUAUUAUCAUUAGUACGAUCAUUGCCGGAAUUCUUAAAUGGGGCCUCAGCUAAGACCUUAAAGACUCUAUCUUGGAGCUUGAGGCCGGCUUCAGUGGAGUGUCUGGAGUCGCGGGCCUGUUCGUCCGACAUCAUUUCGAAAAGGGUCGGGCUCGAAAUUGACCGGGUAGGGUUGGGAGCAGCUGUGGCGAAGGAAGGCGGCGGGGAAAGAGAAAUGGCGGUGGCGGUGGUGGGCCUGGUGGCGGAGUGGGGUCUGGAGAGGUGGUGAGAGGAGGGGGGUGAGGGUGCAGGGGAGAGUAAAGGGUCCGAGAUGAAACCUUGUUUUAUCAUUGCAGAGACCAAAUGGUUUUUCUUGGAUGGUUUGGUGGGAGUAUUGGUGGCAGCGGUGGUGGUGGCGGCGUGGGAUGGCAUUGGCAGAGUAGUGACUGCGUGAAGAGUUUGAGUGUUUAAGUGUGUGAGAGAGAAAGUGGGACUAGGGGGCAAUGGGAAUCCAAGAAAAACCACAAGAAGUUAAAAGGGAGUGGGAGAGCUUUGGAUCUGCAGUAGCAGAGAGCAGUAAUCGAUUAGAGUGAUGAGAAACGGAGUUAACUCUAAUUUAAUACUUAGUGGUUCGACGGGAAAGUGGAAACUAUAUAUUAACGGCUUAUUAAAGAAUUGGCGGGAGUAAUAUUUCUUAGGACACUUACACUGCUGUUAGUAUUAUUUUGUUUUACUAUUUUUAUUCAAUUUUUGCCAGCUGCCCAUGCCCCGAGCGAUCCAUUUAAAGACUUACAGGUCACUGCAGCAGGAGUUUUUUUUUUUUUUUUUUCCUUUUUUUCAAGAACUGCAAUUAAUGUUAAAUCAGAUUGAAUGAUCGAAUUGAGAAUCAGCUUUUUUUAGGGAUAAUUGCUGAAACCUCCCUGACGUUUCUGACGCUUGUACUUACCUCCCUAUAAUUUUCGUAAUAGCACUGACCUCUCCUAAUAAAAAAUUGGAGCCAAUUGUUGAGGUAAGAGUGUGUGAAUUUACUUGGCUACCCCAAUUAUUUUCAUGUAACCAGAUGAAAGGUUUAAUUAUUUUCAUCAAAACCAACAAAUCCUUUGUUAAACUAAUUAAACAAAUAACUUGUUGGAGUUCUUUUCAGUCUCAGAGAUCUUCAAUGUUGCCUUUCGAUUGCAGGUGCAAUAUUUGAUCCUUAUUUUGAAGGAUGUUGGGGAGUUCCAUGAUGCUCUCUUGUGGCUGGAAGAAGCCAUACUCUUUGCUGCAAUAUUUCACCUCAAGCUGCCAAACUGAAGUCAAUCAAACCAGCUGUGUGUUUGGGUUGGAAACAAACAACUCAUUUUUUUGCUAAUAUAGAGUUUCAUGUGUCAAGACCAUCCUUUAUAAGCUAGUGCAAGAAAUUGCACAUCUAACCGUUAACUAGCCAUUGGUUUCAUUAAGUGAAGAAGCUGUUGUAGGUGGCUUGGAAAUAGUUUGCACUUACACCUUUGAAUUUUUUUGAUCCUUAAUACCUUUGUUUUCCUUGCUAAUACUACUUGCCAAGCAAGAUCAAAGGCAAAUUCGGUACAAAAUUCUCAUCUCACUCUUUAAAAUAAUUUUUUAAUGGGACAUUUUCUUAGAUGGACUGAAUCUGCAACAUAUUCAUUAAGUUCAAAGGUGUUCAAUGCUAUUUCUUAAACCAAAGGAAAGGCGAAUGCUAGUGUCAGAAACCUCCAAUUUUCCCUUUUUUAUUAUUUGGAUGACAGAUAAGUAGAUAAUCCUAGAAUUCAGAAGACGGGAUUUGUGGGGCACCGCCGCAGGGGAUGGGGAUCCAUCACCAUACAUGUAUCUUUAACUAUAAAAGAAAAUGGAAUAACAUUCCACAUAAAGGAGCAUUACUAAUUCUUACAAAUGAAGGCUCUUAUUUCGUCAUGGAUUUAGACAAGGAAUCUGAUUCUCAUUGCUUAGUUUUCUUUUCUUUCCUUUUGCUUUUCAAAAAAAAAACCUAAAAAUAAAAAAGAAGAUAAUUGGAUUGAAUUUGUCCUUUGCUGGUCAAUGUUAAUGGAAUAAAGUGAAAAUUCCUCUACUAAAAUACAUCAGACUUGGUUCGGUGAAGAAGCAUUCUAUAAUUAUAUGAAGAGGUUCGAGUGGCAAGCUAUCGAUUGGUCUGGAGAGACAAUAGGUUAUAAUUUUGGGGAUAAUAUUAGAAAUCUCUCCUGAGUUUUCUGUUAAUAUGAGUUAACGACUAUAAUGUUUUCAAAAUAUUACAUACAUCCUAUACUUUUGUUAUUUGGGUAACAAAAUUUCUAAAAAUCUCAAACUACCCUCUUGCUCUUUUUGCUAAAUAAUAAUACUCCUAAGUCAAAUUGCUCACUCAAUCUUCUAAAAAAAAAUCUCUAGUAGUACCACCACAUCACAAAGUUAUAGUACAUAAAAAUAUAAAUUUGAAAAAUGGAAAAGAUAUAUACAACAACCAAUUCAACUCUAUAUGGUUAGACUUGAUUUCUUAUUAAUCUUAUUUUUUUUCCAACAUCUUCUCAACCCAUGACAUAAACCUUUAAGUUGAACUAAAUCAUUAUAAAAAUCAAUUGAAAAUUAGCAAAGAAAUCAUACCUCACUCAAUUGUAAUCACAAAAAGAAAAUGACAAACAAAUUUAAAUUUACUAUAAGUUACAAAUAAAAAUAGUAUAAUCAUCCAAAUAAAAGAGUAAAAGAGAAGAAAGUGAUUUUUAUUUUCUUUUUCUUUAAUUUUUGGAGCUCCAUUUAUAUGACAUAUGAAACAUGUAUCAAACGAAAAGUUAAUAUAGUUAUUUUACAAUUACUAGAAAAGAUAAGUGAUUAUUUUUAAAACCUUGGAGGUGUUAAGUGAUAUUAGAAAAAAUCUCAAGGGAGGUUUGUGAUAUUAUCCCUAUCCGAGGCGCAGUGGUAUUCAGGUAUUUGAUUGGAUUGUCGGAGUAUUGGUGUGAGCGCACCAGCAAACAUGAAGCAUCUUUAUCUCCGACAUUGAUGGCGGCUCCCACCCUUGUCCUGCUUGUUACCAUGAGGGUCACUAUCCACAAGUCAGGAAUCUCAAAAUCAUUUGUGUUUUCUCCUUUCCCUAAACUGAAGGUCAGUCAGUUUUCCCUGUCUUAAAGGUCAUUUUUUCGUAACACAAACAAUUUGCUUCGGGAGUCCUAACGCCUUAGUCCAACGCGUGGUGCCUGUGUGCCGUGAGUGAACCUUAUGACAGACCCACUCAACAGUUAAUAGCAGUACGAGUACUCAACUUUCCACCUUCAAAGGCUACAGAAAAUACGGGUGAUGCUAAACAAAUGGCAAUGGAAGUUUUGUAUCUUUGCAAUUGUUGGCGUAUGUUAAAUUUAAGCCUUAGAAAUAAAAAAAUUUUAUAUUAUUAUUUAGCAAUGUUUAAAUCAACUUACUGUUUUAGUAAUUUUAUUUGAAUUCAAUUAUGAUAGUUUUAUUAUUUAAUAAUCAAAAUAUUUUAUUAAAAAAUUUCUUAUACAAAAUUGUACAACACAUUAUACAAAAUUUAUCUCCUAUAACUUUUUGGUGCCUGCAAUUUUUGACACUCUUUAUCUUCCUUAGAUCUACAGUACUGGGAUAGUUUAAUGGAGAGAGAGAAUGAGUUCUCGGAGUCUCGUCAAUCCUUAAAUGUGACAAGGAAAGUUCUUGUAUCAAUUGUGCUCUCCUCUUACUUGCGUCAUCUUCUAAGCUCUAAAACUUGAUCCAUUACCCUUCUUUUCCGCUUGUUUUAUUCUCUCUUUUCGGUGUUUUCACAAGUUUACAUACUCAAUUAUAAGGGCCUGCUAUUGUAGAAUUCCACAGAUUUGCAUUGAGCAGCAACUUUGACAGAUUCAUAUCAUGGUGGAAAAUUUUUGUAUCGUGUGGUGCAAAACGGAUGCGUCAAUGCUGUCAUUUCAUCCAAAUUCACCAUGGCCCAAGCCGACUGUGUAUGGCCACUGCAAGCAAUCAUUUCGGGAAUAUUAACAUGGACUGCUUUUCUGAUCUGCUUUGAGGAUGCCUUUUGGGGUUGGAAUGCCCUGCAUCCGCAUGCUAUAAUAAUAGCAAGCACCAACUUCUUUCCUUGAAAGUAGCUGAAACAGUUUAGCAGUACUUUUUGUUGCCCGCUCUUUGGAUAUUUUUGUCAUGUUAGCCAUCUAUCAUUGUUUCACUAGAUGUGACUGGAUCGAUUUAGUAAAUUCGCUACUUGAGCUAUCAUUCAGCUGCAGAUUCGUCUGCUGCUUUCUCCAUCAGGAUAUACGCUCAGAUACUAUCAACAUAGACUUGUAUGUACGUACAUCAAUGUAGCCCAUAGUUGGCUUAAUAAACCGUUUUAUUGCAAAACUUCCACAAAAUGCACAGACAAUCAGAAGGAAAAAACUGCAUUACAGAAAAAGAAAAGAAUGAACAACAAGGACAUAUGAUGGUUUCCUUUACAAACAUGACAACGAUCAGCUGCAAGUUGGAUAGUGAAACAAAGUAGCUGAAUUCAACUCCUCAACGUCGGAUCUGAACCUUCCCGUCUCAUUACAUGCCCUGACUGAAGUAUGCAUAAAACCAUUUGUAAACAGAUGGUUACUGUUAUUCCAUCACAGGCGGAGGAGGCUGUAGAAGUGUUACCGAGGAAAAGCAAAGACAUGCUAUUUAGUAAACAUUUGUUUGUAAAUCUUCUAGUCCGGCGUCAACUUUAAAACCUUGUUCAGCUUCAGUUGUUCCGAAUAGUGGAGCAUCCAGCUCGGGAGGUUUCUGAAGAUGGAAACAUAAUCAGUCACUGAUUUAAACUAGUAUCCUAAAAAAUGAAGAGCACGACUGCAGAAGACUAAUAGAUUUUUUUUUUUCUUCUUUCUUUUCUGACAGAGUAACAUGCAUCGCAAUCAUUCCUGGUGCCCCCACUAGGAAACUCGAAUGCUUCAAAUUAUAAAGAAUAUGAUGUCAUUUGGGUGAUUACAUGAUUUUACUUUUGCUUGUGAUUGAGAAAAUUUUGUUGCCUUUUUAUUAUAAAAGUUCAUUCCGCAAGCUUAAUAUCUGUGUAGAAUCACAGUAAGAUUAUUUCGCAUUCGACUGAUCAAGUCAGUCUAUGUUAUUACCAUGCAACGUACUAAAGCCCAAUUGAUACCCCGGAAGAAUGGAUGCUUCUUGAUUUCAUGUGCUCCUUCUUGUGAGCCCAACCGGCUUUUGGGAUCUCUGUGCAACAACCGAUACAUUAACUGCUUUGCUUGGAGACUUGCCUGCAUCAGAGAAAAUUUCUUCAAAGUUUAUACCAUUGCACUAAUGAAUUGACAAUGCCAGUUUGCCACAGAGUAUGCAGAUUGAUACAUGCAUGAAAUUAUUGAUGUUACACUGGGAGACUUCGUCUGGACUCCAAAUUGGUUGUUAUUUGGCAUGUUUAAGAGCCACGGGCUUGAGUUUAUAGAUUGCAGGUAUACAAGGCAUUCGGCUCUAGAAGUGUAACUAAAUGAGAUUAGUAUCUUACACACAUGGCACUUAAAUCUAACAAUGUUGCAUUAGCUAACUCACCGGUAUGCUCGCAGGAAACUUUAGAUCCUUGUGCAAGACAUUUGCAAAUGUCUUUUGCCUGGUCUUUCCCCUAAAAGGUGUGUACCCAUAAAGCAUUUCAUACAAAAGGAUUCCUGUGAAAGUUGCAGAAAUCAAUUUAAGGGUCGAAGCAGUAAAAAAUGCUCUAGCAAUAAUAUUAACUACUAAAAAAUGGUGAACAUAAUCGAUAGGUUUCUUGAAAAUCCAUUCAUCAGCAAAAGCUCAUCAUACGUUAAACAGUAAGACUUACCAAGAGCCCACCAGUCAACAGCACUAGUAUGGCCUGCUCCUGUAAUAAUUUCCUGUACAGUGGAAAAGAAUAUGCUUUUGGAAUGAUGUUUAUUGACAAAAGAAAUAUUGAUAUACCAAGGGGUGAAAUAUCCAGCAUCAAAGAGUUCAGCAGGUGAAAAUAAAGCAAUAAAGAUAGAAGGAAAGGAAACUUUUCAAGUGGAACCACUACAUUGGUUGCAUUUAAAACACUUGAGAACAUUCAUAUCUGUCACUCCAGUGUCCAAGAAGAUCUAAAUGUAGCAUAUCUACAUUUUUAAAUUAUGUUUAACAGCAUCCUAAGCUUAAUCAAGCGCACUAAUUCAUCAACUGCCAUCAACCUUCUAAAGCUACCAUUAAAAAAAACUCCAAUAGAGAAUGCUUACUGGAGCAAUGUAUUCCUCCGUUCCAACAAAGGAAUUUGAAGCUCGCAUUGGUUCAGCCAUGAAUAUGGGGACUCGGUGACCUUUCUGGUGCUUUUUCUUUUCAUCGAUCUCUGGAACUAAAAGCUGACAAAUGCAUAACAUACCAAUAAGAAAAUCUUGAUCUUUCCUAAAUUUUGCAAAGUUCAUCUUGAUAAGAAGUCAGAGACUUAAAACACACCUGUGGCUUGCAAGAUGUCAAACAGGACAAAUCAAAAUCUGUCAAAGACACGUGCCCAUUGCUCUGUAGCAAGACAUUUUCGGGCUUCAAAUCUCUGUAGAUUAUACCUGCGGGAUAAACAUGCUCUUUUCAAAUGUCAAGGUGAAGAUGAAUACUUUAUUGAUUUAUGAUGUACAGUUAAAAGAACACAGUAGUGAUUUCUAAUUUCUCCAUUAAACAGAAGGCUCCACAGUCAUUCUUAAUCACAUGUAGUUGUAAAUGAAUCAAAUAUUAGUGUCAAGUAAUGAGUAUAAACAUUGCACAUCCCUAACAUUCUUCUUUACUGCACAAAGUUGGUGUCUUGUGAAUUCAAUGAAGGAACAAUCAUGAUCAAGAAGAUAUAUGCAGUUCUUAGUCGUUCUGGUUGAAAAAAAUAAUCUUAGCUUUUAGUAAAAAAUGUGUGGGAUUUGAUCGGUAUACCAGUUAGUCUGAUUUUGUAGCUUUGGACUUAGAUAGGUGGUCUCGUGAGACAGAAUACAGGAGUCUUAUAUAGCAUAAGAAGAAACGUAAACUAAAUAUAGAAUAGUUGAGUCUUAUGUAGAAUAAGAAGGAAUGUAAAGCAAAUAUAAAAAUUAAGUAAACUGGACAAGGCAAAAAAAAAAAAAAAACUCAAUUCAGUUUAAUGGAAAAACUAAAAAGAAUUCACUUUGUAGGAAAUAGAAUUCUAUAGUUAUUAAUGGAAAAACCAAAAAGGGACUUGUUUUUAUGGAAAAAUAGCUUUUCGGUUUAGAAUAAAGGUUUCAAUAUUAUUGUAAAUAACCCUGCUAACCAAUUAUACAGCUACAUCUCCUAACAAAAUAAGGAUAAGCAAAACUGUUAAGCUUUACCUUGACAGUGAAGAUACUCCAAAGCAACCACUACUUCAGCAGCGUAGAAUCUGCAGGGAAACAACUUUAUGUGAGUUCAAUCACCAUUCUAGCAAGAUUAAUCGCUUAAUGUCGCUAAGAUGUCAAAAGACCAAAAACGUGUUCCACUGUGCAACGAGAUAUAGCCAUCUCCAACUGGAGAGCUUUUGAGUCGGCAGAGAUAAGUAGAGAAGAUCAACAAAGCAUCAAAGUAUUGAGACUGCACAAGCAAUUCGGCCAAAAAGAAAAAAAAGAAUUGCCUCCAUACAAAGAAAGUAUUAAUUGAUUCACGAACUUUAAUAUGCAAGCCCCCUAGCAUGUGGGCCAGAAUUCUUCUCUCUACAUUGCUUCCAAGUUUUUCUUCUGGUUCUAAAAUCUGAACUAGCUAUCAUGAUCAGCUCAUCCUUUUAAGAUAUGAUUUGAUAAAAAAAUAAAUAAUAAGUUCGGCUAUUGCCUUUUAAUUAUAUAUUUUAGAAUCUAUGCAUUGCUCAGGUGUCAAUUUCUAAAGUCUGACUAGGUGCUAGAAAUCUUCUCUUCUACAUGAGACUGAUAUUCAGGAAGGAAGCUUUGGGAAUGAAUAAUUUUAUUAAACUUCAUGGUUAUGAUUCAGAUACCUUACAGCAUCUUCCCUGAGUACCUUCAUCGGCUGUCUGUCCAAGAGCAUGAAUAGCUCCCCACCAGGGCAGUAGUCAGUUAUCAGACAGAUAUGAGUUUUCGUCUGCAAAAGUAGUUAAGACGGAUUUCAGCUAUCGCAAUUUGGAUGCAAAAGAAAGCAAAGAUAUAGAAGAUAAUGUGCAAGUAACACUUGAGGAAACAGUAACUAGUAUUGGCUAGAGCAUGUGCAAUUCUUACUAAUAAAAAAGGAAGUUCUUAGAUGACAACUAAUCUCACACAUUAUAAUACCUUCCUAACUUCUCAUUGCCGCUAUGUUUAACCUCUAAGACUUUUAGUCUCUUAGUUUUUCUAACCUGAAAUGAAGCAUAAAGGGCUGGAAGGAAUGGAUGGUCCAACAUGUCUAGGAUCUCUCUUUCAGCACAAGCUCUGUGCACCUACAGGAAAGGAAAGCAAAGGAAUCAAGUGAAUAUGGAGCAUAAAUAAGACAUAAACUACAGUUAAUUAACUGCACAAGUGUCCAAUAAAGUGAUUGGAAAGUUAUUAUGGGAGAAAACUGUUGAAAGCCUGAAAGAUUUCUGCCACAAUUUGUCCAAGAAAAAGAAACUUGGAGAGUACAUUUCACCCCAAGUUUUCUGUUGUUUGCAAAUUUUGCAAAAUGUUAAGCUCACAAGAGGGUGUCGUGUCUGGCAAAUGCAAUUACAAUGCACAGGAAAUUAGAUUCUAUACCUUGUUCCGGUUAAGCAUCAUUCCCUUGUCCAUUGCUUUCAUUGCAAAGUAUUCUUCAGUACCAUGAAGUUCCACCAAGUGCACACUGCAUAUAAUUAAGUUGUCGAGUGACCAAGACAUGAACAGAAUACGGGGAAGUAGAUGAUGGAUGUAUUUGAGCAGUACGGCUUGCUUCUUAAUGAGAAGGAAGAAUCAGCAGUUCAUUUAAUUUAGACGUCCAUUUUCACAAGCAAUGUCACCAAUGCUGUAUGGAGAGAGUAUCUUGGAUCUAUAGCCACUUAAAAAUAAUCCUCCUAAGCAUAUAGUGGAACCAAGAGAAUACCACCGUACCACAUCAAAGUUCUUUUCUUCUAUAUACUUCAAGAAUCUUGCCUCAACAUGUUCAGCGGACACUAUUAUGGAGAAACACUUAGGUUAAAUUCUGAUCACAAUUUUGGUAACAUUCACAAAGAAACAUGUGUUUGAUCCCAAAGAGGCAAAACAUUGAGUGGUUCUGAGCUGAUAUUAACACUUGUAGGACAAGGCUAAUCAGACAAUUCAGGAAAAGCAUUUCAAGGAUUUGCAUACAUCAUUGCAAUGGAUGAAUUCCUAUUAACAUGGUGACAGAAAUCAAAUAGCUUAAGAUCCUGUCAAUUGAACAUUAUAUACGAGUCCCAGGAGUGAAAAUUUUAAAAAGAAAAUGAUGUAAACAACUAACUGACCUUCCUGUAUCACCAGAUCCCAGAGGUUUCACUGGCCUGAAGUGCUUCAAGCCUAUCUGUUCUCCACUAUCAAGAAUCUGGAAAUUACAGGCCAAUCAAAUCACCGUACGUCAAUAUGGUUAUAUAAGCAUCAAAGUGGCUUUGAAAUAGUUAAGAACCACAAUGGAAGUAGCAUAUAGUUGAACAAAGUCCUACAGCUGAAAUUGAACUGCAGAGUUACCAAUCUAUAGCCUUUUAAAUCAACUUUCACUAGUUGUCCAAUAUCAUAUGCACAUUUCAAAUCCUAUGCCCAGUCUUAUACCUGUUGAAUGGCUUUCCAAGAUGGGUUAUCUCUUCGGUGGGGUUUCGGAUGAACCACCUUCGAGUGGUUUGCCCACAAAUCUUCCGGUUUCUGCGCAUUCGCAAAUAAAUUGAUAACUUGAAUCCCAUCUUAGUACUUCAAAUCCACAAGCUGAUGUUACUUUCAACAAAGCUAAUAAUCUUACCAUGUUUGCAUCCGGAAGUUCUCUCACUGCUUCAUCGACAUCUCCUGCAGUUUCUUUCACCUGAAUAUAGAUAAUCAGACCAAAAUAAUUUUCUGUUUUUCAAAUUUGCCAAUGAUUACUAAUAUUAAAACCAAGCACGCACCGAUUAAUUUAGUUGCUCUAAAGGUCUUCUACUAAAUGAAUGUCUAUUUUCUCACAUGCUUAUAUGGUGAAGCUUAAAAGGGAAUUUAAGCACAAGAAGAGAGUUGAGAGUAGAAAGUACCAGUUUAGCACCCUCGCCUGCUCUCAACUCAGGAAUGCAAUUGCGAAGCGGCUCAACAUGUUCGCUCCCAUCCAGUUGGACCCCGAUGAAAUAUUGUACUUCUCCCUGUUCAUGAACGGAAAUUAAACGGUCAAUAUAUCCCAUACAAAGAUGCAGUGAGUUGUUGCAGGCAUGGUUCACUGGAGUUGGUCUGAAGCAUGCAUAUAAAAAUAAAAGCACCGCACCUUUUGGUCACGCAUAGGCUGUAGAUGAAACAGGUUCCAGAACUUUUUGCCUGAUUGGUUUCCACAGAAACAAUUAAUAUGGUUAGAAACCCGAUUUGGGAAUUGAGGAUUUUGCAUUGUUGUUUCAGCUUUCAAGUUUCAAGAAUGCAGAUUGAGUACCAGUCUUAGUAUAGUUAAUGAGCUGCACCGUGACUUCUGAUUGGGUAUCAAUUGCAUGUCUGAUUUUCCUCACGGUUGUUGGAUCAGUUUCGGGCCCUUGAAGAAAUCUACAACAUCCCACCACGCGAGAAUUUGUUCAAUUAGUACUUAUGGUUGAUUAUUAACCAUGACUACAUUCGGCAGCAAUUCCCAAAUCAUGUUUGGAAAUUGUAAGACAAGGUGGAAUGUUGAAUUUCUGCAUGGAUGCUGUACUGCUGAGAAGAAAAGGAGGUGAUCGACUACCACAGGCGGGAGCUCCUAUUUUUAUAAGUAUUUAAGUUGGAUAAUGAAAGUUCAGCUAAGAUUUAGAAAAUGUUACUAGUACAAUUCCUCUCAACAAUUAAAGUAGACGCAUGAUUGUAAUUCUUGAUCUGGUUUCCUACUGUAAUAACUUUUCCUAAGAUUUGUAGCAUCAUAACCAAUUCAUUCAUCUAAUUUUUUUUUUUUCACUUUCUUAUCCAGCAAAGGAACCCAAUUCCUAUACUUUUUAGAAAUGUUAUUGUCUAUUCUCCUAUAGUAUAUUAUUGUUUGUCACUGUUUAUAAUGUAAUGUAAAUAACCCAACCCCUUGGUUUCAGAACAGCAUAAUGACGUGUGGACUAUGGACUUUACACAGAACUUUUUUUUUUUUUUUGACUGUACGAUAUGUGUUGCUGCGGCUUUUUCACUAUAAUUUUUCCGUUUGAUGUAUCUUGUCAUGCAAGAAAAAAGAAGUUGGCUUUUGAACAAUUCUUAGUGAUAGUCUCAUAUAAUCUCUAUUAGAACUACACAAGCAUUCAGCGCUCGUGGCCUAAUGGAUAAGGCGUCUGACUUCUAAUCAGACGAUUGUGGGUUCGAGUCCCACCGAGCGUGUCAUGCUUGCGUGCUUAUUACAUAUACAUGGCUUUAUUGUUUGUUGUCCUUUUUGUCUCUCUGUCUUUUUUGUUCCCCUCCCCCUCCGACAAAGAAUUAUUCCCCACUUUUCUUCCUCAGUUUUUCUCCCACUUACGUGACUGAAAACUUGUUCAUUCUUCAGUGAAAAAUAUUAGGAAAACUUGAAAUAUACCUGCAAUUUCUCCCCAAGAUUUCUUCGCGACUAUACUCGGUCAGCUCCAAAAAGCUAUCCGACGCAAAAAUCUAGGCAACAAUUAACCAUCACAUCAACGAAUUUUAAGACGGUCGAGUGAUCCCGAAAAAAAAAAAAGUUCACAAGAAAAAUUAUGCUAAAAGAGUGAGAGUAUCUCUUACAAUGGGAUUAUCAGGCAGUCUUGGAUCGGUAAUGACAAAAUUCUUCUCGAUACGUUCAAGGGUAGUCGCUAAAUCGAUACCUUUUCUCAUUUCCUUCUUCCUAACUUUGUCAUCAAGGCUUUGAGGCCGCCCAUCCUCCGCAUCACUGUCAUCGUCAACUUCAUUGUCAUCCAUAGUCACUUUGGCCUCGAAUUCUUCAUCUGCAGUGCUCGAACGUCGACCCUUUUUCAUGAUCCUACAACACGUGAAAAAAUUAGAUAAAUAUUCCCCUUUCAUCACUAAACUUGAUUAGUUAGUAACUACUGGAGUACAUAUUAACGUAGUAAGAAAAGCCCAGAUUUCUUGGUGCCCCAAAAAAAAAAAAACUUAGUAACGUGUGAGUUCAGUUUACCCCAUGAGCGAAAGACGUCUAGAUUUUUUGGGCUUGGUCUCAGGAAGCUCGCUAAUGCGCUCCAUUGAUGAUGAAGUUCUGGUGCCUGCAUGAGAGUGUCGUCUAGGGGGAGCUUUGUUCUCUAAGUAGAGAUUUACAACGGCAUCAGGUGGCUGGCCAACUCCUCCUUCUGAUGAUUUUCUGACGAAGGGACGGUUAUUUGAUUCGCUAAGGGCUCUUGGACGAAGAGGUUUCUUCACUGCGUCCACUAAUUCGGUCACGUUACUGGAAGCCUGCUCCUUCUGACGGGCUGCAUAUAAUUCAAUCAGAACACCCCCCUCAAUCAAUUUUUCUGAUAUAUAUAUAUAUAUAUGUAUGCAUUACCUAAUGGAGGAACUAAGUAGCAUGUGAUGAAUAAGAAAUCUGAGGGGAAGUAGAGCUGAACAUUUCGAUUUUUGACUGACCAACUAGAAUGGCUGUGUUUUCUUUUCUUGGGAGUUCUAUGUGAUGACCUUGUUGUCGUUAUUAUCUAUCACAAACUUGCAGAGCGAAUUACUCACUUCUGAUUUAAUAACAUUAUAGUAGGUGUCAAUCAAUGUUAUAAGAGAAGUUUCAAAUGCAGAAACAUAACAAAUUUUUGGUUAUCCUUUACCGGAUGAACUACAUAUAUAGUUAAAAAUUUCCUUGUGUACUUUCUAUAAGAGAAGUAAGGUAAUAAGUAGUAAAUGUACUUUCUAUCCUUAAGGGUUCAUGGGUUUUUAUUUCCUUGUGUUAAUUAGUUUCCCUUCUCAGCAUUUUCUGACCUUUUCUUGAUUUUCUUAAGAAUAAAGUUGUUUUGUUUUUUUUUUUUUUGGGGGGUCGAGUUUCUUAAAGAAAAAUUUGUGGACCUAACAACUUAAUUAUGAAAAGAGAUGCUAGUCUUAUUAUAUCAGUCAAAAACUUAAGUUUACCGAAAAUUAAAAAAUAAUAAUAAAAUUAAAAGAGAGUUUACCGAAAAUAAAGAAUAAAAGGGAAUAUACCGUCAUAGCGGAUCAGUGAUUCAGGAAGCCCAUUGGGCCGGCACAUUUUUUCCUUGGUCCCCUCUGUAUGCUUGCUUACCUCCACUUGCAUUCUGUAAUUUUAAAAAAAAAAAGAAAAGAAAAGAUUCCUUAAAUAACUUAUCAUGUCCAAUUAUCUAAUUCAAUUAAGAUGUCAAACUUCCGAAAUUUUUUUUUUUAAAAAAAAAUACCAACACAAAAUCGAUGUACCUUCUGUAAAUUAAUAACCAGUAUAGUACUAUUUGUCAUAUAGUAAGAGUUGACUUGCCAACUCUUUUGCAUUAACAAGCCCAAACUGAUGAUCAAGAAAGGGAUUAGCAAAAAGGCCCACACGAUUUCAUUUGUGCAAUUAAUCGUUGAGGUCGAGAAUGGAAUCAUUUUUAUGAGCCCAAAUUGAUCCGAAAAGAGAUAAAUGCAUCUAUCAUUGAGUUACGAUGUACUAUGUUAUAUCAAAAAGUAAUCAAAAAAUGAAAAGAUUGAUUGAACAGUAUAUUUAUGAGGUAAUUAGAGAUUUUUUUUCUUUUAUGAAAUAAUAGCCAAUCCUUAAAAGAAACUCAUAUGAUGUCACCGCACACUUGUUAGUUGCUCAAAUGGGACCACGAAAAUGGACCAUAUUUCGGAUGAUAUAUCUUGAUCAUGCUCUUGAUUGCUCCCAAAAAAAAAAAUAAUAAUAAUAAUAUAUAACUUCUUAGUGUUGAGACCACACUUUUCCCAGCCUAUGGAGGUCAAGUUUGAAAGAAGAAUGAAGUCGAGGUCCUCAAAAGUCAACAAAAUAGCCUAGACCCUAGAAAAGGCGCUAAGUGGGGAUAAUUUCUAUAUGCCCCCAAACUCUCUCUCAGUUGCAAAUUAAUCCCCAAACAAUUGAUAGUAGUGGCAUGCUAUUGCCUUCUGUGGUAAACUUUUCGCAAAAAUGCUCUGCUUUUGGAUAUAAGGAUGUCAAGAACAAAUUUGUUUUGAUGGCAAAUUUUCCCCAAGUCCACUUUUCAAACCAUAAAUACUACAGUGUAUAUAUAACCUCGACAAAAGAUUGUGUUUUUCUUCUUCUUUUAAAACUCACCCAAUGAAUUUGAGAACUUUUCCACUUUCAUCUUUGAUGGGUGCAAUAGUGAGCAGAUUCCAAAAGGGAGUCCCAUCCUUCUUAUAGUUUAGCAAUCUACCACAGUAACCAUUUCCCGCCUGUAGAGCCUCCCUGAUCUUCGCCACAUCUUCUGGAUCCGUAUCCGAACCCUGUAGAAACCGACUGCAGCCCGCCCGAGCACAAACAAAAUGUCAUAAAUCCUCUCAAAAACUAUUAUAAUAGUUAUCAGAAAAGACCAAAAAUAAAUAAAUGGGAGGAGGAUAUGGGAAUUCGAACCAGUUUCUGCCUAUGACUUCCUUCGAUGUAUAGCCGGUCAUCUUGAAGAAUCCAGCACUUGCAUACAGAAUCGGGUAAUCGGGUUUGGUAGCAUCCGAUACAACAAAUGUUUGCUGAAAAGUUGACAAGGCAUCCUUCAAAUCCUCCGAUACUCUUGGAAACCCCCUGUCCUUGCCUGCAGAGUUCAAUGAACAUCAAUUUAUUUUUGAAGCAUUGAUUCUGCCCCUUUUCUUUUAAUUAACCCAUGAUAGAUGCAUUGAAUAAUUUUUUUUUAUAGUACUUUACCAAGUGCCAUUAUCUUACUUGUCAAUUAAACUACUAACCUUCGAAACUUUAUUCUACAAAAAUAGAUGGACAACUAAUCCAUAAAAUUUGAAGCUAUUGAUUUACAUUCACGUAUAAAAUAAAAAUCAUUUUUUCUAUGUUCAACCGUUAGGGCGAAAAUUUUUUUCUUAAAAAAAAAAAAAAAGGCUUUGAACCAAAACUUUUCACUGCUCGGAAUUACCUGUUCCAUCAUCUGAUAAAUCACCAGAACUUCGAAAAGAAUUACCAGAAUCCCUUCUUGUUGACCCUGUUUUACUAUUCUGUUCCUCCCCGGAAGU
rnacentral:lncRNA from 1 species